rnacentral:lncRNA from 1 species
UUUCGCGGAUGAAAUUCUUUUAAGGGGUGGAGAAUGUAACAUACCAGAUUUUGGUAUAUAAAUAAAAAAUAAAUAAAAUUAGUGUGAGAAACUAUUUGUAUCGGAUUUAUAGAAGUAAAACAUAAGUCAUAAGUGACUUGUGCUGAAAUCGGAAUGAAAACAGAAGAUCUAAAAUUUUCUGUUGGAAACGGGACAGAUAAAUUAGCAGAAAAUGCACAGUCUCAGAAAAUUAUGAAAAUUGGAGGAUAAGUCAGAAAUAUUUUUAUGAGGCUAGAUUUAAAGUUUCAUAUUUUUCUGACACCCGUAGAGUGAGAAAUAAAAUCCGACAGCUAUCUGAUAAAGAGUACAGUUCGGUACAGUUUUCGGUGACCAAAUGGGAUCGAAACUGAAAACUUAAAAUAUAUUCUUACUCAGUACGUUAAACUGAGCCUGCCUGUCAAAUUUGAGCUNNNNNNNNNNNNNNNNNNNNNNNNNNNNNNNNNNNNNNNNNNNNNNNNNNNNNNNNNNNNNNNNNNNNNNNNNNNNNNNNNNNNNNNNNNNNNNNNNNNNNNNNNNNNNNNNNNNNNNNNNNNNNNNNNNNNNNNNNNNNNNNNNNNNNNNNNNNNNNNNNNNNNNNNNNNNNNNNNNNNNNNNNNNNNNNNNNNNNNNNNNNNNNNNNNNNNNNNNNNNNNNNNNNNNNNNNNNNNNNNNNNNNNNNNNNNNNNNNNNNNNNNNNNNNNNNNNNNNNNNNNNNNNNNNNNNNNNNNNNNNNNNNNNNNNNNNNNNNNNNNNNNNNNNNNNNNNNNNNNNNNNNNNNNNNNNNNNNNNNNNNNNNNNNNNNNNNAGAGAGGAGGUGAGCGGCACCUCGACCCGGCUUGACCCAUCUCUCCGCGAACCACUGCCGAACGGCCUCCAUCACGAUACGAAAAUUAAAGUCUUCGUUAAUGUGCCACGGUGCUGUCAAAUCCAUUUUCAUGGUUUCCGAGAUUCCUCGGCCAUCCAGGCGGAAUAACGAAGCCUAAACGUACCUUUCUUUAAUAACUCGCAACGGCUCGACAAUCGACGAACGCGACUUCGCCAACAGCGCGUUCGUUUACCUAGCAAUAUAGGUUUACAUAGGGUCAUUUAGAUCAAACCCAUUACACUUUAUAAAACCCGCAAAAUUGGAGCCCUAACAUGCUACUAUUUGCCAAUAAAGCUUCAAAGAUUGAUUCAGUGAUUCAGACAGAUUAGCAUGUAGAUAUCAUAUAGAGAGUCCUUUAAAUCCAUUCUAGAGCAUAUAAUUAAAGCUCUAAGGUUCUUAACCAUUUUUAAAACAUUCCUAUCUGUACACUAUCUCCAAUUAACUUUCAAUUAAAAGGAUUCAAUAUGCUAAUGCACACAUUAAGGCUAUAGAACACUAAACAUUAAGGAGUUAAGGCAAAAUCCUAAAAGCUUCCUGCAAUGAUGAAGCCCGGCGAGAAACACGCCGCUCCACAGGGCGCACGGAAAGCUCAAUGCCGUCGCUCCUAACGCGUUCGCAAGCAUCUUCUCCACCAACACGCGGACGGCGACCUCGACUCCCAAUUUAGGAGAGAUAAUAGAGAGAUGUAGAGAGAAUCUCUAGAGAAGACGAAGGGAGGGUUCCCUCCCAUCGCCAUGCGCCGCAGGUCGUGUGUGUGGUGGUGUGUGGCGACUGAAGGAGAAGUAAGAAGAGUCAACACGUCCCUCUUGUUAGUCAACACCACAACACUGAGUUCACUCGCCGCGCAGAGCUGUUUACAGUUCGGCAUAUAGUUGAGGCGCGCUUCCUGAAUUCCGUUGACGCUAUAUGUUGACAUAUCAUGUGAUGCUAGUGGUAUAUGUGCAUGAUGACAUAUUAUGAAUUAACAUAUUGUGGAUUAUGUUAAAUAGAAAAACAUACUUGAUGACAUAUUGCCAUAUUGUGGAACAUAGUAGAUGGAAAUGUAUGCAUGUUGAUAUACCUUGAGAUAUGAGUUGAUAUAUAUGCAUGUUGAUAUAUUGUGGACUAUGUUAAAUAACAUAUGCAUGUUGAAUUUGGGUCUAUACCUCUUGGAUGGUUAGAAAACUCGACGUUGGAAAACAAUGACGUAUGAACUAUGAUAUGUGACGUGGACAAUCUAUAUAUAUUAGAUCGAGUGGCAUAUGAUUAGUAUAGUGGAAACACUUAUGGCAUGUUGAACACUUAGAAAACAAAUGUGGCAUGAGUCUAAGAAUAUAGUAGUAUAUAUGACACAAGUGAUAGUAAAGAAUGCAAAAAAAGAAUGAUUGAAAUAUUAUGACAUUUCAACCCUAGAGUUAGGGUCAUUUGAGCAUAGUCUUCCUAAAGUUAGGAAAUAGAUUGAACUUGACAUUCUCAAGAUUUUGGAUUUGAUCAUUGAUCAUACUCACCUUUAGUCCUUGCUCGAGGUUGUGGUAGCUCCUCCUCGGGCGAUGUGCUCCGGAGUCGACAUCACUGAGUGUAGCGAGUAUCUCCCCAUAGGACGGUCCCAUCGGGUGUAGCGAGUAUCUCCCCGAUUAUUGGGAUUUUGAGUUGGUGAGUUUGUUGAGGGCGAAACUUUCGGGUUAGCCAAGAGAUUGGGUAACAAGCACAUGAGUUGUAGCAAUAUCCGAGUUGAGUGAACUUAAGGCUGAGGUGCAAGUGAGACGUCAUUCGCCUCGAGCCUGGCUUUACGCGGUACUCCGCGAAUGAUUGACUCGAGACCGAGUCUGGUGGAUAGUUUAUAAAGGUAAAUGAGACCCUAUGAUCAAAAUUGUAAUUGUUAUGAGUUUAAAAUAGAGAAAUAACUUCGAGGUCAAUUGAAUGAGCUAUAAAUAACAGGAUUAAAGUAGUAUCGAUUGAACUACUAAUUGGUUGCAUAAAUUGCAUGAUUUUCAUAUUGCAUGGUUGUGAGGCAUGACAUGUAUUUCAAUUAUCGCAUAUAUAUAUGUAUCUGUUGGAUAUUUGUUGGACUAACAUGUUGCAGUGCCUCCCUUGGACCUAUUGGUCGAGCUUUUCCCUUGGGUCGCCGUACCCACUGGGAACCAUGGAGUUGGUUCUCACCCCACGUUGUUUUGGGGUAUUACAGAUUCACACGUGAGCGACGCAGCGGCGCGAGGCAAGGGCGUAGCUUCAUAGUUAGCGCCCUACCACCAAGACCAGAGAUAGCGGUACACCGAGUCAGCCUAGCUAGGGGUGUAGAAGAAAAGAAAAGGAAAGAAUAAACAAUGUUGUAAUAAUUUUGAUUGUAUUUGGAAGUUAAAUAUAAAAUGUAAUAGUAAUGUAAAGUAUGUCUAGUGAAUGUGAAUGCUUGUAAUAACAAGUAGAUUAUGUUUUUGAUACUUCCUUAUACAAUCUUUGAUUGAAACGUGUUCCUGGUUGGAACUUUGUACAUUGUAUUGAUUGCGACGCCUUGAAUGUACAGGGGAGACUCUGUCCGCGGUACAGGGGAAACCCUGUCCGUUCGGCGAUCUGUCGGCGGCGCCGCGACCCGGCCAAAUAGGCAGGCGAUCGCGGGGCGUGACAAUUACAUCAACGGUUCUGAUCAUCGAUUCGCGAUCUCUAUCAUCAAAAACAAUUUGAUAGGACGAAGGUCCCUAUCCUGAUAAAGGAUAGCAAUUGGAUUUUAUAUAUAUAUAUAUAUAUAUAUAUAUAUAUAUAUAUAUAUAUAUAUAUAUAUAUAUAGAAAAAUAAUUGAUUACCCUAAAAGUUUAUACCUUAUAUCUAAUACUUUUUUAGUAAUUUAAGCUGUAAUCAGUUUUUUAUAUAAUAUUAGAGUAGGAGAUUUUCAAAUUCAAAUUUUAUAAAAUGACCGUCAAAUAAAUUUAGCGACAAAUAUAAAGAUUUGAUUUUUAAUAUCCCUCAGUUGCUUGUGCCAGUCACUUACAUAAAUUAAGUUGACUCAUUAAAUUGUUUCCUUAACUUUUCCAAUUGAAUCGUACAUACAUAGUGGACCACAACUAGAGAAAUUAAUAUUCGAAAUAUAUAUAUAGUUAAUUUCUUGGGCAAAAGCAAUGAUAUUUAACUCCAAAUUUACAAUUAAUUAAAAGAAAAAAUUUAAAAAUAUUCAAAAAGGUGUUCAUGAAAUUCAGAGAGGGGCUCCACAAAUUCACAUGCACUCAUUAAGCCAUUAUCCCAAUCAAAAAUAAUUUGUAAACAAAUACAUUAAUGCUUAUUUUAUAUUACAGCAAAUAAUAAUGCCCUUGGGUACUGUUACAUUUGUAGCAUGCAAUAUUAAAAAUAAAACAUAUAAUAAAUGCUUAUUAUUCUAACUAAUGGUGAUUAUUUUUUAUCAUAAGGUGAUCAUUGCUCUUUUAUUUUCUCUCUUUUAGCAUGGUGUAUAGAUAAAAUUUUUAAUUAAGUUGGGAUAAUAAUAAUAAUAAUAAUAAUAAUAUGAAAUAUCGUAAAAUUUUCAUGCUCUUAGCUAUUUGGGAUUGAAUAUAUCGAUCUAAUAGAUCUGGAACCGAUCGAAUAUAAUAAUAGUUUUAACAUUCUUGCUGACGUAUUUAGUAAAAAAUCAAAGAUACCAAAUAGAGUCGAUUUUGAUUUAUCAUAUUUAUAUUUGUGUAGAUUCCACCCAAAAAUAGGAAACUUGAAUAAGGAAUUAUUAUAAUGAUUCAUUUUUCAAUAAUAGAUUAACAUAAAUUUGUAACUGUCAUACAAUAAUUAAUACUUCAAAAUCAAAAUUGUUACAUAUGAAUUAUUUCAUAGAGAAAUUUUGUAUUUAUCUCUAAACAUAAUAAUCAGUACCUAAACAACUACAAGAAAUUGUUAAAAGAGUCUAGGGUGUUUAAUAAACAAAAAAGAGUGUAAAUUAAGGUCUCUAUUGGUGUUUUGUGGGGACAAGGAGGGAAGUGUCAGGUGAGGAAAUUAAACUUUGGUGGGUAUUUAUUUAUCUCUUNCUGUUAGUAUGCGAUGGAUGCCCAGAUUAGUGUCGGAUGAGGUUACGCUUGUGCUGGGAUGCCGAGUUUAUUUUUACAGUAGUGUGUAGACUAUUUCGGACUGUCAGGUGCCGUCGCGGUUGACAUUGGACCCAAAUUUCUGUAUUUGCAUCAGAUUGUGCCAAGGGCACGUGAGCUUUGGUUGUUAGACCAGUUAGACCCAUUUGCUUUGAUUAUAGCCUGUGAGUGCCUGAUUGAGCUCAGCAGAGACACGCUUGCAAACUCAAUUGGGUAGCGCCCACGAGUGCCACUCCGGAGUCGGGCUUUGUGCGUUUGCGUUGAUGUCGUAGUGUCCGGGUUGGACUUGCUCUCCACCGACAAUCCAGCGUGGUGGUUGUUGGUGUAGCUUCGACAGGCGGGAUAGGUCCGUUCACAGUCCCCAGUGAGUUUGGGUCAGAGAUUGCAUUUUUGUUAUAUCUACAGAUAGCCAGUGUUGGUUAGCGAUAGUAUAGUGGCAUAUAGCUGUAAGGUUUCCAGCUUUCCUUACUAUCUUUUACGCACUUUUCUGUAGACCUAGUGGGUGAACCGUUGAGGUUGGUGACAGUACCCACUGAGUAGUACUUCUUUUUGCAGUAGUUCUCACACCCAGUUGUUGACCCUUUUUGCAGAGCCUUUGUCCGCGGCUGCUGCUGACGCUGUUUCUGAUCAUGGAAAGGGAGUCACGAGCUAGAUCCCUUCCCUGGUUACUGUGCUAGAGGAGUACCUUCCAUAGGUAGUUUUGGGGCAUUUUGUACAUAUGGUCUUGUUGUCUGUGUACUCGCUAGAGUGAGUGGUGUAGUAGAUAUUUUGCAUGUACCGGAACCCCUCGAGGUUUUAUAUAUAUGUGUUCAGUUUAGCAGCUCUAUACUACUGGUUGUAGUUUUGUAUGAUUACAGGUACAGCUAUCGCUUCGUAUACAGGAAAAAUUUCUAUGUAUACGGCGGGUCUGUUGGAGUGCCCGAGGAAACGUAUAAUCCGGGGCGUGACACUUUUGAUCAAUAGCCAAAUAAUGUCGAAAAAUUAUGAAAUUUAGUUUUCAAAUACUUUUAAUAAUGUAGAUCAAGUCUAAUGGAGCUGAGCGUCGAUUUGAAAGCUGCAUUAUUGAAAAUAACUUGGUAGCACGGAGACCUCCGAGCUAUACCAAUAGUAUACUAGCCUAGUUCUCUCUCUCUCCCUCCCCCCCUCCCCUCUAAUAUAUAUAUAUAUAUAUAUAUAUAUAUAGGCUAAUGCUACUAUCCUAUUAAUAGGAUAGGAGCACUUGUCCUAUCAAGUUGUUCUUGAUAAUCGAAAUUCCGAAUCGAUGAUCGAAGCCGUUGAAGUUAAUCUAGAGUAUUUGAAAUAUCUAGAAACUAAAUUUCAUAAAUUUUGAUAAUGGUUUACAUGGUGAUCAAAGUGUCGUAAAAUCGACAAUUUUUUACGGCCUAUAUGAGCCGUUUGCUUGUUUAACGAUGUAGAGCAAUCUAAAUUGCUUGAAUUUUUGAUAGAAAAUUCUUUAUACUAUUUAGAUAAUGUUUGAUAACUCUGAUUACGAACUGAGAAAGUCUAACCUCUAUUUUAAGAAGGUUAUUCAUUUAUGACCGUUCAUUUUUCAACUCUUAAGAUGAACUUGAUAAUAAUUUUUAAAAUAAUACAAAUUGGUUUAAACAUUUCUAAUUAGUGUAGAUCAACUUCAACCGGUGUCCGAUGUAUCAAUUUGAAGUAUCGAUCUUCAAAUCGACUUUGAUAGGCAAGGGUCCCAAUCCUAUUAAUAGGAAUAGUAGCUGGACUCCUUAUUAUAUAUAUAUAUUAUAUAUAUAAUAUAUAUAAUAUAUAUAUUAUAUAUAUAGAGUGAGUUCUACUAUGCUAUCGGAUAGCACGGAGCCUUCCGUGCCUUCCAGGCUCGUUUUAUGAUGUGCGACUUUCGAAUCGUCGAUCGGCUCCGUUAAACUGAUCUAGAGUAUUUUGAAGUACCUAGAAAAUAAAUUUAUGAUUUUAGAUAUCAUUUGCCUAUGAACGAAGGGGCUCAAAAUUCAACUGACUGAAAAUAAAAAAUCGGUACAAAUAAAUAAUAUGACAUUAAAAUUUUAAAUCACAAGAUAUUGAUCUUGUUUUAUUAUAGUAUAAAGGAUAUUUUCUAUCAAAAAUUUCGCGCGUGAUUUGGAUAUUUCUACACCUGUUAACUUGCAAACGGCUCACUACGGCCAAUUUGAAAUUUGUUGAUUUGCAGCCCCUUGGCUUCAUAGGAAAUUGAUAUCGUAAAUCAUUAAAUUUUAUUUUCUAGGUACUUCAAAUUACUUUAGAUCAAGUUUACGGAGUCUUCGAAUCGACUGAUUCGAAAGUCGCACAUCGGAAAACGAUAGCUGGAAGCACGGAAGGCUCGGUGCUUUCCCUUCCCAAGAUAGCAUAAGUAGCCUUUCACUAUAUUUAUUAUAUAUAUUAUAUAUAUAUAUAUAUAUUAUAAUAUAUACUAUAUAUAUAUUAUGCUUAGUGAGGCCCCUUUAGUUCUAUAUAUAUAUAUAUUAUAUAUAUAUAUAUUAUAUAUAUAUAUAGAAUUAUGGCUACUAUACUAUCAGAGCCAGAGCGCUCCCGUUGCUACCCGAGUUGUUUUUCGAUGUGUGGCUUCUAACAUCGACGAUCGGCUCGUUUGGACUUAUCUACACUAUGAAAAAGUUAUUAGAACUAAUUUCAUAUUUUUCGAUAUUAUUUAUCUUUAUCAACAAGUAGUUUAAAAUUGAACGGCUGAAAAUAAAAAUCUCAUGAAAAUAAUGAUAAAGAGCGGGGGUUUUUAAAUUCAUAUGAUCAGAUAUAUUUGAUCUUUACUUAAAUAGUGAAAAGAAUUUUCUAUUUUAAAAUUUUUCAGUCGCAUUUGAUUAGUUUUUACACGUAUAAAUACUCACCAAACACACCACAUCGACCAUUAAAAUUGUCAAUUUUGAGAAUCAUUUUUGAUCACUAGUCAAAUGAUGUCGAAAAAUCUGAAAUUUAGGUUUCAAAUACUUGUCAAUAGUGUAGAUUCAAGUCUAACGGAGCGAUCGUCGAUUUGGAAGACGCCAUCAUCGAAAAACAACUUGUGCACGGAAGUGCUCCGUUGUACGAUAGAAAUAGUAGCCGGACUCUAUAAUAUAUAUAUAUAUAUAUAUAUAUAUAUAUAUAUAUUUAGAGAGAGAGAGAGAGAGAGAGCGGGAGAGAGAGAGAGAGAAGAGCUCCGACUACUAUUUAUCGUUAGUCCAAGCCCUUGGUACUAUUAGAUUUCUACCAGUUAGAUUCUGCCCCUUUGGAUCAUUUUCACCCGUUAGAUUAUUUUAUAUUAAACCAACCACGACUGAACCAGAGGGGACCACUAUAUCCUAACCGCACAUGCUUAUUCCAAACGGCGGAAAAUCAAUAGUACUCAAAGCUAGGUACUAUGAUAGUAUAGUAAGCAUAAUUCUAUAUAUAUAUAUAUAUAUAAUAUUAUACUAAUAUAUAUAUAUAUAUAUAUAGUGAUAAUAUGAUGAGAGAGAGAGCAGAGAUGGAGAGAGAAGAAUGAGAGAGAGAUGAGCGGCGCGCGAUAGGCUGGAAUACUAUUAUAGCAAAAAUUCUUUUUGCUAUCGAAGUUAACCCUGAAGAGAAUAUAUGGUAGGAGAUAGUCCAGGGAGAGCCCAGGAGUGGUCCCCAGUAUCAUAUUAUCAAUUGUUAAAUUGAUGAAAAAAUUGUCCAAAGGCUAAAAAACUUUAAUAGCAAAAAGCUGAAUGUAUUAGCCCAAACUCUCCUUACUCUCUCUCUCUCUCUUCUCUCUCUCUUCUCUUCUCUUAUAUAUUAUAUAUAUAUAUAUUAUAAUAUAGUGCGUGAUGCCUGGAAGAUGGAGCGGCUCCGUGUUCUAAGUCGUUUUGAUGUUGAGGAGACGACGCACGAUUGAUCUAGGAGUAUGUUAGUAUCUAGAAAAAAAUUUUUGUGAUUUUUAUAUUCAUUGCCUAUGACGAAUGAAAUUCACAUAAACCAAUCUCCUAUUUGUGUCCCCGAUUGCGCUGAGCAGUUGCGGCACCACGGGCUAGUAUGAUACAUGACGCGCCUAGCGAUAAAGACGACUACAGCAAAAUAAGAGAGGUACGACACAGCAAGGGUGGCGCAUUGCAAGACACGUAUGGUAUGUUGGAUGGAAAAAGAGUGAUAAGAUGGACACCACAAGUAACGUUAACCAUACGAAUCCUAGGGAAAUCUCGGUCAUAGCCCGUUAAAUAUAAUUCUCAAGACAGCGAUUUAUAAUUCUUUGUCGUAUGGGUGGUAGCAGCUCGAGAGAUUGACCUUGACAUGAAGUUUCUUGAACAACUUGCCACAAAAUAGACUAAAAUGAAAAAUCGGGUCUUUAUCGUUACAAUACUUCUGUAGAUAACCCUAGCAACAAUAAAUGUUUGCAUACGACCAAAAUGCUUAGCUAUUAUUAUUACUUAGUGUUAAGUUUUUAUAUAUCAAUAAUUACCCCCCCUAUUGGGAUGGGGACAGACUUCCCUCGAAGACGAGUCUCGUAGAACACACACACAGCCAAGAUACCUACCGAUGUGCAGAUCGUCUCUCGAGCUGUCAUCGAGAAGGUCACCUUCUAUACAGACGGAUAGCUAAUCCGCUUAUCUUUAGACCUGGAUCAGUGAGACUCGCACAUUUCUCGGCUGGUAAUUGCUGAUACCAAAUGUAAAACCCGUACGCAAAAUAAGGAACAACAUCGACCCAAAAUACUUAUAGCCAGUUAUUAGAUUACUAGUGCCUUAAGUCUCUUAUAUAGCCAAUCAUUCCCAUUCCUAUCAUGUAGAAUUAUGGGUGUGACACGCAUCGGAGUUGUAGAUUUGUUCAUAAAUUCUUCGGAGCAUAGAAGAAGCAGUGUUAGGGUGGAAAUGCUAUGAAAUUAAGGUAUUGCUCAACCUAUCCCACGACUAUGUUACCUCCUUCUGGUAAAGACACUGCUCAAUCCUUCGAUAAAUUCAUGAAAAUUCCAUCCAAUGUAUUCAGGUAUGGUAGGGGUUGUAGAAAGACCCGCCGGUUCUGCUGUUUUUCAUACUUUAUUUGCGAUAACCGGGCAUUCUCGAAUAAUUGAUCAACAGUUAUUUGUUUAAUUCUCUCAGUUAGAAGUAAAUCCUUAACACUCCUGGUUUGUUGGCUUCCGAACGGACGUGACCCUAAGCCGUGGAAAUGGAUCUCAGUGUCACGAGUAUGCAACUGUAACCGGAGGUCAUUACCCAACUACUAGUUUCCUUUUCUCUUAGUUUGGUUCUGAGCAUAUGGUGUAGUGCGGCCCAAGAUUUUGGAUCUUGUUGCUUGCUGCUAUAAUGGUUUUAACUGUUAUUCUGACUUCCAACUGGAUUGAAUUUGAUCCAACAUAUCGGUUCCCAUACUGAAAUUGUUGCAAGGUAGGUGAUCUAGAUAAGGGCAAUCAGGCGACCACAUUGUUGUUCAUUUUAUUAUUUACUAUUUCUAAAUACAACCCAUUAGCUUAGAAAGCCAUUUGCUGGCUGGGGUAGAUAUUUUUUGUCUAUAAGAAUUUUAAACUUUGAUGAUCAGUCUUAUUCUUAAAAUGCGUCCAACUAGGAUAUGGUUCCAUUUUUUGUUUACCGCAUUACUAUUGCUAACAUUUCUCAUCGUUUAAGCUAACAGCAAUCGAAUUUGUUGGGGAUAAUGGCUUGCUUCAAAUGCAAUUGGUUUGGCCUUUUUGUUACGAAAACUCCACUACCCCUACUUCCUGGAUGCCAUUGUUCGACAAAUAAAUUCCGGUUGCAAUAAUUAGGUAGUGCAAUGCUUGGGCGGUAGAAGAUUUGCCACUUUUAGUGUUUGAAGCUUUAGAUACGCUUUACAUCAGUCCAUUUUAAAACCCAUUAUUUUGGCUAAAUAAUCAUGCAAGGGCUUGCUUAUUUUCCCAAAAUAUUUUAAACAAAGUGUCUAUAAUAACUGCUUAUAUCCCAAGAACACCGCAAUUCUUAUUAUGAAGAUUGGGAGUUCCAUUGCAGAAUAGCUAUCGAUUUUCUUUGUCUCCCAUGCGCUUUCCUAAAUGAAGAUCAGGCGAAGUUACUGCCAAAUGUGAUUUCUCCCUCCCACGCUUCGCAGGAUUAGGUAUGUGCUAGAUAUCAAAAAGUAGUGCGAAGAUGUUGAAGAUGUUCUCUGCCUUUAUUGUAGAUGAGAAUAUCAUCAAAAAAAUACCAGAUAAAUGCCUUAGAUAGUUAAUAAAGUUCAUACUCUGAAACGUAGACACACUGCCACUCGCGUGUGUCCACAAGCGGCAUCACACGCAAUUCGUUUAGUGACCUCAUCUGUGUGCGAUAAUGUUGUCUUAGCAAUGUCGGACCUGUGCAGUUCGGAUUUGAUUUGGUAAAUGAUCGUAAAAUCUAGUUUAGAAAGUGAGAUUGAAACCCGAGUUAACUCAAUAAUCAUCACCAAUGGUUAUUAGGAAAUUAUCCUUGAUCGAUGUUGUCGUGAGGCGCCCUGUAAUUACGCAUAGCCGCCCGACCUUUUUUUUUCUAACUUUAGCACUUUACCGGGCGACGAGUAGGGGCUAUUUGCUCAGUCUUAAUUAUUCCUGAUUUAGCAUUUUUCUGUCCAAUCUUCUCAAUUUUUCAAUUUUUUAAUAUGCAGGAGUAUCUAUAUGUUAAACGUUAACUUGGGUUCGCCCCGUCUUUUAAAGGCGAUUUGUGGUCUUGUACUCUUUUGUGGCUGGCAGACCCUACGGUUCAACGAAUAGAUCAGAAUAUUCCUCAGAAGCAAUUGAAUCUUUUCGAAACAGGUUUAUCUUAACCCUUUCCCACUCAGUUCCCGUACUUCAACUAAUUCUGUUUUGAAUAUAUCUUGGAUUAGCCAAUGUAUAGAGCAUAUGUGCGUAUGCAGAACAAGAUGUGUUUCCUUGUAUAUUUUAUGAGUUCCUCCUCCCUGUUUUUUCAUUACAACUUGUCUCUUGCGAGCUCGCGAGGCACCUUUUUGGUUUCGCUGGAAAUGGAAUUCCCAUUGCGUAGUUUGCUUGAAAUCCCACAAAAUGGCCUCUAAUUGUAUGAGCCAUUGUAUUCUUUAGCACCAUAUAACCUUCAAGGCCUCCCAGGUAGAGAGGCGACACGAAUUGACGUACUCUCACGGUAUAAUUUCUUAUUUUCCGUGGCGAGUAUAUUCAUGAUUCAGAUUAAUUAUUUAAUUAUAUAUGAUUCAGUAUGAAGACGACUUCCAAAAACGCAAGCGGAACAGUUUAGGGUACCUUUCGAUUUUAAGAGGACCUCUGUAAUGCCUGAAUAGACAUGAAUUUUGAGUAAAAGAUGGAUUUUAUAACACAAUCCAUUGUAUAGUUAGGCUUAAACCAUGGGCAUACCAGUGUACAAUGAUGUAUAUAUGAUAUAAAGAGCAAAUGAUUAGUUCAACAGACAUAAAUGGUCCAAUUGAACUUAAUUUGGAUUACACUAUAGUUUUAAAGGGUUAAUCCAAUUAGAAUUUAAAUAAUCUAGUUGUAUGUAAGAUUUAGUGGGUUUGAAUCGAUUAACUCUAAUUGUAUGUGUCAGAGUCAAUCGGUUUAGUCACCAUAUAGCAGGAAAAUUCUAUUGUAUUAGAAAGCCGAUUUGAUAUAGAUUAACUCUAAUUUAUACAUAUUAGAAGUGUAAUUAAUUUAUUGAACAUCUAAGCAAUGUAUAUUUAUAGGAGAAGAGAUCUAAGUUGAAGGAUUGGCUUAAUAAAAUAUUAGGAUUAGCCAAAAUUGAUUUAAAUUAAACUCUAAUUAUACAUAUUAGAGUCUAACUUGGUUUCUUUUGUUUGAACUCUAAGUAAAUGUAUUAGAGUCCAAUCGAUUUAAUUAUUUUUACCUUAGUCAUAUAUACUAAGAUAAAAAGACGAUUUGAUCAAUUCUAAGCAUAUAUUUAGAAUUUGAUCGAGUUUGAAUAUAGUUGUGAUUUGACUCUAGUUUUAUAUGCUAGAGAAUCGGGUUGAAAUAGUUUGUUUCUAAGGACUUGGUAUAGAGAAGAGGUUGGAUUAGGUUGUGCAUGACUUGGGUUUGAGGUUAGGUUUGGACUUUGAUUUGGUUAUUAUGGUAUAGGUUUCAUAUAUGGCUUGUCAAAUUUGGAUUGGAUUGGAAUUAAAGAUUGGGUUCAGCUUGGAUCAAUCCGAAUUAAAUAAUUGGGUUGGGUUUAUAUUUAGUCUUGGACAUGAAUUUGGGCUCAUUUGGAGAUAUAAUUAGGCUGAGUUUAUAUUUGGCCUUGGACAUGAACUUAGGCCCAUUCGGAGAUAUAAUUGGGCUGGGUUUAUAGUUGGUGUUGGACAUGAACUUGGGCCCAUUCAAAGAUAUAACUGGGCUGGGUUUAUAUUUGAUCUUGAACAUGAAUCUGGGCCGAUUCGGAGAUAUAAUUGUGCUGGGUUUCUAUUUGGUCUUGGACAUGAACUUAGGCCCAUUCGGAGAUAUAAUUGGAUUGGGUUUAUAUUUAGUCUUGGACAUGAACUUGGGCCCCUCCAGAGAUAUAAUUGGACUGGGUUUACAGUGUUAAGAUUAAGCCCGUACAGCUUAUUCAAACUUGAGAUUUCAACAGAAAAUUUCAAAGACACUUUGAAAUCACGUUUUAAAUUUGGGUUUCAAAUCCAUAGAUAAAUCCUCAUUUAGUGUGUGUGUGAGUAUAUAUAUAUAUAUAGUAUUUGAAAAGAGUUCAAAAAUUCAAGAUAAUUUAAGUUUUGAAUUUUUAAUUCAAAACAUAAUGAAUAAAUAAAUAACAAAUAUUUUCUUUCUUCCGUCUCCCAUCUUAGAGUAACAAUAAUAAUAAUUCCUCGCCUCCUUUUUGCAAUAUUUAUCAAUAUGAGCAUUAAUUAAUAUAGUCGGCAACGGCGCAGUGUUCAUGGCGAUCACCAAAUUAAAUUGAUUAUGUACAUAUAUGUCUCUCCUGUUUUUUUUUAACGACAAAAAGUUCUGAUCCUCAAUCGUCGUCGUAGAACGCAUGAAAGACUUCAAAGCAGAAUCAGACUUGAAAAUUAAGCCAAAUCCGCAAAGCACCAAAAUAAUUACUUUAUCAAUACAGGCUGNCUGGUAUGCUUCUGGAAGCAUGGAGCGCUCCGUGCUUCUAAGUCGUUUUCGAUGUUGAGACUUUUGAAUCGACGAUCAGCUCCGUUGUACUUGAUCUAGAGUAUUUUAAGUAUCUAGAAAAUAAAUUUUGUGAUUUUUUUAUAUCAUUUGCCUAGUGAUCGAAUUGUAAAUUCACAUAAACCCAAUCUCCUAUUUGUAGUUCCCUUUCCGAUCUUCCCUUGUUAGCUAGUUGUCGCAUCCUAUUCUGGGCCUUAGCUAGAUUAUCCUUUAUUACUCGUACAGCCGCCUCUCUAGCCGAUAAAGUACGAUCUACAGCUUCAAACGAUGAGUAGCCAGCCAGGUACGACACAUGCAAGGGUGGCGCUUGCCCAUAGACCACCUCGUAUGGAGUAGUUUGGAUGGAAGAGUGAUAAGAUGUGUUGUACCACCACCAUUCAGCUAACGGUAACCAUCACGACCACUCCCUAGGGAAAUCUCCGGUCAUGCACCGUAAAUAUAAUUCUCAAGACAGCGAUUUAUAACUUCUCUUUGUCCGUCCAUUUGUGGGUGGUAGGCAGUCGAGAGAUUGACCUUCACAUGAAGUUUCUUGAACAACUUGCACCAAAAUAGACUAAUGAAAAUCGGGUCUUUAUCGCUUACAAUACUUCUGUAACGACUCAACCCCCUAGCAACAAUAACUCGUUGGGCCCAAACACCGACCCAAAAUGCUUAAGCCUAGUUAUUAUUACUAGUGUCUAAGUUUCUUAUAUAUCCAAUCACAUCCUCAUUCCUAUUCGAUAUGGGAUUAUUGGGGUGUGACAGACUCCCCCCGUUAAGACCCUGACGUCCUCGUCAGUCCAAUCACACACACAGCCCAAGAUCACCAGGCGAUGUGAGACUCGUCUCGCUAGCCUUGUCAUCCAGACCCUGGCAUAGUCGGUCACCUUCUCAUACAGACUCCGGUAUAGCCUAUCACCUUAUCUUUCAGACCCUGGCUCAGCUGAGACUCGCCACACAUUUUCGGCUGGUAAUUGGCUUUGAUACCAAAUGUAACGACCCAGCCCACUAGCAACAAUAACUCGUUGGGCCCAAACAUCGACCCAAAAUACUUAAGCCCAGUUAUUAUUACUAGUGCCUAAGUCUCUUAUAUACCCAAUCAUAUCCCCAUUCCUAUCCGAUGUAGAAUUAUUGGGGUGUGACAACUUCUUGGCAAUUCGUGUAGCUUGUAGAUAUUGUUCAUAAAUUCUUGAGCAAUAGAAGAAGCAGUGUAAGGGUGGGAUAAUGCUAUGAAUUAAGCGUACUUGCUCAACCUAUCCACCACGACCAUGAUUACCUCCUUCUGGUAAGACACUGUCAAUCCUUCGAUAAAAUUCAUGAAAAUUUCCAUCCAAAUGUGUUCAGGUAUUGGUAGGGGUUGUAGAAGACCCGCCGGUGCUGCUGUUUCAUACUUAUUUUGCCGAUAAACCGGGCAUUCUCGAAUAAAUUGAUCAACAGUUUGUUUUAACUUCUUCCAGUAGAAGUAACUCCUUAACCUCCUGGUUGUUGCUUCCGAACCGGAGUGACCCCCUAAGCCGCUGGAAUGGAACUCAGUGACGAGUUGCAACUGUAACCCGGGGUCAUUGCCAACUACUAGUUUCCUUUUCCUCUUAAGUUGGUUCUGAGACUAUGUGUAGUGCGGCCAAGAUUUUGGAUCUUGUUGCUUCUGCUGUAUAAUGGUCUUUAACUUGUUAUCUGACUUCCAACUGGACUUGAUUUGAUCCAACAUAUCGGUUCCCACUACUGAAAUUGCUUGCAAGGUAGGUGAUCUAGAUAAGGCAUCGGCGACCACAUUGUCUGUUCCAUUCUUAUAUACUAUUUCAUAAUCAAACCCCAUUAGCUUAGAAAGCCAUUUUUGCUGGCUGGGAGUAGAUAUUUUUUGCUCCAUUAAGAAUUUUAAACUUUGAUGAUCAGUCCUUAUCUUAAAAUGCCGUCCAACUAGAUAUGGUCUCCAUUUUUGUACCGCAAUUACUAUUGCUAACAUUUCUCACUCGUAAGCUAACAGCAAUCGAUUUGUUGGGGAUAAUGGCUUGCUCAAAUGCAAUUGGUUGGCCUUUUUGUAGCAAACUCCACCUACCCCUACUCCGGAUGCAUUCGUCUCGACAAUAAAUUCGGUUGCAAAAUUAGGGAGUGCCAAUGCUGGGGCGGUAGAGAUUGCCACUUUUAGUUGUUGAAAAGCUUGAUAGCUUACAUCAGUCCAUUUAAACCCAUAUUUUGCUAACAUAUCAUGCAAGGGCUUGCUUAUUUUCCCAAAAUUUUUAACAAAGUGUCUAUAAUAACCUGCUAAUCCCAAGAACACCCGCAAUUCUUUUAUUGAAGAUGGAGUUGUCCAUUGCAGAAUAGCUUCGACUUUUCUUUGUCUCCAUUGCGACCCUUUCCUGGCUAAUAAUAUGACCCAGAUAUUCCAGGCGAGCUACUGCAAAUGUGCAUUUCUUCCACUUGAGGAAUAAGGUAUGUUGCCUAAGAAUAUCAAAAGUAGUCCGAAGAUGUUGAAGAUGUUCCUCUGCUCCUUUAUUGUAGAUGAGAAUAUCAUCAAAAAAUACCAGAAUAAAUCGCCUUAGAUAGGGUUUAAAAAUAAGGUUCAUCAACCCUUGAAACGUAGAAAGUGCAUUGGUGAGUCCAAAGGGCAUCACCAAGAAUUCGUAGUGACCCUCAUGUGUGCGAAAUGUUGUCUUAGCAAUGUCGGCCUCGUGCAUCCGGAUUUGAUGGUAACCUGAUCGUAAAAUCUAGUUUAGAAAAGUGAGUUGAACCCCCGAGUUCAUCCAAUAAUUCAUCCACCAAUGGUAUAGGAAAUCUAUCCUUGAUCGUGUUGUCGUUGAGGGCCCUGUAAUCUACGCAUAGCCGCCACGACCCUUUUUUUUUUUAACUAGCACUACCGGGGACGAGUAGGGGCUAUUGCUCAGUCUAAUUAUUCCCUGAUUUAGCAUUUUCUGUACCAAUCUCUCAAUUUCAAUUUUUUAAUAUGCAGGGUAUCUAUAUUGUCUAACGUUAACUGGGUUCGCCCCGUCUUUUAAAGGAAUCUUGUGGUCUUGUACUCUUUUGGGCGGCAGACCCUACGGUUCAACGAAUAGAUCAGAAUAUUCCCUCAGAAGCAAUUGAAAUCUUUUUACGAACAGGUCAUCUAACCCUUCCCACUCAGUUCCCGUUACUUCAACUAAUUCUGUUUGAAUCAUAUCUUGAGUAGCCACAUGUAUAGAGCAUAAGUGUACUGCAGAACAAGAUGUGUUUCCUUGUAUCAUUUUCAUGAGUUCCUUCCUGUUUAUCAGUUACAAACUUGUCUCCUGCGAGCCUCGAAGCACCACCUUUUGUUUCCUGAAAUGGAAUUCCAUGCGUAGUUGCUUGAAAUCCCACAAAAUAGGCCCUAAUUGUAUGAGCCAUUGUAUUCUUAGCACCAUAUCACACCCCUUCAAGGGUAGUGUCUGCGACCACGAAUGACGUACCUCUCACGGUUAAUCUUAUUUUCCGUGGGGUAAUAUUCAUGAUUCAGAUUAAUAUUUAAUUAUAUAUGAUUAUCAGGUAUUGUGGAUUCAUGACUUCCAAUAAACGCAAGCGUUUAUUGUUAAUUACCCCUUUAAAGUGUUAGGGUACCUUCGAUUAAGAGACCUCUGUAAUGCUGAAAUAGACUGAAAUUGAAUAAAAGAUGGAUUUUAUAACACAAUCCAUUGUAUAGUUACAUGGCUUAACCAGGGGCAUACCCCAGUGUACAUGAGUAUAAUAUGAUAUAAAAGAGAAAAUGAUUAGUUCAACGACAUAAUGGUCAAUUGAACUUAAUUUGGAUUACACCUAUAGUUUUAAAGGGUUAAUCCAAUUAGAUUUAACUAAAUCCUAGUUGUAUGUAUUAGGAUUUAGUUGGGUUUGAAUCGAUUAAACUCUAAUUGUAUGUGUCAGAGUCCAAUCGGAUUUGAGUCCACCAUAAGGUGCAGGAUGGCUAAAUCUAUAUGUAUUAGAAUUAGCCGAUUUGAUAUAGAUUAACUCUAAUUAUACAUAUUAGAGUCUAAUUAAUUUAAUUGAACUCUAAGCAUGUAUAUUAGAGUCCCACCAUAUUUGAGUUCACUCUAAGUUGAAGGAUGGCUAAAUACUAAAUAUAUGUAUUAGGAUUAGCCAAAAUUGAUUUAAAUUAAACUCUAAUUAUACAUAUUAGAGUCUAACUUGGUUUCAUUUGUUUGAACUCUAAGUAUAUGUAUUAGAGUCCAAUCGAUUUAAUUUGAUUAGGUGAAACCUAAUUCAUUAUUUUUACCUUAGUCAUAUAUACUAAAAUAAAAAGAUAGUUUGAUCAAUUCUAAGCAUAUAUUUAGAAUUUGAUCGAGUUUGAACAUGGUUGUGAUUGGACUAGUUUGUUUCUAAGGACUUGGAGAAGCGGUUGGAUUGAUAUAGUCCUAUAGUUAUGGCUUAGGACAAAUGUUGAUUUGAAUUUGGAUCAGGUUUUGUAUAAUUUGAAUUGGUUUAGAUUUGGAAUUUGAUUUUGAUUGACAUGAUCUGGGCUUGAGAUGUAGGUUGGCCAUUGGAUUUAGGCUUGGGUUGAGGUCAGGCCCGUAUAGUUUAGGUUUAAAAUCAAGCCUGGAUUAGAUUUAACAGGCUAUAUUUGGGUUCAGGCUCAAUGUGGGUUAGAAUAGUACAUGUCUGUCUGUUUGGGCCAAAUUUCGGCCCAUGUAGUUUGGGUUUAGCUUGGAUCAAUCCGAAUUAAAUAAUUGGGUUCGGUUUAUAUUUAGUCUUGGACAUGAACUUGGGCUCAUUCAAAGAUAUAAUUGGGCUGGAUUUAUGUUUGGCCUUGGACGUGGACUUAGGCCCAUUCAGAGAUAUAAUUGGGUUGGGUUUAUAUUUGGUGUUAGACAUGAACUUGGGCCCAUUCAAAGAUAUAAUUGGGCUGGAUUUAUAUUUGAUCUUGAACAUGAAUCUGGGCCCAUUCGAAGAUAUAAUUGUGCUGGGUUUCUAUUUGGUCUUGGACAUGAAUUGGGCCCAUUCGGAGAUAUAAUUAGACUGGGUUUACAGUGUUAAGAUUAGGCCCAUACAGCUUAUUCAAACUUGAGAUUUCAACAGAAAAUUUCAAAGACACUUUGAAAUCACGUUUUAAAUUUGGGUUUCAAAUCCAUAGAUAAAUCCUCAUUUAGUGUGUGUGUGAGUAUAUAUAUAUAUAUAGUAUUUGAAAAGAGUUCAAAAAUUCAAGAUAAUUUAAGUUUUGAAUUUUUAAUUCAAAACAUAAUGAACAAAUGAAUAAACAAAUAUUUUCUUUCUUCCGUCUCCCAUCUUAGAGUAACAAUAAUAAUAAUUCCUCGCCUCCUUUUUGCAAUAUUUAUCAAUAUGAGCAUUAAUUAAUAUAGUCGGCAACGGCGCAGUGUUCAUGGCGAUCACCAAAUUAAACUGAUUACGGACAAAUAUGUCUCCCUUUUUUUUUUUAACGACAAAAAGUUCCGAUCCUCAAUCGUCGUCGUAGAACGCAUGAAAGACUUCAAAGCAGAAUCAGACUUGGAAAUUAAGCCAAAUCCGCAAAGCACCAAAAUAAUUACUUUAUCAAUACAGGCUGCGGCUUCAUCAUAAUUAAUUGCCGAAUCCAUCAAGCACCAAAGCAAUUACUUUAUCAAUGCAAGCUACGGCUACAUCGUAAUUAAUUGCUGAAUCCGCAAAGAACCAAAGCAAUUACUUUAUCAAUACAAGCUGCAGCCACAUAUCUAUUCAUCAUAAUUAAUAUACAUCUCCUUAAUUUGCAUGCAUGUGAGGGAGCUUGUUCACGUAAUACACAUGUUAUUUCGCGCGGUAGAUGAGUGGAGACCGUUCUUCUCUUCUGCCGACCGCUAAGCGCCAAACGGAAGAUCGCCGGCUUCACGUCUUCUCCGUCAUCGUUGUCGACGCGCCGUUAAUUCCGUCAACGGCUAAGCGCCAAACGGAAGGUCGUCAGCUUCACGUCGUCUCCGUCAUGGUUGUCGAUACGCCGUUAAUUCCGCCAUGGUCGUCGAUGCGUCGUUAAUUCCGCCGACGGCUAAGCGCCAAACGGAAGGUCGUCAGCUUCACGUCAUCUCCGUCGUGGUUGUCGACGCGCCGUUAAUUCCGCCGACGGCUAAGCGUCGACGAAUGAAGCUCCAUCGUUAUUGUCGAUGCGCUGUUACUUUCGUCGAUGUCGUCGAUGCGCCGUUACUUCCGUCGACGGCUAAGCGCCAAACGGAAGGUCGUCAGCUUCACGUCGUCUCCGUCGUGGUUGUCGACGCGCCGUUAAUUCCGCCGACGGCUAAGCGCCGACGAAUGAAGCUCCACCGUUAUUGUCGAUACGCCGUUAAUUCCGCCAUGGUCGUCGAUGCGCCGUUAAUUCCGCCGACGGCUAAGCGCCGGCGAAUGAAACUCCGCCGUUGUUGCCGAUGUAGAGAUGGAUGGAGGCUAUUCUUCUCUUCCGCCGAUGGCUAAGCGCCAAACGGAGGAUCGUCGGCUUCACAUCAUCUCCGCCAUGGUUGCCGAUGAAGCUCCGCCGUUGAUGUAGGGAUGGAGGGAGGACGCGAGUAUUAUUAUUAUUAUUAUUAUUAUUUUUUGUGAGGAGGAGAAGAAAGAAAAUAUAUUUCUUCUUUUUUUUGAAUGGAUAUUUGUACCUUUUUUUUGAACGAAUCUUGUUUCUCUCUCUUUUUUUUUUUGCCAAAGUAGUUGAUCUCUCUAACAACUUUUCUAAAAAAAUCCUCCCUCUUUCAUUGUAUCUUUCCCUCUUUUAUAGACUUUUUUAGUUAGUGCAUAAGUGGGUAGUUUUUUUUUUUUAGUGGGUUAGUGGGUUAAUAGGAGAGAUUAGUGGGAAGGUGGGAAGGGUAGUUAGUUUUCCCCUUUUUUUUCUCGUAGUGGGUUUUCUUUUUUUUUUUUAUUUUAUUUUAUUUUAUUUUAUUUUAUUUUAUUUUUUUUAAGCAUGGAACUGAUCUUAACCGUCAGUUCAAAAAUUCAAAACCAUUGAGAUGCCAUAUAGAACCAAUUAAUCAUGCCCGGUUAAUUAGUGGCUCAAAACCAUUGAGAUGCCAUCAUGGCCCGGUUAAUUAGAGAUGCCAUAUAGAACCAAUUAAUCAUGCCCGGUUAAUUAGUGGCUUAAAACCAUUGAGAUGCCAUCAUGGCCCGGGUAAUUAGUCGCCCGGCUCAGUCGCACCAUCUUUUUUUUCUUUUCACCCAACCCCUUUUUUUAAAUAAAUAUAUAUAAUCGUGGGCCCACUUUUUUAUGUAAGAGAAAACAAUAAUAAUAAUAAUAUGCAGAUAUUCGGGCUUAGGUUCGGAUUCAACCUGGACUUGAAUUAGAUUUGACUUGACUAUAUUUGAAUUCAAAAUUUGAAUCUAUCACGUUCUCCUCUUUUUUCUUAUUACACUCAAACAGGUAGUAGCAGCAUGCCAAUGUCAAACUCUACUCCUUGCAUCUUCCAUUGGAACCCUUUGCACAUGGGCGAACUUGUUAGCCGGUUACUAUCUGCUACAUUUACUGUAACUGGGGGAAUAUCUUCGGUAUGACACCCCAAUUUCGACGCUAUAGCCGAAUCUAGGAAGUGUGAACUUCCUGAAUCUAUAUGGACAUGGAUUCUCCUGUUUUUUGCAGUACCAGAGAGUCACAUGGUCCUGAAAUCAAGAGGUUGUGCGUGACCUGCCAGGGAUAGAGAGAGAUUUGGGGUGAGGAGAUUAAAGCUUCAGAUUCUACAGCAGUUUCUUCCAAGCUAUCAGCCUCUGCUGGGUCCUCUUCUUCCACCAGUUCAAUCUUGUACAAUUGUUUUUUCCUGCACUGAUGUCCUGGAGAAUAUUUCUCUUCACACCAAAAACAUAACCUCUUAGCCCUUCUUUCAUCGAAAUCAGCGUUGGAGACGUUUCUCACCAGUUUCGUUGCCACUGGUCCCACUCCUAACACACUUGGCUGGUUUGUAUUUCUAAGCAUUCUUGAGGAUUCGAAGAUAUUUCAGUUGUUGGUGGCCUUUGAAGUUGGUAAUGUAGGCAAGUUCCCGGCUACUAGUUUGGCUCCUCCCUUGUAGAGCUUAUUACGACUAUCCACUGCCAGUUCUUGCAACUUGGCCAAACUUAGUGCCUUUUGUAGCGUGCGUGGUUGGAACAUCUCGCACCGGAAUCUGGAUUUCCUUUUUUAAUCCACUAAGGAAGUAGCUUAUAGCAUAUUCUUCUGUUAAUACUACUCUAUUUAACAAGGCGUCAAACUUAUCUUGAUACUCCAUGAUAGACCCAACUUGCCUCAAUUCCUUAAGCUCUGCCAUCGGAUCAUCAUACAGAUCUACUCCGAAUCGUGUGUUAACGGCAAAUACAUAUUCUUCCCAGGUGGGUGGCGAGCGAGUGAACCUAGACUUCAUGUAAACCUGAUGCCAUUGAAGAGCCCUACUUUCUAGAUAGGUCGUAGCUAAUUUUACUUUAGCAUCUUCCUCAGUUCCGUCAAUUUCAAAAAAUUGUUCACAUCUAUACACCCAUCCUUUCAAAUCCAUUCCAUUGAAUCUAGGAAACUCUACUUUAGUAAAGCGCGAAGAUAAUUGGGAUUUGAUUGGAUUGUUACUUUCUGCUCGUGGUUUUGAGGGGGCAUCGCGGCUCGUUCCACCAAACAAUGAUGCUUGCAAUCCGAUGAACAUUUGGCGUACCUCGCUCAUGUCCUUUUCUUGGCAAUCUCGGACCUCCUGAAUCGAUUGCUUUUGUCGUGUGGCCGUGUCCCUGAUCAAUUGCCGCUACACCUCCUCCAUCUUUUUGAGUUCUUGAGCCCGUGUCUCCAUAGCCUGAUUAAUUGCUGAGGAUCGAUGCUCUGAUACCAAGCUGAUGCCACCAAUUAAGGACCUGGAGUAGAGGACCUAAAGGAAUGGUCCUGGAGCUCCAACCAUGGCAGCGUGAGGACAUGGAACAACAGCAGUAGCAGAGGAAGGAGAAGAAGAGUGAGAGGGGCGGAAACUAAAUUCUAUUAUCAUUAUAACUGGUUAUAAUUACAUGACCAUUCCCUGUUUAUAGCAGGCGAUGGCAUUACUGCAAAUAAAAUGAAAAGACAACAAUGUGGCCUGGGUAGUUAAGGUUGUUAAGUUGGUUGGCUACGGACGGCUGAGAUUGACUUGGGUGCGAUCCACAACCCAAAAUGAAGUGAUUUGGCCGGCCAGAUUGAUUGCUCCCCUUUGCUCCUAAUUUGUAGGUGUGUCAAAUAGAUGGGAUCGAAGCGGCAGAGGCAGGAAUAAAGGGGAUCGAAGCGGCGACGGGGUCGAUGCGGCGUCAAUGAACGGCUUCAAUGAAACUCCGGCGAGGGCGGCGUAUGAUAGAAGCGACAAAAAACCAUGGAACCCAGCCGGUUUAUGGAAAUAAGAACCAGUUCAAAAAAAAUUGAAACGAAGAACCGGUUCAAGCAUGGAAAAGGAACCAAUUCAUUAAAGGAACAGGAAAAACCGAUAGACCGAUUCAAUAAAAAAUCGAUGAAAUAGAUGAAACACCAACAGAUGGGUCCCAUAUUCAACUAAAAUUUGCCGAACCGGUUCAAGCAUGAGAAGAGCAACAAACAAAACCAAAUUGGUUCAAGGAUGGAAAAAGAACAGGUUGAAUAAAAAAGAAAUAAAAACCAGUUCAAAGUUUAAAAAGGAACUGGUUCAAUAAAGCAUUACGAAACAUCGGUUUCCAUUUAAACCGGUUCAGAGAUACAAGGAGGAAUCAAAAAAAAGAGUAACCAAUCUAAUGUACGGAAUACCGAUUCCCACUUUUAAGCAAAUAAUAUGGGUGAAAUAAUGAACGGAACCGGAUCAAUUAUGAGAAGAGGAGCCGGUCCACGAAUCAAAAGAGAAACCGGUUAAAAAAAAACAUGAAAAUAUGGGACCCACGACGGGUCCCACAUCUACCAAAAUUAAGGCUCAUAUAACACGUGGAUAGCCAACAUGGAAAUUAAUAGAGGUUAAUAGAUAAUAGAUUUCUAUAUUUAAUACAUUGUUAUCAACGUAAAGUUAUAUAUAAUUUUAUUUGCUACUUUUUAUUAAUUAUUAGUGAAGCAUUUUGGUUAGUGACAUUUAUUGAUACGCUUUUUUAGUGCAUCAAAUUAGAAAGAUGCCAUUUGACAACAUAUGAUGAAUUUGAGGCCGGGCACGUUUGGUUCGCACUAUAAAAAAUUACUAGAAAUAAAAAAACGUCCGAAGAUUUUAUUCUUACUCAUUCUAUUAUUAAGAAUAUGGUAUUUUGGUGUUGAGUUUGAUAUUAUUUAAGAUUACGAAAAAUAUACAAUUAAUAUAUGUGUUUCGUAAAUUAAUUUCAAAUAAUACUAUCAAAAACAUUAACAUCUUUUUUGAAUAAGAUAUUAAUGAUCAAAUAAUAAUAAACAAAAUAAUUAGUUAAUAUAGUUUUUUUUCAACAAUAAUAAAGGAUUUAUUUUUAGGUAAAUUGAGAAAACUUAGCUUAGAGAGAGAGAUAGAGAAAUUUAAGUUUAAAGAAAGAGAUAGUUGAGAUUAGAAAGAGAAUUUUUUAGAUUAGAGAUAUGAAGAGAUAAAAAGAGCGGAACAGCUUAGUUUAAAAAGAGAUAUUUGAGGUUAGAGAGAACGACAAAAUUGAGAUUUUAAAGAGAGAGGGAGAGAGCAUAGGUUAGGAAGAGAGAAUAGUUAAAGAAAUUGGAAGAGAGAUAGAGUCGAGAUUAGAGAAAGUGAAAGAGUUGAUAUUUUAGAAAGAGAGGGGGGGGGGAGAGAGCUUAGAUUAUAUAGAGAAAAAAUUUUAAGUUUAGAGAGAGAAAGAUAAAGUUAGAGAGAGAUAUGAGAUUAAAGAGUAAAUAAAAAUAAUACCAACUAGCCAGUCGGUGAAGAGAAAGAAAAUGAGUGUGCCGGAUUAGACAUAUUAUGAUUAUUCUAAUUUAUUAUUAUGAGGAUAUCUACUUUUUUUUUUCAAGGACUUUAGGAUUAAACUCAUUUCGAAGGAAAUCCAACAUUAUCAACUAAACUACUUAGUGCGUUAGUCAAAUGCCAUCGUAUUCUUUUUAUUACUAUUGAAUUACUGAGAAUCUUGAAAAGAUAGCGCGAACCAUACGUAACUUCAAAGUUAUUAUUCUAAAUUUUAUUAUUUAUUUAUAUAUGAAUAUAUAAUUUCCUUCAUAGCCAUGCAUUAUUGCAUCAAUAAAAAGCAGAAAACAAAUAAAUAUAUCAUGUAUAGGUGACAGUUAUCUAAUUCCCAGGAGAAAAUCUUUUCGAAAGCGAAAUAUCAGAUGCCCAAAGAAUAUCCGCGCGCAGUUUAUCCACCCCACGAGCAUUAAUCAAUAAUCUCACCGUCCAUAAGCUUGAACAAGAAAUAAUUGCUUGGACUCUGUCUACCACAUCAUCUGUGAACCAUGCAUUUCUUAUCUAAAUCUAAUGCCUAUGCUUAAUUUCUAAAACUGUAGCUUUUUUUUUUAUUGAAAAUUGACUUUUUUAUAUAAAAAAAUUCAUUGAGUGGUUCGGUUAAGGGUCUAUUUUGUUCUGCUGUUGGAUAUGUGUUGUUUGAAUAGUAUAUUUUUUUAAUGAUACUAUUAAAAUAGGUAAUAUACUUCUAUGCCUAAAAAAAAAGUUCAAAAUAGAAAAUUUAUUUAUGCGUCUACUCUUUUUGUUUAUUUCCAAACCAAACGAUACCUAGAUGUAUAUAAAAUCUAUCUUUUGAUUGUGAGGACGCAACAUAUAAGAUCCAAACUUGGAUAUCAAAACUUGAUGUACAAGUAGAAUUGCUCUUCAAAAAGUUUGUGUUUUUAAAACAUCAUACAAAGUCCUGUUUAGUAUUGCUAUUCUUUUUAUCAAACAAAAAUUAGAUAUAAUUAAAUAUGUCAAAAUUUAAUUAUAUCUAAAUAAGUACUGAGAAAAAAAUUAUGUCAGGAAUGAGUACUGAAAAAAAAAAAAAUAUGUCAAAAAUUUAUUUCUUUUCGUAAUCAGUGCGGCAAAAUCCAUCAUCUCCUCUUGCACCCUUUCAUGUAUAAUAAAAAAAAUACCAAAUAAGGACUAUAUAUAUAUAUAUGCAUGGUUGAUCAGCUUACUAACACAAAUAACUAGUCGGGCUCUAAUCAUCGGCUUAAAAUGCUUAAACUCAGUUAUUAGUACUGGUGUCCUUCUUUCGGCUAAUGAACCGGCUCUAAUAAUAACUGUAACAAUCAAAUCCACCGGUAUCAAUUCUUCGUUAGGUACUAACCAUGGACUCAAAAUGUUUAAAUUCAAUUAUUAUUUGUGUGUCUGCCAUAUUUUUUUAUAGGGUCAAUUACAUACAGGUCCCUACAAAAAUAAUGAAUUACAGAUAUAUCCUUGUAAAGUUCAACUUUUAUAAGUUUUUCCUAUAAAAGUUUUAAUGUUUUCAGAUAUAUCCCUACUAGAAUCCAUUAGAAAAGUUUAGUCAACUGUAGAUUAAAUACUUUACCCGAGUACAUUUUUGAUAUUUUUACCCCUCUUAUAUUAUACUGUUAUAAUUUUUGAAGGGGCAUAUUUGUGAUGACAAAAUUGGAAAUAUAAACAGUUUUCUAACAGUUCUCUAACGAUAACAAACCAAAGGGACACAUCUGAAAAUAUUAUGAUUUUUACAGAAAUAACUUAUGAAAGUUAAACUUUACAGAAAUAUAUUUAUAAUUUACUAUAUUUGCGAAAACCUGUAUGCUAUUAAUCCUUUUUUAUAUUACGGAUGUGAUCGUAUCGGAGUGUCGUAACGCUGGUAAAAGUGCCAUGGCCACGGCUGAUGUGGUGGACCUGUCGGCCCAACAAAUUUUCGUGGGACCGACCGUCCCUAGAGCAAGCGGCAAAGGACUUAGUGGUUGGUACUCGAGAUUCAAGUUUGAAUUCUAAUUGAUUCACAUUUUUAGCUAAGUUUAUUUCUGAAUAGAAUAAACGAAGUGGGUAACGUGCUACCUAUCUCUAAAAAAAAAAAAAAAAAAUUUAUUGGAGACAGUUUUCAACUUUUCAACGUAUCACCAGUAAAAAAAAAAAAAAAAAACAAAAAACAAAAUUUCGUGGGAUUGUCUGUGCACCUUGGAACCAUGAGACCCACCCAGUCCGGCUCUCCGCAAACUGUCUCCGCUCGACGCUGCUGCUUUCAAGGAGAGUGUUUAGUAGUAGUGCCUAUUGCUAUUGCUAUUGCUAUUGCUAUUGCUAUUGCUAUCUGGUAUUUGGUAUUAUUAGAUCAUUCGCACCCCCACGACGUACUCGAGGGUCGGGCUCAUUGGACGGCCACGAUCUCCUCGUCUCGAGAUCGUACGGAAGCGGCGCGCUUGUCGGCUACCUCCACGCGAGUUCAGGGAAGAAAAAUGCUAGUCUCUUUCGGAAGCUUCCGAUUUUGUUGUAAUAAUAUAAUAAUUUUUUAUAUGUAUUUUUAAAAAAUUAAUUUUGAAUUUUAUUUUUUGUAAAUUUGUAUUUUUAUUUUAUAUCCGUUGUAGAAAAAAAUAAUCCACUGUGUCAUUUUUUUUUUCUUUUUUUAGCAUAAAAUAAUAUAAUAAUAUGUUUUUUGAAUAAUGCUAUCUCUAUAAUAAUCCAAAUAGAAUUGUAAGAUUACACCCCUUUUUAAAUUAUAAAUUAAACUUUUUUAUUUUCUCUAUUACUUUCAAUUUGGAUCGUUAUCUCUCAUAAGUUCAGGUGUAUAAAAGAAAGAAAAUACAUCUAGAAUUAAGUUAUUAAAAAUAUAUGCAAAAAUUAACAAGUCAGGAUGCUCACGUUAGUUGGAAAACUCUCCACCCAAGUUUUUACCCUAAACGCUGAUAGGCCAGGUGUAAAAUUUAUUUAUAUUUUAUUCAUCCAAAAAUCCACUAUUUGUUCUCUAAUCUUGUCAAAAAUAAAAAAUAAAAAAUAUAUAUAUAUAUAUAUAUAUAUAUAUAUAUAUAAAUUUAAAAAGAUUUUGUGAUCCCUAUGACGAUUACACGUAGCAUUUUCCUUUUUCGAUUGAGAAACAACGAUGGGCAGAUCCUUGUUAAAAGAAAACCGCCAUGAUGGCCUUUUUAUUGUGCCUACCAGUUUCUUCCUCUUCGUUCUUGUUUCAAGCUUCAGCGUCAUUAUCAGAAUCUCUCGAAUGUACGCAAUAAUUACAAUCCCCUUCCUGCUUCAUUUUCUCUGCUUAAUUGGUAGCAAAUUGAUACAGAGUUGGAUGAUUGCUUUCCAACUCGGUGAAUCGAAUGAAUUGAAUUUGGGGUUGUGUUCUUCUGUUUGGGAUUUGGUGCAAUCAUUUUUCUAUGUAAUCAUCAGAUUUUCUUGUUGGAAGUGUUUCCAAAUCGUCUGAAAUUAGUGAAUUCUUGUAUGUAUGUGAUUUGAUCCCAAUUGGUGGUUUAGAGGAUUCUGAGCAGGGUGAUAGAUUAUUAGAUUUUGAGCUGCUAUUUUGAAAGGUGAUUUCCUUUUUAUAUUGGUGAGUAGUUGUUCUUCUUUGGAUUUUCGAUUAUGAUCCACAUGAGUUUGUCACUGAUAUUGUCUGUUCUUCCAUGUUCACACAAGAACACACAAAAUUAUCUGCGAAUCUAGUGUUCUUGUACUAAUAAAAUCAAUUGUUGGGAAAGAACUUGCGUGAUUGCCGUGAUUAUUCAUCCCUGAUAUUGUGAUAAUUUAUUUGUUUCUAUGGAUUUUUGUGGUCAGUUUAUGUGAAGAAACAUGUCUUCUUGAAUCCAAUAUUGGGGAUAGCCAGGUAGUUCUUUCUAAUUUUUCCUUUCAAAUUUUGAAUAAAAAUUUAGACCUCAAAUUGCUCAAUCCUAUUUUCCUGUGUUUAUAACAUUGUAAUUCGUUAGUUUUGAAUGUUGUUCUGUUGAUGGACUCGAUAUAGGUAGCUUGAUAGCCAUUGUAUUUCUAUCUAUUGACAAAUAUUGUAUAUUUCUCAACCUAAUAAGGCCAUUAUUUCAUUCUAUGCUUCGCUUUUCCUGUUUCCGUAGAUAAAUUUGACAGUGCCAGAUUGCUGUUGAUGGAGUUCAAUGGUCAGAGUAACAGAGAUGGGAAAGAUAGGAAUUCAAGAGGGUAAUGAUAGGAAUUCCUCUAGUGAUGUUGAUGAGUUUGAUCCAUGGACGGCUUGGCUCUACAAGCCACGCACGGUCUCAUCGCUACUUGUCGGAGCCUGUUUUUUGAUGUGAGUUCUUGUUCUACAAUUUCAUCACUUAUUUAUGUAUAUAUUUUCUUGAUCUGAAGAUCAUAUUUUCUAUACUAAACUUCUACCAUUGCCUCAAAAGAAUGAUAGCAGAUAAUUUUAUGAGUGUAUAAACAUGUACGGAAAAGUUAUAGUACAAGCUUAUGUAGCUGGACUGUCCACAGUUGACUAACAUUUGGUACGUAUUAUCGAUACUUCCACUGUAAUGUUGUUUUUGAGGUAGCGAUGGCUUGAAUCACAUAGCAUCGGUAUUUAAACAAUUAGUGGAUAUUUGAAUGGCUAGACUGAACAUUGUUAAAACUUAAAAUGUUUGGCACCAUUAAGUAUUUCAUCCUUGGAUUAGCAGUUCAUAUACAGGUGCUUAAAGGCCCAUUUGUAACUUCCCAGGUUUUUCUUCAUAGAUGUUGACCAGUUUCAUGAUCUUGCUGGUUGGUUUUAUGAGAUUAUCAACGUUGCCUUAUUAUAUAUUUAUAUUGAUUGGUAGGGUAGCAUUUACACAGAAAAGUGUUUUCUGACUUCAUUCGGAUAUAAGGUCUAGUGCGUGACUAAUAAUUUUCGAGUUUUCUGCAAAAGAUUCUGCUCAUAUUUUAUGUUGGGCACAAGAAUCUUCAGCUAUAACUCAUUUUAUUUUGUAGUAUCAUGGGGCUUGCACUACAUAAGUUGAUUUGUUCUUGUACUAACUGAUGAUCUAACUCUUAAGCACUUCCUCUUAAUUUGAGUGAACAUGUCAAACUUUGAAAUUUUUGUGAUCUUGUUUCUGUUUCUACUGUGAUCCUUCAUGGAAUGAUCUAGGUGCAUAUUCUAGAUAAUCAUGUACUAGGAUAAUGCAUGGUUCAAUGUUGUUUGUUAAGAACAUAGAUACUUUUCUAUGGUGAAGCUGACUCCUGAAAUGGUUUACAUUAUAGUGUCAAUGGUAUGGAAUGCUUGAAUAUUUUGUACUCUGCUGCUUCUGAACAGAACUAAACUGGUUAUGAAGACUUGGGAGGUGUCAAUUGAAUAUUGUAGAUGCUUCAGAAAUCUUUACUAAUUGAUGACAGAUGUUAUUACUCGGCUAUUACCGUCCAAGAUGGUUUUCUCGAUUUUCUUCAUACGGUUUUUGAUACGAAUUGCAUGUACAAUUUUAUCUCUAUUGGAGAUACCUAAUUAACUUGCAUGUGUUGAUCAUUAUAUAUGUUUCUCAGUUGGGCUAGUGGAGCACUUAAUCCUGACAGCACUGCAUCUAAUGCUACUGUUUCAUCUGUGAGAAGGUAUGCUCAUGAGUUGAUGAAUUUUUUUUAUUUAAAGCUUUUAUCGCUUUUCAUUAGGGCAUGUUUGGUUGUACGAAAGAGGUUGAACUGAAAAAAGUCACUUUUGCAAAAGUGACUUUUACAAAAGUGAUUUUUCAGUUCAAUUGUUUGGUUGAUUAUAAAAUGAAACAUGAAAAAUUAUGGUUUUAUAAUUUUGAUUCCUUAAUUAUAUAUAAAGAGGUGAAAAUAUAAAAAAAAAAAACUUAUACUCGCAAUUAAAUUGAAAAUUUUAAAUUAUAUUUAUUUUUAGACUUUAAAAUUAUAUUUUAAAAUUUAAAAUUAAACUUAAAUUUGAGUUGAACUUAUAAUUAAAAUAUAAGACACAAAUUAAAUUUACAAUUUGAAUUUCAAUUUUAAGUUAUAACUCAUAACUAAAAUUAAAUUUUAAAAUAAAAGUUCAACAUAGAAGUUAUAAUACUUAUUCAAAUUUGAAUUCAUAAUUUGAAUUUGUAAUUUGAAUCAUAUUUUAAUUUACUCUUUGAUCUUAAAUUGUGAAUUCAAAUAUGAAUCCGCAAUUUGAAUUAAUAAUUAAAAUUAAAAUUAAAAUUUAAUUCCAACUUAACAUUUGAAUUCAUAAGUCGAAUUCAAAGUUCAAAUUGAAACUUAUUAUUGAAAUUAAAUGCAAAUAGCAAAUUUAAAUUUCAAUUUCAAUUUCAAUUUAAAAUUUAAAUAUUAAAUUCAAAUUUUGGUCAAUAAUUUGAAUUUAUAGUUGGAACAGUUUGAAUUCAAACUUCAAAUUGAAGGUCUUAGCUAAAAAUAAUUUGAUGAAAAUUUAAAUUUAAAUUCUAGAAUUCAAAUUUAUUUUUUUAAAAAAUAAAAUUUUAAAAUUUAAAUUUAAAUAUAAAGUCACAAAUUUGAAUUUACAAAUAAAAUUAAAAAUGUGAUCAUGUUAUUAAUUCAAAUUUAAGGUGAAAUUUAACUUAAAAAAUAAAUUCAAAGAUUAAAGUUAAGACCACAUAUAACCUCUUAGCUAAUCUCUCAACUUUCGGUGACUUUCGAAUUUUUUGAGCCGAAGUCAAAAAAGUGAAAUUUAGUUAUAACUUACUUUAUCUAUCCAUUUUAUAAAGUGACUUUUAUAUUCACUUUUGCAAACCAAACAACCAAUAAGAUGUCACUUUCCAAAAGUGCCUUUUUCGGUGCUUCAAUUUCAGCCAACCAAAGCCCUUGGGUUAUUACAACUCUUUCACACUUAGCUUGGUGACUUUGGUCACCUCACCAAGAGCUUUUAAUUAUUGAAACAUAAUACUGUUUCUAUCAUAUUUUGCUAUCUUGAUUUCCUUUAUUGUGCAAUGUAUUUUACCUUUCUAGUAACUGCUUCUAGUAGAAAGAGUUACGAUUUCUAACGUCUAUUUGUUUUUCUUGUUAGGGGUGUUUGGGCAAUGAUAGCAGUCUUUCUUAUUUAUUGCGUCCUUCAAGCUCCUUCAACGUGAGUGAUCAUUCCGUACACUUUCUUAAAAGUUAACCAUAUGAAAAACUUGAAUACAGGAAUGGUCAACUACACAUAAAUUAGUAUAUGUUAUUUGUAUAAUAUUGUGCUCUAGUUUUUGUGGCAUAGCAACUGUUAAUUUAUUAUGAGUUUUACUUACUUCCGUCUAUGUAAUCAUAGUAAGAGUAUUUUAUGUGGGGAAGAAAACUAAAUAUCUUCUUGUCAUCUUUGUCUAAUUAUUAUCUUAUUGAUCAGUAAUAUCAUAAUCAGACUCAACGGCUGUUACUUUGAAAGAUGAAUAACAAUCUUGUCUUCAAAAGAUGCUUAUUUCCUAAGGCCUUAUUAUUUUUUUUCUUUUUCAUGUUUGGAAUGAUCUUGGCACAUAGACUAGUAAGAACACAAUGUCACAGCAACAACAUUUAAGAAAAUUACAAGCAUGUAAUAAAUGAUCAUAAUGUGCUUUGAUGAAUUUGUCUAUCUCCAAGUGCUGCAGCAUAAAUUUCAGCAUGCUUUUUAGAAGCCAUUGAUGCUAUAAAAAUGAAGGUAUAUUAUAUUUUUACGUUCAGGUUGCUUAUUAGACCCCAUCCUGCUGUUUGGCGGUUUGUCCAUGGAAUGGCUGUUGUUUACCUUGUGGCCCUUACUUUUCUUCUUUUCCAGGUUUCGUUUUUCCCUUAUAUAGUGCUUGGUGUUGUCUCUUUUACAUAGAUAGUAACCUAUAUUAUCAAUGUCCAAAGUUUCCGUAGAGAAGUUAUGAUUAUCUUUCUAUUAGAAUUAUUUGAUACAAAUAGCCAUUUUAUCUUUUACUUUUUAGUGGUCAUCAUAGAAUUGUAUUAGUAUUUUUAUUAUCCUUAUAUCAAUUGUCGCGUUCUUUUCUUAACACGUAUUAAUCUUUGCUGUAAUUUUUUCCCCACCUUUUUUAUUGGUAAAACUUUUGAAGAUUAUCACAUAUUUUUCUUAUUUUUUUAGAAUUAUAAAAUUAAAACAACCUUAUGUGGGAAUUUUUUUUUCCCCUAAUUAUAUGUAUUUAGACUUUUUAGUUAUUCUAUACAAUAGUCUGAUAUUUGUUUUGCACUACAAUGGAAAUUAAAACUUAAUUAUUAUCAUACUUCUCAGAAUCGUGAUGAUGCUCGACAGUUCAUGAAGUACCUGCAUCCUCAUCUUGGAGUAGGUAGUACUUGCCAAGCAUUUCUGAGUUCUUGUUAACACUAAUGAAUCUUGUUGCACUUGAACAAAAAAUUAGAUAUUCACCUUUUUUCAUCUUAAUGCAGAACUACCUAAAAGAUCUUAUGGAGUUGAUUGCCGAAUUUAUGUCCCAGAAAAUCCUAAAAGCAGGUUUAUCAAUGUUUAUGUAUGAUGUCUCAGUCUAACAUUCCUCAUUGAGUAUCAAUUUUAGUAGAUUUUGCGCUCGUUUGGCACAUAGUAUUGAGUUUGAUAGGGAUAAGACGAGAGCAAUGUCGGCAGAGGGAGGGGGUUUAGUAACUCGAAGGCAUCGGGGUUCAUAGGACGAGUUCGGUCUCAUAAAAUAACGACAGUGGAUGGGAUCAUUGGAUUCUUUCAUAGAUGUUUGAAUUUAACACAAUUGGAUUUUCAAAAAUCUAAUUUUAUCCCACUAGCUCCAAUCCCUAUUUGUCGUUCUCUUGACACCUCCAACUCCUUAAUCCCUCCUUAAGCCCCAACAUCACUAUCUUGUCUUAUUCUAUCUUAUGUGCCAAAUAGGGAAUUUAGUUCCUCUAUUUUUCAUAAUUCGAAAUUUGAUAUAUUUUAGAUUUUUCUAGGAAACUUUGUUUGAUGAGUUUGUCCUUGCCCAUAUCGUGGGUUGGUGGGGAAAGGCUGUGAUGAUACGUAAUCACCCUCUCUUAUGGAUAUUGUCAAUUGGAUUUGAGUCGAUGGAGGUCAAAUUUUCACUCGGAAACUUCUUGGCUUCUCUCACUUAGUUAUCGUUACUUUUAAAUGAUUUGAUCUCUUUCUUAAGUAUAUUGUGCAUGAUCGUUUCCAGCUCACUUUUCGCCAUAUGUUGCCAAACUUUAGUGAGUGUUGGUGGGAUAGCAUUAUUUUGGAUAUUUUGAUCUGCAAUUGGUUUGGUAAGAAUCCAACUAUAGCUUAUUCAGCUUCAUUUUCGGUUUAUAGACAUACUCAUGUAAUGUGCAGUCCUUUGUUUAGCAUUAUCUCUUUUAGAAUAAACCAAAUACACCACAAGUUUUUACUCUUUUUUUUGAAAAGAAGUACAAAAUCACACCGAUACAAGCCCGUUUAAUGUGAAAAUGACACUUCAUGCUGCAACACGAGGAGUUUUUUUUUUCAAAUAUUUAAGUUUGAACUUUGGACAUUUACACACAAUCUCAACUUCACCUAGUCCACCCAAUGUUUGACAAAAACACACCCAACCUGAUUCAUAAUUCAGUUCAACGCUGGAUCCCUCACGCAAAUCGUUUUUCACCAUUCAUUUAUAGACCGAGAUACCUCUUUUGAUUAACUAUUUGUGGCUAAAUCUUUCUCAGUUGCCUUGCCCUUUGUUAUUUUUGGCUAUGUUGCCUUUCACAUAGUUGGAUUGCCUUGCUCUUUUGAAGUGUGCAUUUAAUCUUUGGUUUCCUCAAAUUUUAAUUUUGCUUGUCCUCAUUCUUCUUUGUAAAUGAUGAUAAAGAAAAGCAUAUACUGCAUGGAUAGUGCCAAACUUGAAGUGUGCAUUUAAUCUUUGGUUCCCUCAAAUUUUAAUUUUGCUUGUCCUAAUUCUUCUUUGUAAAUGAUGAUAAAGCAAAGCGUAUACUGCACGGACAGUGUUAAAAUUGUCGACAAUGUCAAGCUUACGUGUAAACAUAGAGGACUCUUGGCUAUACGCAACUCUUUGUUUACACGAGGGGCAUCAACUUUUCCAAGUCGACUUUAGUGUCUAAUAUUUUCUUAUUCUUGGGAAGUCUGCUGAUAGCAUAAAUUAUUUUUCUUUUAUUCUUUGUUUCAACUUUUUAAAUUUGUUAUCUAUUUCCAAAACCUUUUUCAACAUCAGACAGAGGAGAAGUCAACUACCCUUUUACCUAGAACAACAACAACUAAGCAUUUGGUCCUAGUUAUUUUGGGCUGUUGGCGCAAGCUAUAUGGAUCUCUUAUCGCUCCAUUUUGUUUCUUUUUUUAAACAUUUUUUGUCAAAAAAAGUAUUGUAAUAUCUCAUCUUAUCUCAGCAGUUCCUCUCGUUAAUUUUGGUUUGUGUCUUCUUCAAGUGCCACAUUUUAGCAGAAUAAAGUCCUAAUGCCUUGUGGGUUAUUUUACACAUGGCCGCAACAUCUCAAUCAGUUUUUGCACAACUUAUCCUUUAUAAGCUGUAAGCCCUUACACCUCACUUGUGUUGGAUUCGACAGUUUUCAGCCUUUUCUAGCGACGUGACACAGUUAUGUCAACAUCCUCAUCUUGGCGAGACUCAAAACUUUUGCCAAUGUUAUUUCCUUAGCAUACUCCUUCAAUUAUCUUUUAUGUAAUGUUGUUAUUGAAUUGUAGUUUUAUUGGUUCCGAGCAAUAUUUAAAUGGAUUGGGUUUCUAAUUCAGGUAUUUGGGCCGGAAUGCGUACUGUUACAUACAUCAAUGGUAAAACAUACAAAUGGGUUGGUCUAAGCUGCCAGCCAAACAUUAUCAGUAAGGUAAGCUCACAAUUUGUUAUUUUGUAUAAGUUGCUUCUGAUAAAAGGUACUAUUGAUUGAACCUGAAUUAUGACUCGGAACUGAUGACAUAGUAACAUAUUUAUCUUGAAAAAUUAAAGGAAUAACCUUCUCUGAAAAAUAAGAAAUUUUAUUCUUACCUUUAUUUGUACAUCUAAAUCAUCUAACUUCGUGAUGUCAGAUCAUGACACCAAGUGGGUAGUUGCACUUCAGCAUAUGGAAAGAAAGCUAAUUUAUAUGUAUUUACACUUAUAGCGCAAUCAACAUUUUUGUAUCUAUAUAGAAAAUAUAAUGGGCGUGAUUAGCAAUAUUGUUAAGUCUUAAAUCUUCCCUUCUUGGAACUUUUAAACAUUUUUAUCAACAUAGUAGAAAUGAAAAUUAGAGAAAUCAAUACAAGAAAUAUCUCUAGAUUAUAUAUAUUAAAGCCCUAGUCCUUAACAAGUAUACUUUUAUGUAUAUAAGAUAUUCAUAUAUCAAUCAACUAUUCACUUGUAUCAUAUCGUUUAGGCGUUUAGACUUGCAUUGUUGGAUACACGCGCAUCUAUUCACUUCACAGUUACUGACACUUUCUUUUAUCAUCAUAAUAUAACCUAUUCAGUUUUGUAUCUCAUAAUACUCUUUUUUGUAAACAUUUAAAGGUAAAAAGAUCGUUGGGCCAAUUCACACCUGCAUGGUGGGACAAAGAUGAGUGGCACCCUAUGCAGGGCCCGCUGAGGUUCUUCCAAGUUCUAUGUCUCUGUGUCGCUUUCAUGACAGUGGAACUCAACACCUUCUUCCUCAAAUUCUCUCUUUGGAUUCCCCCAAGAAAUCCCUUGGUUGUGUACAGGUUGAUUCUUUGGUGGCUAAUAGCUAUUCCAACUAUCCGCGAGUACAACUCCUACAUACAGGACAGGUUCUCUCUCUCUUUCUCACACUCACAUACACACAACUAUGUGCAAAAUGCAUUGAAAUUGUUAACUCCAAAUUCUAAUGAACGUCAAGUCUCCAGCAUGUACAUGUGAUACUCGUGUACUAUUUUCUUAGCCUUCCCACAAAAAACAACCCCUUUUUUCCUUGGAUUUUCAAACUUAGGAAAAUUCUUUCACUUUUGCCACUUGAGUCCAUAUUUCGACUUUCAGCACCCACUUUCCGUUGGAAACAACACCAUGAUGCAUAGCUUUGAAAGUUCGAUGGAUGGUUUUGAACUACGGAGAUAUUCUUUUGAAAUUGUGGAAAAAGUAAGGGGCAAUUUCAUCCUCAAAGCUGAAAGUGAGCUGAAAUUACAAAAACUUAACAACUGUUAUAUUCUUCAGUUUACUUUUUCCUUUUUUGAAAAGUGGUUUUUUUUUUCCUCCUGGUCAUUAAUAUGUUUCAAUUACAAAUUACCUCAGCAAGCCAGUAAAGGUGGGGGCAUUUUGUUGGCUUUCCCUAGCUAUAUGUAUAGUGGAGCUUCUUAUCUGCAUUAAGUUCGGACAUGGUGAGCUCUAUCUCUCAAUCAUGUUUCAAUUUGUGUAUCUUAUUGAUAUCUUUCCUUUAAUGUCGAUUAUAUAUACUUUUUAAAACAAUGACUUAACAAACAGUGUACUGACUAGGUCUGUAUCCGAAUCCAAUGCCAACAUGGUUGAUAUGUUUCUGGGGAUCUGUUGGAGUAACCCUUGUUCUCUUCCUGCUAGUUUGGUGUUGGAGAAAUCAUCGACAAAUGGCAAGAAAGAGGCUAUGAAUUCAUAACAUAACAUGUUUCUUUAUAAUUUCUUCACUUUGUUCCAUGAUAUGUUUAUUGUACAUAUGCAUUGUAAACUAUUUUGGUUAGUUCUGAAAAUUUUGCUGGAGACUUGAUUCAAGCUAAAGUUUAAAGAUCCCUUUGCAUGUUCACAAGAAGUCUGAUUUAAGCAUUAUGUUUUGUUUUCCUCUUUUUUUUUUUAUAAACACUCACUAACCAUUUUAAUUAAAAUAUCUAGUGUGUGUCGAGAGAUAUUGAAGCCUUAAUGUAGUGAGAUACUUCAAAUAUAAGUUCAUGUACAAUUAUAAACACUUUGAGAAUCUUCCUUGUCAAAUGAAAUGAGAGAUUUUGUAAGGAAACUUUUAAAAUAAUAAAUUUUGUUUAUUAAUUUUCAGUGAAUGGAUGUGAUCCAUAGUAAAUGGAUGCAACCCUUAGUGAGUGGAUGCAACUCUAAUCAAAGGGUGUUAGUGAGUGGAUGCAACUCUAAUCAAAGGGUGUGACUCUUAGAGUGAAAGGAUAUAACUUUUAGUAAAAGGAUAUGACAUGAAAAGACACAUCUUUAUAAUGUGUCUCUUCGAGUACAUAUCUGUUGGAAUUAAUUCUUACAUUCAUUGAACUUGACUCAUAAAACUAAUUGGUAGUUAUGAUCAAAUGAAAAGUCACAAUUGAAGGGCCACUUCAUGAAACACCCAUUCAUGAAUAGUCACUUUAUGAAGCACCCGUUAUGAAGCACCCGUUCAUGGUCUAUAUAAGUCCACAGCGUUAGUUGUAGAAAUAUAAGACGAAACAGUUGAAGAGUUUAAGUCUCCAUUCACAAUAAUUCCAUUCUUGUUUUCUUAUUCUAUUUCUUUUGACAACUUAAUCGAGUGAGUGUUCAAAGGCUCGACUUCGUGUGUGCAAACGCAGUUGAGGUUUGUGCUUCAUUGUAUCCUAGGAGGCUGUUCGUUGACCCGGUGCACACCAAUUUGAUUGAACGGUGGGGACGGAUUAAGCCUUAAGGAAAGUGGCAUUGCUACACGCCUUGAAGCCUUUUUAAUCUUUCUAUUUCAUACCUUUAUCACAAUCUGUUCAAACAAUCUUAAGGCUUAAAUCCGAAAAUGUCGACUGCUACUCUACGAGAGAUGGCAACAAACUUUAUGAGACUAAAAAGAUUUGAUGGCAUGGACUUCAGGCGUUGGCAGAAGAAAUUAUUUUUCCUUCUAUCGACUCUCAAAGUUGCUUAUGUCCUUACUACUCUAAGACCAGAAGAAAAUGAUGAUGAACCUAUUGCACAAACUCGUACAAGACAAAAAUGGGAUGAAGAUGACAAUAUAUGCCGAGGCAACAUUCUAAAUCUUAUGUCGGAUACACUUUUCGACGUCUAUCAAAAUGUGAAAACGGCUAAAGAACGGUGGGAAGGUCUUGAAGAAAAAUAGAAAUCCGAGGAUGCCACAAGUAAGAAGUUUCUUGUUAGCAAAUUUAAUAACUAUAAAAUGGUUGAUAGUAGAUCUCUUCUUGAUCAGUUACAUGAAAUUCAAUAUAUUCUCAAUCAAUUUACUCAACAUAAUAUGAAUAUGGAUGAAUCUAUAAUUGUGGCCUCUAUUAUCGAUAAACUUCCUCCAUCAUGGAAAGACUUUAAGAAAAGUCUUAAGCAUAAAAAUGAAGAUAUUACUUUUAAAGAUUUGGCUAAUCAUCUUCGCAUAGAAGAAGAAUAUCGUUUGCAAGAUGGCAAAAAGGAGCAAGAUGCUCAGAGUGCCAAACUGUACGCGACGGAAGAUGAGUAUAAUAAAAUCCGGCAACCCACAAAAGAAAAUCGAAAGAGAGCCGAGCAUCCGAUCAACCACAACAUAACAAAUAAGAAAAAGAAAUGUGCAUGCUUUCAUUGUAGUAAACCGGGUCACUACAAGAAAGAAUGUCGGUUCCUCAAAAGGAAAAGUGCACCGGAUUCCAAAAAGAAUUUUGUGACUAUAAUAUCCGAGGUUAACACACUCGAAGAUGACGGAGCUUGGUGGAUUGAUUCGGGUUCCACAAGGCAUGUGUGCAAGGAUAGAAGUUUAUUUAGAACUUAUGAUGCAUUGGAGGAUAGAAACGUUCUCUAUAUGGGCAAUUCUUCAACAGCACAAAUCAAAGGAAAGGGUAACAUGGAACUUGAGUUCACAUCAGGGAAAACUCUCACUCUCACCGAUGUGUAUCAUGUACCCGAAGUUAGGAAGAAUCUUGUUUCAGGAAGUCUUCUUAACAAAUUUGGGUUCAAACUUGUAUUUGAGGCCGAUAAAUUUAUUUUGUCGAAGGCUAGAAUCUUUGUAGGAAAAGGAUAUUUGUAUGAAGGCAUGUUCAAACUCAAUCUUAUUAAUAAAAUGAAUAUUUCAGCCUAUAUUAUUGACUGUUCUUCUUUAUGGCAUAAUCGUUUAGGACAUGUUAAUUAUAGAAGAUUACAUGAUAUGUCUAAGUUAGAGUUAAUUACUAAUUUUGAUAACAAAUUAGAAAAAUGUAAUACUUGCAUGCUCACUAAAAUUACUAGAUAAGUCUUUUCCUAAAUUGAUAGAUGUUCUAGUCUACUUGAAUUGGUACAUAGUGAUGUUUGUGACUUGCAUGCUUCUCCUACUAUUGGUGGAAAGAAAUAUUUUGUUACAUUUAUUGAUGAUUUUUCUAGAUAUAGUUAUGUUUAUCUUUUGCAUUCUAAAAAUGAAGCGCUAGAUAAAUUUAGAAUUUAUAAAUCUGAAGUUGAGGUGAAAUGUGAGAAAAUGGUCAAAUGCCUAAGAACAGACAGAGGAGGAGAAUAUUAUGAUCCUUCAUUUUUUGAGUCCAUUGGUAUUAUACAUGAAACCUCUGCACCUUAUACUCCACAACAAAACGGAGUUGCAGAAAGAAAAAAUAGAACAUUAAGGGAAAUGGCCAAUGCUAUGCUUUGUAACUCUGGGUUAAGUUAUGGAUUUUGGGGCGAAGCUUUAUUAACUGCUUGUCAUUUACUAAAUAGAAUCCCAACAAAAAAGAAUGAUAAAACUCCUUAUGAAUUAUUCAAGGAAAGAAAGCCAAAUUUAAAUUAUUUAAAAGUUUGGGGUUGUAGAGCUAUUGUGAGGGUUCCAAAACCGAAAAGAAAGAAACUGGGUGAAAGAGUGCAUAUUUAUUGGGUAUGCACAAUAUAGUAAAACACAGAUUUUACGUGAUUGAAUCGAAUGACUUCAUUGAGAUCAACACAGUUUUUGAAUCUAGAGAUGUUAUAUUUGAUGAAAACAUAUUUGUUUCAAUUCCUAGACCCAAAGAACUUAUUGUGGGUAAAGAACACUCCAAUGAGAAAAAUGAUGUCGCAAUUGAAACCCCAGAACUUAGAAGAAGUAAAAGAGUUAGAAUUGCUAAAAUAUUUGGACCAGAUUUUUAUACUUUUCUUGUUGAGGGUAGUAGAGAAAUGAUUACAUAAAGUUUUCAAUUUUGUUUAAACAUUGACUCAGACCCCACAACAUUUGAGGAGGCAAUGAAAUCUCCUGAUGUCGCUUUUUGGAAAGAAGCGAUAAAUGAUGAAAUGGACUCAAUUACGGCCAACCAAACAUGGAAAUUAGUUGAUCUUCCUCCUGGAUGUAACCUAUUGGGUGUAAAUGGAUUUUCAAAAAGAAAAUCAAAGUAAACGGCACCAUAGAUAAAUUCAAGGCAAGACUUGUUGCCAAAGGGUUUACACAAAAAGAAGGUAUUGAUUAUUUUGAUACUUAUGCACUUGUUGCCAGAUUAACGACUAUUAGAACUUCGGUUGCUCUUGCUUCUAUGUAUAAUUUGAUUAUUCAUCAAAUGGAUGUCAAAACUGCAUUCUUAAAUGGAGAAUUAGAUGAAGAAGUUUAUAUGGAACAGCCCGAGGGCUUUGUUGUUCCUGGACAAAAGCAUAAAGUGUGUAAACUUGUCAAGUCGUUGUGUGGGCUUAAACAAGCACGUAAACAAUGGCAUCAAAAGUUUGAUCAGAUUGUUCUUUUCAAUGGUUAUAAAAUUAAUCAAUCUGAUAAAUGUGUUUAUAGUAAAUUUUCAAAUAGUAAAGGUGUUAUUAUAUGUCUAUAUGUUGAUGACAUGUUAAUUUUUGGCACCGAUGUUCAGCAAGUAGAAAAUACUAAAAAUUUUUUAUCUUGCAAUUUUGAUAUGAAAGAUAUGGGGGAGGCUGAUAUUAUUUUGGGAAUUAAAAUUAUUCGUGAAAAUAAUGGUUUAUUUUUAACCCAGUCUCAUUAUAUCGAAAAGAUUCUUAGAAAAUUUGGUUAUUUUGAUUGUACUCCAGUAUCAACUCCUUUUGAUCCUAAUCUAAAAUUAGUUCGCAAUACUGGUAGAUCAAUUAAUCAAUUAGAAUAUUCUAAGAUUAUUGGAAGUUUGAUGUAUGCCAUGUCUUGUACUAGGCCUGAUAUUGCAUUUGCUGUUGGUAUAUUAAGUAGAUUUACUAGCAAUCCAGGUAAUGUACAUUGGCAUGCUAUUUACAGAAUUUUGAAAUAUUUGAAAAAGACAAUGGACUAUAGAAUUUUCUAUAGUGGAUAUCCAACAGUAUUGGAAGGCUAUACAGAUGCCAGUUGGAUAACAGAUCAAAAAGAUCAUGCAUCCACAAGUGGGUGGAUAUUUAUAUUAGGUGGAGGUGCGAUUUCUUGGGGUUCCAAGAAACAGACAUGUAUAGCGGACUCUACCAUGGCAGCAGAAUUUAUAGCACUAGCGUCUGCUAGUAAGGAGGCGGAAUGGAUAAGGAAUUUAUUAUAUGAAAUUCCAGUUUGGCCAAAACCAAUGCCGCCGGUAUCGCUACAUUGCGAUAGUGAAGCUACGCUCUCAAGAGCAUAUAGUCAAAUAUACAAUGGGAAGUCGAGACAUAUUGGAUUAAAACAUAGCUAUGUAAAACAACUGAUAUCAUAUGGCAUAAUUACCAUUGAUUUUGUAAGAUCAAACCAAAAUCUUGCGGAUCCGUUGACUAAGGGACUUCCAAGAGAAUUGAUAUUCAGGACAUCGAUGGGGAUGGGUCUCAAGCCCAUAUUACAAAGUCACCAAUGAUGGAAACUCGACUUAACACUUGAAACAUCAUCAAGUCUUAAGUUCAAUGAGCCAAAGUACAUCAUAUGGAGUGAUUGCAAGCACUAUAAUAUAAAAUUUCCAUCCCAAGUAAAGUGCUUGGUAUCCGUAUUGAAAAGGGAAGGUUGAACUAAUAAAGUUCUUAAUAGACCUACAGUAGUAUUUACUGAAGUGUUAAAUACGGGACACUUCUGGUAGAGUCUACCUAUAUGAAUGUGAAGUGUGGCCGCUUCUAGGAGUUAAGGGCUUGACUCUAACAGCAUUCAUGAAACAGGAUGCGGACACAAGGCCAUAAAAGUGUCAGCAAUAAAAUAGAGCACUUGAUUGAUUAUAAAUUUCUAUAUGUAAGAAAUGUCCGGUUAGUCGAAAAUAAUUGUUGGUUCAAAGCUUGUCUACCAUUCAAUUAUGACUAACUUUGAUGUGUUUUCACUAAGUGUAGAUUCAAGUUUUAAUACACCUACAUCUAUACAUACGAUUUUGUCAAGUUGUCAAAAAUUUUGAUUUUUGAUUUUUUUAUUUUGAUUUUGUUUUAUUUCGUAUUUUGAUGUAUUUUGAUGUAUUUUAAAAAUUGGUGAUGAAUUGUAAGGAAAUUUUUAAAAUAAUAUAUUUUGUUUAUUGAUUUUUAAUAAAUGGAUGCGAUCCUUAGUGAAUGGAUGCAAUCCUUAGUGAGUGGAUGCAACUCAAAUCAAAGGGUGUGACUCUUAAAGUGAAAGGAUAUGACAUGAAAAAACACAUCUUUAUAGUGUGUCUCUUCGAGUAUAUGUCCGUUGGAAUUAAUUCUUACAUUCAUUGAACUUAACUCAUAAAACUAAUUGGUAGUUAUGAUCAAAUGAAAAGUCACAAUUGAAGGGCCACUUCAUGAAACACCCGUUCAUGAAUAGUCACUUCAUGAAGCACUCGUUUGUGGUCUAUAUAAGUCCACGGCGUUGGUUGUAGAAACAUAAGACGAAACAGUUGAAGAGUUUAAGUCUCUAUUCACAAUAAUUCCAUUCUUGUUUUCUUAUUCUAUUUCUUUUGACAACUUAAUCGAGUGAGUGCUCAAAGGAUCGACUUCGUGUGUGCAAACGCAGCUGAGGUUUGUGCUUCAUUGUAUUUUGGGAGGCUGUUCGUUGACCCGGUGCACACCAAUUUGAUUGAACUAUGGGGACGGAUUAAAUCUUAAGAAAAGUGGCAUUGGUACACGCUUUGAAGUCUUUUCUAUCUUUCUACUUUAUACAUAUUUCACUAUCUGUUCAAACAGAUUUUAAUUAUAUUUCUGAUCCAUUCCUAUCUGGUUGGUCUUUUCACUGACAUGGUAGAAACGGUGAUUCAGGAAUUUGACUACUUGCGGCCUUUGUUUUGCCUCCUCUUUGCUAUUGGUAUUAACUUUUGCUAUUUGUGUUCAACGAGCCACAGCUCCAACGGAACAGAUUGGUUAGAGAUAUUUACUACACCAGGAGGAAGCUGCUUAAAGAAAGGCCUAGCAUCAGACCAAUUUCCCAGUGGUGGAGAAAUGUCCUCGAUAUCGGAGAUAUUUUCAAAUGUGGAAUUUCUCUUGUGCUAGGGAACGGUAAAUUAAUCGAUUUUUGGCCAGAUAUUUGAUGCGGGAAUGCUUCUCUACUAACCUAUUAAUUUCCCCCACUAUUUAUAGACAAGUGAUGAACAAGGAGCUGUGGGUGAGGGAUUGCAUUAAAAGUAGAGGAUUGAGAUAGGAAAAAAAAUACUUAUGGGGUUUGAACAAAGAGAUCAAGAGGAGGUAAGGCUGGAAUAGGACUUCAAAGAGAGCAUCACAAAUCUCACUGCUAACGACAGACAUAGAUGAGAUGAAAUGGAGAUGGACGGCAGGACAAGAUUUACAGUCAAUUCGCUUUAUGAAUUCUUGAGCAAACCACGAGACCUAAGAAAGGUUACCACGAGACCUAUUUAAAAGUUAAGAAUUCCUGCAAAAGUUAAAGGUCUUUAUCUAAUUGGUCUUGAAGAGAAGGAUGCUCUGAUACACCUGCUAAUUUGGGAUCAACUCAUCCUGCUGAUUGAAGUUGGGAACCUUGACACUGCACCACUCCCAGACCCUUCGCUCCUCUGUUUCUUCUCUGCCUCAAUGCAGCGGCUAGCUUAGCAUAAAUAAGAGCCGUUGGAUAUCACUUAAGUCGAUGAGUCCCAGCCGUCCAUCUCGUUAACGAUCCUAACUGCCAGGGAAGUACCCGCUCCAUUUUACUUUCAGAUAAUUACAAUUUUGCCAUCCACCUUAGCUAUAAAUAGAAUUAAGCUUGUAAUUAAGACUUGGCUUGGAAUAUUAAUAUCAUUCUCCUCUCUUCUUUUACUCCUCUUCUCUCUUCUCUUUCCCCUCCUCUUCUGCUCACUUGUAUGAUCAGAGGUACCAGAGCUCUUCCAUGAGUUCUCUACCCUGAGGUUGAUAGGUUGGUGAGUAUCAAUUUUGGUCGAGUAUCAAUUUUGGUAUCAGAGCGGUGCUCCUCGGCUGUGGGGAAAUUCUUUCGUUCAUGGAGACAAGGGCUCAAGAGCUAAAGAAGAUGGAGGAGAUGCUGCGACAGAUGAUCAAAGAGUCAGCGACGCGCCAGGAACAAUCAAUUCAGGAGCUGAGGGACUGGCAGAAUAAAGAUAUGGAAGAAGUCCGCCAAAUGUUUGUCGAAUUGCACACCUCAAUUUCACCAGGAACUGGUCAAAUUUUACCUUCAGCUGGACGAUCCGAAGGUAAUAGCUCAAAUCGAUUUCACUUUACUCCAAGAUUUACUAAGAUCGAAUUCCCGCGGUUUGAUGGAGAAGAUUUGAAAGGAUGGCUAUUCCGCUGUGAGCAAUUCUUCGAGGUUGAUGGAACCUCUGAAGAGGCAAAGGUGCGUUUAGCGGCAAUCCAUCUUGAGGGAAAGGCCCUUCAAUGGCAUCAAAUAUAUAUGAAGUCCCGAUUGACACGCUCUCAACCCACAUGGGAAGAGUAUGUAGUAUCGCUCAAUACUCGCUUUGGAGCAGAUUUGUUCGACGAUCCUAUGGCGGAACUAAAGAAUUUGAAGCAAACAGGGACGGUCAUGGAAUAUCAAGACAAAUUUGACACUCUACUAAAUAGGGUGGAGCUCUCGGAAGAAUAUGCCGUAAGCUGCUUCCUUAGUGGUUUGAAGGAAGAAAUCCAAAUACCGAUAAGAAUGUUCCAGCCUAGGACUUUACAAAGAGCUCUAAGUCUGGCCAAGUUACAGGAGCUAGCUGUGGAUGGACAGGGAAAAGUCUAUAAGGGAGGAACUAGAGCCGGAAUGAAUACUUCCUCCUUACUGUCGACUCCUAAGGGCUUUAAUAAUUCGAGCAUGUCACCCGCACCCCGGACACCUCGGAACCCAAAUCAUCAGGGAUUGCUGGGCGCUGCUCCAAUGCCAAUCAAACCUGCGAGAAACGUCUCUAAUGCAGCCUUUGAUGAGAGGCGAGCAAAAGGGCUUUGUUUUUGGUGCGAGGAGAAGUAUUCCCCAGGACACCAGUGUAAGAAGAAACAGCUAUAUAAGAUUGAGCUAUUAGAAGAAGGAUCAACAGAUAAUACCAACUCUAAUGAAGAAAGUGAAUCUAUAGGAGAGGUGGAACUUGAACCUGUGGAAUGUGCACCUCAAAUAUCGCUGCAUGCUCUAGCGGGGCAAGCUCAACUACCGGACUAUAGGACCAUGCGCCUAUGUGGAACAGUGAAGAAUCGAAGGAUACACAUUCUCAUCGACUCAGGAAGCACCCACAAUUUCCUUGAUGCUGCGGUUGCUGCCAAAUUGGGGUGUUGUGCGGAGAAUAUACCAGCUGUAAAUGUCACGGUGGCUGAUGGGAAUAAGCUGAUUAGCUCGUCUACUUGCAGGGCUUUUAAAUGGAAAAUGCAAGGCUUAGAAUUCAAGGCUAACCUCCUAUUACUACCCUUGAGGGGAUGCGACAUGGUGUUGGGGGUUCAAUGGCUUAAACAAUUGGGACCAAUCUUGUGGGACUUCAGCAAAUUACGAAUGGAAUUCCAAUUUCAGGGCCAGAAGAUUGUUUUGAGGGGAUCUUCAGGGCCCAGUUUGAAAAUAAUAGAAGGAAAGCAACUCAAGAAGAUGGUGCUGGAUGACACAGCUUUGUCUGCAGUUCACCUCUGCUCCAUUCAUGCAACACCACAGGAAGGGAAUCACAUAGCAACUUCGGAAGAUGCAGAAACGACGUGGUCGGGACUUGGCAAGGCGUAUUCUCAACAAUUGCAACUACUUCUGGAGGAGCACUCUGACUUAUUUGAAGAACCACAAGGACUCCCACCGGUUAGGCUGCACGACCACAAGAUUCCACUCAAAGAAGGAACUAACCCGAUCAAUGUAAGACCCUAUAGAUACCCUGCCUAUCAGAAGACUGAAAUUGAAAAAUUAGUGCAGGAAAUGCUAUCGCAGGGAGUGAUCAGGCCCAGCAACAGCCCCUAUUCUUCUCCGGUGGUGUUAGUAAAGAAAAAGGAUGGAUCAUGGAGACUGUGCAUAGAUUAUAGAAGCUUGAAUGAUAGUACAAUCAAAGAUAAAUUUCCGAUACCGCUUGUAGAUGAAUUGUUGGACGAAUUGAGUGGAGCUAAGUUGUUCUCAGAGCUGGAUCUGCGGUCGGGCUAUCACCAAAUCAGAAUGCAUGCGGAUGACAUCUCCAAAACUGCUUUCCGGACUCACGAGGGUCACUAUGAGUUCUUAGUGAUGCCUUUCGGGCUCACGAAUGCGCCUUCAACCUUUCAAGGAUUGAUGAACCAUAUCUUUAAACCUUACUUGAGGAGGUUCAUUUUGGUAUUUUUUGAUGACAUUCUGGUUUACAGCAAAGGAGUGGAAGAGCACCUAUGCCAUUUGAGAACUACCUUUCAAGUUUUGCGGCAACACUCAUUGUUUGUGCGACGCAAGAAGUGCAUCUUUGCUGCUGUUCAGCUGGAGUAUCUUGGUCAUGUAAUCAGCCACGAAGGAGUUUCCAUGGACAAGAAGAAAGUAGAGGCGAUUCAGGAGUGGCCGCUUCCUACUACUGCGAAGGAAUUAAGAGGGUUUUUAGGGUUGGCUGGAUAUUACCGCAGGUUCGUCAAGGACUUUGGAAAAAUCAGCAAAUCAUUACAUGAAAUGCUGGGAAAAGAGGGAUUUAAGUGGACUAACGAACGCCAUUAUGCUUUCCAACAGCUCAAGAAGGCUGUUAGUGCGGCCCCUGUACUUGCCUUACCAGAUUUCACCAUUGACUUCACCAUUGAGACGGAUGCUUCGGGGAUAGGAGUCGGGGCUGUGCUCCUGCAGAAGGGAAGACCUAUAGCAUUCAUGAGCAAACCACUAUCUCCAAGGAAUAGACAGCUUUCAACUUAUGAGCGGGAGAUGUUGGCGAUAGUAAUUGCGGUUCAAAAAUGGAGGCCUUACUUGAUCGGAAGGCAUUUCAAGAUAAAAACGGAUCACCAGAGCCUAAAGUACUUAAUGGAACAAAGAGUAUCCACGCCCAGCCAGCAAAAGUGGGUUGCAAAGUUAAUGGGGUAUGACUAUGAAUUAAUCUAUAAGAAGGGUCAAGAGAAUGUGGUUGCUGAUGCUUUAUCGAGGUCACCUACUUUGCUCGCAGUUUCAGCCAUUCACACCGAUCUACUAGAUCAAAUUAAGUGGAGUUGGAAUGUGGAUGACAAACUCAAAAAAAUCAUUCAACAAAAACAAUCAGAUAUUAACUCGUGGCCUCGUUAUACAUGGGUACAAGACCAGCUCAGAAGAAAAGGAAAGUUGGUCGUGGGUAGUGACCCAGGACUGAAGUUGCAAUUGAUUCAUAACUUCCAUGCUAGCAGCAUUGGGGGUCACUCAGGGAUGGAGGCUACUACGAGGAAGCUUAAGGGUCAAUUCUAUUGGAAGGGGCUUCGACGAGAUGUCGAACAGUUUGUUAGGGAGUGCUCGGUGUGCCAACAAAACAAAUAUGAGACAACAGCUCCGGCAGGUCUCUUACAACCCUUACCAAUACCAGAGGGUAUAUGGACUGAGAUAUCUAUGGAUUUUAUAGAAGGUCUGCCCAAUUCACAAGGCAAGGAGGUUAUUAUGGUGGUGGUCGAUAGACUGAGUAAGUAUGCCCAUUUCAUAGCUCUAUCCCAUCCUUACACGGCUUCAUCGGUGGCUCAGUUGUUUCUCGACAACAUAUAUAAGUUGCAUGGAAUGCCGAGGAGUAUAGUUAGUGAUCGUGAUACGAUCUUCGUCAGCCAAUUCUGGCAGGAAUUGUUCAAGAGGCUUCAAGUCAAGGUUAACCUCUCAACGGCUUACCACCCGCAAUCCGAUGGACAGACAGAGGUUGUUAAUCGCUGCCUUGAGAAUUAUCUUAGAUGUAUGGCAGGGGAGAGGCCUAAGGAGUGGGCAAAAUGGUUACCAUUGGCAGAGUGGUGGUAUAAUACUUCAUAUCAUUCCUCAACAAAGGCGACUCCCUAUGAGGUUGUAUACGGGCAACCACCACCCUUACACGUCCCUUACUUAGCAGGAGAUUCUUUAAUGGAAGCUGUGGAUAGAACACUAGCUGCUAGAGAAGCAGCUUUGCGAGUAAUCAAGGAAAAUUUAGCCAAGGCCCAAAAUCGGAUGCGGCAAAUUGCAAACAAGGGAAGAACUGAACGAGUGUUUCAGGUUGGAGAUUGGGUCUAUGUGAAAUUGCAGCCAUACAAGCAGCUAUCAGGUCGCAAGCAUGCCUUCCAGAAAUUAUCGCCGCGCUAUUUCGGCCCCUUUGAGGUAAUCUCUAGAGUGGGACCUGUGGCCUAUAAGCUCCAGUUACCAGAGACCACCAAGAUACACCCUACUUUCCACAUUUCUCAGCUCAAAAGGAAGAUCGGAUCUGCUCCCUCCUCUCCAACUAUACCAGCUUAUAUCAACACAGAGGGACACUUACUGGUGGAGCCGAUAGCUGCGCUCGAUCGACGGAUGGUCAAGCGACAUGGAAAGGCGGCAACGCAGCUGCUAAUUCAUUGGUCCAACCAACCUGAAGAGAACGCCACGUGGGAAUACUUCACUGACCUGCAGAGGCGUUUUCCGCACUUCGAUCCUUGGGGACAAGGAUCGUAUCGAGGAGAGGGUGCUGAUACACCUGCUAAUUUGGGAUCAACUCAUCCUGCUGAUUGAAGUUGGGAACCUUGACACUGCACCACUCCCAGACCCUUCGCUCCUCUGUUUCUUCUCCGCCUCAAUGCAGCGGCUAGCUUAGCAUAAAUAAGAGCCGUUGGAUAUCACUUAAGUCGAUGAGUCCCAGCCGUCCAUCUCGUUAACGAUCCUAACUGCCAGGGAAGUACCCGCUCCAUUUUACUUUCAGAUAAUUACAAUUUUGCCAUCCACCUUAGCUAUAAAUAGAAUUAAGCUUGUAAUUGAGACUUGGCUUGGAAUAUUAAUAUCAUUCUCCUCUCUUCUUUUACUCCUCUUCUCUCUUCUCUUUCCCCUCCUCUUCUGCUCACUUGUAUGAUNUGAUACUUCUAUUAUUCAGUUGAUUCAUUACUGCAGAAAUCAUGUUUACAUGUUGAAUACAUGCCUGUUACCGGUUAGCACUGCAUAUUUUUAUAUCAUGCACUUAUUGCUUUUCCUUACUUUCAGUACAUCAUGAGCCUAGUGGUGUAAUUCGCCGAGGCUGGCGGCUUACCCACUGGGAACUAUUGUUAAUAGUUCUCACGCCCUUUUGGUGGUUGUUUUUACAGAGCCAUCUGCAGGAGAGGCUAGGGAUCGUGGCAAGGGAGUCGCGUCUAGCUAGACUUUACUAGGAGCAUGCUAGUUGAUCACCUUGCUACUCGGGCUACGACCGAGGGUGAUGUCCCUUUGUAUAGAGAAACCACCAUUGUACCUAUCCUAUUUUUGUAUACUCGUGGUGUUUAUGUACUACUUGGAUCGUGAACUGCAGUUGUGAUACUUCUCUCCUGUCGAGAUUUUGGGAUUGUAUUUUUCUUUGUUCUUUUUCUGUUAGUAUACUGACUUGUACAUUGCUCUGAUAUCAGGAUAGGACUCUCUUUGUUUUACUUCCUAUCGACUUGCUUUCUUCGUAGACGCCUUAUAUACUGCAGGUGUAUGGCGGGUCUGUGCACGUGCCGGAUAUACUUCCGCUGGUACCCGGGCGUGACAUCUUGAAGAGAAGGAUGCUCACGGCGGAUAACUUGCAAAAGAGGGGACGGUAGGGAAACAUUAAUGUGUGUGAUGCGAGCAAAAGAACCUGAGACGACCGUUCACUUUCUUGUUAACUGUCGGUCUAUCAUAUUUGCUUUCACAAUGACUUCCGUUAUCAAAUAUCAAAGGGGGGACAUUGGGGAAGAAGAUAGUUGGAGGAUUCUGGGAGGAAUCCGUACUCAUAGGUGUAAGUGAUGUGGGUUGUGGGACCAACACUGUUGAACAUUAAUUGGGGCAGGCUAUACAGGCUAUUCAGGCUAUUCGUGAUUAAGUGAUGUGUUUUUUAUUUUAUUUUAUUCUUCUUUUUUUUUUCUUUUUCUUUUUUUUUCUUUUUUUUUGGUUGUGUGAUGGUUUGAUUUAUUUUAUGUACUUUUUUUUUUUUACCUUUUGCUUUGGUUCCUAGUCCUAACUACUUCACAUAUGUAACUAAAUUUAUUUCUUUAAUGAAUGAAGUGUUUUGCUUGCCGCCUUUCUCUCAAGAAACAAAUUUUUUUUUCUAUUGCAUCUCAACUUUUGUCACAUUUAUUAUCUGCGUGUUGGAUUCUCUUUGAUUCUGUUCCUCGUGAGUUUCUCCCAUCAGUCAUGUGAGAGAUUUAAACAUGAACAUUGUCACUCUUGAGUCAUGCUUAGGAUGACAAUUCAUGUUUCUACUUCAGUAAACUCUGAUACGAUUAUUGCAUAUACAACGGAGAGCAUGAGUUCCAGUGUGACCGCAUUGCUGUUUUUGUGAAUAUACUCUUCUCUUUAUAUGUUCGUGUUUGUGUUGGUAAAAAGCAUAUUUUAAGUUAGAAAGGACCAAUGACCGUGUUGUUAUGGAUCAAUCUUAAGUAGUGACAUUUCUAAUAAUUUUCUGAUGUAUUGCUUAGGUUCUACUUUCAGAUGCCGACGAUUUUCCUGCAGAUUUAUUACAUUAGUAGUUUGAUGAAUAUAAUUACUUUUCUAGAUCAAAGAAAAUAUUUUCAGGAUCUGUUGCAAUUGGUGGGUUCCGAUUUUCUUUUUGUUUUAAUUAUGAAAGUUGUAGUUGAGAGGUGUCUUUUCAACUUAACUUUCAAGUGUUGGAUGCGUCUCUUAACAAAGAGCAAGGAAUUAAUGUACAAAAAACGCUUUCCUGAACUUAAUUCGGUACUAACGCGAACAACCUGCUCAACUUUUAAUUUUUGCUGCUAGCAGCUUUUCUAAACUUAGCUUGAGGAGAAGGGCCAAUUGAACAUUUUUUUUAAUAUGUUUAGUGGACUAUGUACUGAAGCAAUAAAAUUCAGAGUGUUUAUUAAUUUACUCCAAAAAAGAAAACACUAUUAUAUGUUUCCCUUGUAGCAAUCAAGAGAGAGAGAGAGAGACAUGAUUCGGUUGCUAAACAUGUGGCUCUUCACUCAUAUUGCUUCCGCAGCUUCUGUUGCUAAAAGAUAUUCUUUCAAGUAGAAAAAUGCAUUUAAGAUUUUAGUUUUAACAAAUAUUUUUAGCUUUAAAAUUCUUUUAAAAAUAGUAAACAAUUCUUUCUAAAACAGUAAAGAAUAAAGAGUACAAGUUUAGAUGUAGUCUGUCAAUCGAGGCGUGCGAUGUACUGUCCUAAGAUCGAUACCAUCCCUCCGUGUGUAAAGUUCCAACAAUCACUUCUAAAGAUACAACGAUAUCCCGAUGCAUAACCGCGCUAGCUACCCUAUCGGUAAAGUUCAAAAGUCUUCCAAACACCACAAUUCUCUCUGUAUGUAAAGAUGAGCGGAGGAGAGAACCUAGCAUGCUGAUAGGUGGCCAUUGAAGGCUAAUCUAAAGGAGUGUGAUGCUUAUUCACUGCCCAAAGGGUCUCCAACAACUAAUUAACUGAUUGGGACCUAAGUAAGCAAAAAUAAAAUAAAGGGUAAGUGAGCCCCAACUCGAUUGAUUAGUCGCUCAACCUGGCCUGUAGAAAGAAUAUAGGCGUACUAAAAAUAACAAUAAAACUCUUUUCGCUAAUACACAAUGAACAAUCCGUCACAUACAACCAUUAUUUUGUGGUAGGCUCGCACACACUCGCACCCAAAGUUGCAAAAGAUUCACACACUAACCCAGACAAACUAACAGACCGAACCCAUCUCUCCUACACCCCCACCACUCUCUACUGCGUGCUAACUUUUCCACACACCCUAAGCCUACACUUACUUCUCCACUCUCUCACUCUCCACAUGCUGCUGCUGCUGCUGCUACACGUUGCAUCUUGGUGUGAGGGCUUCACACCUAUUUAUAAAAAUCCAAUGUCAGUUCGGACCUACUUAAGCUAAGUUGGUUAGCUUCUACAGGAGCGUCAGGCCAGAAGACAGUAAAUGAAUCAUAGAUCAGGCCAGACUGUAUUGCAAGCUAGUCAGUAAUUAAUUAUGGAAGUGUGACCAGUAGUAACCCAUCCAUCAGCCCAAACAGCAACACAAUGCUGUUUACAAAAACAGAAACAAACAACAAUAACAACCAAGGCCUCAGCACUUGAUUAGGAUGCCAAAUAUUCCCAAAAUAAAUCGGCCAAUCACGCCACAUUAGCUCCGAUUCAUUGCUUUGAUCAAAAAUGUUAAUUGUAGCAUUUGUAGUACUUAAUUAUAGCGCGACCAAGUUCGAGCCGGUAAUUGUAAAAGUUUUAGGGACAAAUGAAACCUUGCAUGCAUGCUCGAAGUUGUCUAUCAGAAUCCAGCCAACCGUCAAAAAUCAAACUAAUACAAUACGAAUCCAGGCGAAAGUGAACAAAGAGUCAACAAGUCUACCCAAAAUUGGCACCUCUUCAUUCAUCUCGUUAUAAAUGUACACAUACAAAAGAGAAUGUAUAGAUUGAGUCGAGCUAGAAUGCUUCCAGAAGCCAAAAGAUCUUAAUUAUUCCACCUUGUUUUCGAUAAUAGAACAUCUGAUUCGAUGAUCGAUUUUAUUAAAUAUGAUCUAAUACAAUUUGAAAUAUCUAGAUACCGAAAUCUCACAAUUUUCAAUAUCAUUUGCUUACUAAUCAAACUGGCACAUAAUAAACAAAUAUAAUGCCCCGUGUGCCACAGUAGUAAUUGCAAUAACGUAGAAAAACUCCAAUUAGGUGAAAUUUUGAUAUUAAAUUAUUUUCACUACUUAAAACAAGAUCGGCAGCUCAAUAUGAGAUUGUUUCUGAUGAGAUUUUUAUUUUUGGUCUUUCAUUUUGAGACUAAUCGUUCAGAGGAUAACUAAUGGCAAAAAAUCUUGAAAUAUGAUUUCUAAAUACUGCCAAUUGUAUAGAUCAUAUUUAAUAAAGCUAACCAUCAAUUCAAGUGUCUCAUCAUUGAAAAUAUAGUGGAAGCACAAAGGCCCUGUACUUUUGGAGCAUUUCAGAGUCGAGCUCUCAUCAUCUUCAGAUCGACAUAAUAUCACUUCCAUGAAUUGCUAGGCCAUGCAGUAAUGUUUCAUGUUCACAUGUGAUUAUCAAUUUUGUUUCAACAGUCAAAUCAAAUCGUCUGCAUGAGCAUUGCUAUCACAGCAAAAAAUUAAAUCCAAAUAAAUAAAUAAAUAACUUGGACAAAUUACACAGCUCUAGAUGUAUCCUACAAACAUUCGGACAUCAUGGUGUAAGGAAUUUCUUAGCUCUCCUAUUUGUAGCUCUCAUGGUCAAAUAACUUGAGAAGAAUAGCCUAUAAAAAAACAAACAGGAAAUUAUAAACAUAAGAUUUAUACUGUGACUAUGAGACCCAAUGAAUGGCGAGAAAAUUUUAUCAAUGGAUGAUGUCAAAACUCACUGGGCUGAGAGGAUUUGAUUUCAAGCCUUCGUAGAGUUCACGAGAAGAAAUCAAAAGUCUCACAGGACGAAAAUCAAUAGAUUGAUUAUGCCCUUUACUAUCAACAAAGCCUAUCAACUCCUGAUCCAAGAGAUGUUCAAAAGCCUGCAGAAAAGUAUUACAUUGUUAUAGAUCUUCUUAGAAGAAAUGAAUAAACUUGAUUAGUUUUGCCCUUUAGUUAUUACACUAACCCGUAAACAAACUGUAAAUGCAUAAUUAUCCGAUGUCUUGUACGCGUCAUGUAUGGCUUUAUAUUCUGAAAGAAGAAACAAUGUAUCAAUUCAGUCAAUCUGUGCAUAAAACUAAUUGUAACGCAAAAGAGAGACGGAAGAAAAGAGACUGAUUAAUUUCUACCUUUCAUUAUGGAUGUAAAAUUGUAUGAGUUUCGCUCCUUAAUUUCUAACCUGUUCAUGCAUACCAAAAUAUAGAGAUCCAAAACAGAAGCACCUGCUAAAAAAUGUCUCAUGUUCAAAAAAAAUCAUGAAAAGGGUGUAUUUAAUAAAUUGCUUUAAUAUCAGCUGUAUGAAAACUUCUCCGGAGAGGAAAAAAAAACUUAUACAUUUACCUUUUGCGCUAACAAAAUACAGCAUAUGCAACAUCAAGAGACAUAGAUCUUCAAAUUGAAGGCCUAAACAAGUACUGCACUUUUAGCAGAGGUCAGCAUGUGACACUCAUGUGGGCAAAUGUUUAUGUAGUUUUGUUUAAUACUGUUGGAAAUUUUGAACUUCCCAGCCUAAGCAAAUGUGGAACAUUAACUUACUUCAAAGCAGUGUACACGCAGGGUUUAGGAAAUAAAUAAACAUCUAGCUUAUUUAGGUUCAAGUGCUUCCUAUAAUCCCAUAGCCCCUUUUUUAAGGUUAAGAAAUGAGAAUUUCACUUUGCAAUAAAAAGAAAUGGAGGAUACCCUGUUCUUUCUGGUUAUGACUGCUGUUCAGGUUAAGUAACUCGUGCCUAUUUUUUUGCAGAUAUUCAGGAUAUUAGUGUAACACCCCAUACUUUCAAACCUUUUGUUUUGACUACCAUCCUAUUAACUUUGGACCUUUUCGUAAAUUCAAAUCUUCGAGAAACUCGGUGGCAAGGGUUUAAGUGCCGUGGCACGGGGUCGUACCGGAAACUUGCCAGCACGGUACGGCACUGUGCGUGCCAAGCCGUGCCGAUGCGUGCCGGUCAAAAAAAUUAUUGUGUGCCGACACAUAAUAGCAUGAAAUAUUUAUUUUCUUUAGCAACAAAAUAUUCGUACUGUCUGCCGCGAACGAAUCGGCCCCGCCGUAGGUAUUUCUAAGGCGAGUGAUCAUUCAUGGUACAGAUUAAAUUUGUUUAAAUUUUAUUUUGAAAUUAGGAUUACAAGUUCAUGGCUUCCAACAGACUCAAGAAUAUGAUGUUAAUUAUCCCACACUUUCAGUGUUAAGGAACCCUCGAUUAAGAGACCGAAUAUAAAUGCUAAUAAUAAAAAAGACCAAACAGGUAAAUAAAAUUUUAUUAAUAUGAUUUGCCGUGUACAUGGCUUAAGCAGCGGCAUUCCCCCACUAUACAUAGACUUUAUAAAACUAAAUACUCAGUUUAUAGAUUUGAUGGUCGAUUGCGAACAGAUUGCUCAGUUUAAUGAUAUAGCGGUCGUUUGAAAUAGGUUGAGGUUGAGUUUAAUUUUAAUUUGCUCAGUUUAACGAUUCGGCGGUCGAAAAGAGUUUGAUAUGAUUUGCUCAGUUUAACGACUUGGCGGUCAAAAAGUGCUUGAUUUGAUUGCUCAGUUUAACGACUUGGCGGUCGAAAAGAGUUUGAUUUGAUUGCUCAAUAACGACUUGGCGCUCACUUGUUCAGUUUAACGACUUGACGGUCAUUUUGAAAUUGAACUUGGUUUGCUCAGUUUAAUGACUUAGCGGUCAAAUGUUCAGUUUACUGACUUAACGGUCAUUUGUUCAGUUUAACGACUUGACGGUCAUAUCUGAACUUGAUUUGCUCAGUUUAGCGACCUAACGGUCAAUUAAAAUUGAGAUGCUCAGUUUAGCGACCUAACGGUCGAUUAAAAUUGAGAUGCUCAGUUUAAUGACAUGGCGGUCGACUGAGUUUUGGUGCUCAGUUUAAUGACAUAGCGGUCGGUUUGAGUUUUGGUGCUCAGUCUACCGACAUGGCGAUCAGAUUGAGUUAGAGAUGCUCAGUUUAGCGACAUGACGGUCGGUUUGAGUUAGCCCCAAAACAGAUUUUCUAUACAUAUACGGCUAAAAUUAAUUGACAACAUAUGAGGAUCUUAUUCGUGAAAGAGGGUUAGAAAUGAUUGAGAAGAUUGCUGCUAACUGUGAUGUGAAUAACAAUGGAAUACGAUCGUUCACAACAGCUCAGUGGCAAGUAUAAAGAUGAAGAAGUGCAAUGAGAGUUAUCCAUACAGCUCCUUUAAGGUAGAAUAAGCACAUCUAUGAUAAACUCGGCAGUAGGCUUGACAACAUCCAGUAUCUACUUGGGAUGUUAGGAAUUGAAAAGAUACUAGGAAUAUCUCAAUAUGUCAGGAUGCCACCCACAUCAUUUCAAGUUGAGGCUAAAUGUAACAAGGGGUAACAAGGGAGAACACGUAAGAGAUAAGAAAAUCCAUGAGCUGUUAAUAUAUAUUAAUAGGCCAUCUUCAGAAAGCAACCAAUGUGGCUACAAUUUAUUCCUCCUUAAGAAGAAUAUCUUGACUCGAAUGGUGGUUGACACAGAAAACUGAAUUAACAUUGAAAAAAAGAAGAAAUGGGCCCCUGGAAGCUUGCAACAAACAUCUAGAGCUUGCAAGAGAUGGAUAAACAUCCUUGACUCUGCAGGAGACAUGGGAUCCUUAGUAGAUACAGAUCGUGCCUUAAGAUGCGAGCUUCGAGAACAGGUUAAGAAGCUGACUGAACUUGAAGAAAUUAAAUGGAGACAACUCUCCUGCAUCAAACGGGUCAAUAAAGGGGAUGGAAACACAAUGUUUCUUCACUCAUAUGCUAAUGGGAGACGGCAACACAAUUGGAUUCACUCGAUUCAGGAUGUAAUGCAUGACACUGUUAAUUCAAUGGCAGCCCUCCUUAGAGACCACUUCAUAUAUACUCUUGGCACCGCUUUCGCACUGGCAGCUUACAUCAACUUUUCUAGUUUACACUCAAAGGUUGACCUCAAUCUUGCUCCUUUUGACAGCCAUCUUCCUGAAGAGGAUAUCUUGGCAGCCAUUAACUCCUUUGAAGAGAUCAUGCCCCAGGCCCAGAUGGUUUUCCUAUGGCUUUCUAUCAAAAAUUUUGGUCUGUCAUCAAGCGAGAUAUCAUUUGUCGGUUCAAUGACAUCCAUACCGGCUUGGAUAAUCUCAAAUGUCUUAAUGAUAGCUGGAUCUUACCGAAGCGGAGAGAGGCUUCCUACGCGUCAGACUAUUGGCAUACACUCAUGCUGUUGAAAAAAUUUUCUCAAAGGUCCUUGCCUGUCGUCUCCAACCUAUUAUUGGUAACCUUAUCAGUUUCAAUCAAACCGCUUUUGCGAGAGAUCGGAGCAUCUUGGACAAUUUCAUCUGUCUACACAGGUUGGUCUACAAAUGCCAUAACAUGCACAUUAAGGCCAUCCUUCUUAAACUCGACUUCUCAAAGGCCUUUGACAAUAUCUGCUGGAGCUCCCUCCUGAGCCUCCUAGUGGCUAGAGGCUCCGACAAUCAAUGCGUUCGCUGGAUUCAUUGUCUCUCUCUUUUCCAAAACUACUAUUCUUCUCAACGGCAAGCCUAAGAAAUGGUUCCGAUGUAAACAGGGAUUGCAGCAAGGUGAUCCUUUAUCACCUUUCCUUUUCAUUCUUGCUGUAGAUGUUCUUCAAAGGAUUAUUAUGAAAGCUUUUGGACUCGACCAUCUCUCCACUCUCUGGUUGAACCCGGGUGGUUUUCACCCCCUUCAAUAUUAUGACACUACCAUCUUAACCAAAGCUGAUCCUCAAGAAACUUGCAUCUUAAAAUUCCUUCUUAAAAAUCAACAUCCAUAAGAGUUCGAUUUCUCCUAUUAAUAUUGAUCGGGACCUUCUCCUUGCCUUAGCACACACUUUACAAUAUGCUAUGUCACACCCCAAACCCAAGGCGUAACAGACGCCGCAUACCUGCUAAACUAGCAAAUAUGCAAGGCUACAGAAUCAGACGGAAACUAGCAAAAAGAUGAUUAUCAAUUUUCCACUAAAUUCAAAUAAUCAUAAGGUGAGACUAAGAAAUUAAAUUUUAACUAAAAUCAAACGGAAUUCUAACAUCUAUAAAACUAAAGCUUACUACGAAACACUAUAAAUUCAAUCCACUAAAUACCAUAAUUAACAAAGGUGGGUACGAAGAAAUAACGAUAUAAAAGUAGAUAACAAACGAUCAUUUACGAAGUCCAAAAAAAUAUUCACAUCUAAAUAUAUGCUAGGCAUAAAACAAAAAGGACUAAAAUCAAAAUCUAGCUAUAUCUAACGCUCACUCGGUCCCGACCCUGCCCUGCGAAGCAGUCUCAAAACCUGGGUAAGCAACCAUACACCACAUUAGUCGGAUUAAGCAUACAAUACAAAUAAAUAAUUAAUUACAAAAAUUAAUUCAAGCGACUGGUUUUCAAUUUGCAAAAUUUCAGAAAACAAGAAUUUAUCAAAACUUAAAAUUCAGAUCGGAUUGAAACUAUAAAUUUACAAAGCAUUUCUCUUUCAGCAAAUAAACGAAAUAAAUAUUAAGUCUCCGACAACUAACUCCGUUGGCGAGAUCCAAAGGCACCCGAAGGCGCAAACAGAACAGAAGCAUCUGAAGGCGCAAACAAAACAGAGGCACCAAAGGUGCAUGUACAAAACAGAGGCACCCGAAAGCGCAAACAAAACAGAGGUGCGUAUAGGCGCAGGCACCCGAAGGCGCAAUACAAAGACGAAGAUCGCUUCUAUAACAAAGUACAUGUCGACAUGGCCAAUAUUAGCAUAAUAGAAUACCAAAAGACAUUAUAAUUUAAAAUUAUCCAAUCACUAACUUACAAAACAAAUCAUCAAAUUUCAAAAUUCUUCUGUUAAAAGAACCUGUCAAUCACAGUUGAAACUCAGUUUACAGAAUUAUUUAAUAUACACUUAACCCUUAAUUUUAAAAUCUACAAAGUAAGGAUUUUCACACAAUCAAGAAUUUUCCUAAAUUAUUUAACGAAAAACUAACGGGUGUCCGGUCGCUUACCUUAACGCAGCCUCAAAGAUAAGAAAUUAUCCAGUCGAAACUACGCAGAAAAUCAAUCUUCGAAACCUAAAAUAGAGACAUGUGAUUCUCUAUAAGCUAACUCAAAAAUGAACAUGCAAAGAGGAUAUAAUUAUAUUUAGCAGAUAAGUUUAUCCAAGGUUUAAAUUUGGAUAGACUCACAUCGGUGACAAUUCGGUUACAAAGGUAUGCAAAUAGAUCGGAAUGGAACACAAAGGGAUUUAGAAUAUUUAAUUUCGACGAAACUCAAUUAGCAAUCAAAGAGAUGGAGUUUUGAAAAUUAAAUUAUUCAAAGGAGUAAGAUGACAUGAACGAAAAUUGAAAUUAUACAUGAAAGGUUUAGUGUUCGAAAAGAGGUUUGUCAUAUGUGGAAAUAUAAUUUUACGAUAUAUAAUCAAUGGAAUCGAAUUUAGAAACAAAACGAAAUUCGCCCUCUCAUAGGCAUUUUAUCGAACAUAUAACAGGCAUUCCAAAAAUGUGUAGAAUGUGCGAAGUUUACACAACUAAAUUUUAUAGAGGAUGUAAGAUAUAAAAUUUGACAGUUCAAAAGACAAGAAUAAGAUCACGACGAAUCAGAUUUUUAAUGGUUUUAAUCCCAAACAUUAAGAUAUAAGUGAGGCAGAAUAAUCAUACAACCAUGAAUAAGGAAUUAGAUCCAGUCAAGAAUAGAUGUAAAGAAAUAAAAAGGAAUAGACCUUGAAGGCGGAAUGACAAUGACGAAUCAAAAAUAUCGAUGGAUGAGGAUUGCCGCUACGGAUGACGGCGACGACGGUAGGGAUCGGAUGACGUCGCGCGCGCACAUGCGGAGCGGCAGAGGCGUACGGACGCGGUGAAGGAGGAGAGAGAGGGAAUCGUGCGGGAGGGGGAAAGAGAGAUUGGGUGAGGGUUGGCUAGGAAGAACUAAUUAAAUUAGGGACUAAUUAGGUAACAAUAGACCGCCGAGUCCUUUGAAGAUUGGAAAUUACCAAAAGGUCCAAACUUAAUAAGAUAGGAGUCAAAACAAGAGGUUUAAAAGUAUGAGGUGUUACAUCCUCCCCUUCUAAAAGAAGUUUAGUCCUCUAAACUUAACAUACCUUCUCUCGAAGAGCUAAGGGUACGUCAUCCCAAUCUGCUCUUCGAGCUCCUAAGUAGCUUCUCGUUCAGAAAAGUUGCUCUACUGGACUACUAGAAUAAAUUAGGAUAUUGUCUACUCAGACAAUAGUCCUAUAAACACAGUCGAUUACAAGCUCUGCCCCCAAAGGCGCCCAACACAUAAAGUAUAAACAAAGGGUUCGGAGGUUAACAAAUGAUUUUGAUCAAAAGCAAAAAAAAUAAAGAAAUAAGUAGUUCGAGAAUCAAAGAGAACACGAGCAAAAAUAGAAACUAUGGGAAGAAUACCAGGGACUACAGCAUUAGAUGCUUGGACAUCCUGCUGGGAGAGAGCCUGAACAUGACCCUGCGUCCGAGGUCUUCCACCUCUGUACUGAUCGAUAGGAGGGGCAUGAUCACGACCGGUUGGAGCAAUAGAUUUCUCCUGAGGCUUGGAUCCAGUGCCAGAGUCGGUGCUAAACAGAGGGCACUGAGCUAUCCGAUGGUUCAAAUCUCCACAUCUGAAACAACCACCAGUGACGUGCCUGCAGUUCGAGUCAUUAUGCGAUCCUCCACAAACUGAGCAUUUCGGUUUCUGAUCUCGAUUUGGUGGUCCACCACGAGAAGCUGGCGUAUUACGUGACCUCCUUGAGUCAUUAGAUCUAUCCAAUUCUCUUGCAUUUCGAUCUUCUUCUUUGAAAGAAUCUCUAUUCCUCUUCUUCUGAUUUGUCUUUCGCUCUUCUCUAGUUUGCCUCCAUACUAAAUCCAAAGAUUUCGCUCUAGAAACAACAUUAUCAUAUGCCUCAAGGUGUAGCGGUGCGAGACCAGUGCGAAUAUGUCCAUUCAAUCCUUCCUCAAAUCUCUUAGCUCGUGACUCAUCAUCAUUUACUAGUUUUGGGGCGAAGUGGGAUAGUCAGUCAAACUCGGCUUCAUACUCCUCCACAGACAUCAAACCCUGCUUUAGAUCCAGAAAUUGUCUUUCAAGCUGGCGAAGCUUGCUCCUUUAAACCUCUUGUUUUGACUCCUAUCUUAUUAAGUUUGGACCUUUUUGUAAAUUUCAAUCUUCGAGGGACUCGGCGGCAUAUUGUUACCUAAUUAGUACCUAAAUUAAUUUUACCUAGCCAACCCUCAUCCGACCUCUCUUUUCCCCUCCCGCACGACUCUUUCUCUCUCCUCCGCUGCGUCUGUACGCCUCUGCUGCUCCGCACGUGCGCGCACAACGCCGUUGAUCACCGUCGUCGUCGCCGUCGUCCGCGGCCGCCGCCGCAAUCCUCAUCCAUCGGCAUUUUCGAUUUGCCGCCAACAACAUUUCAUCGUCGUCGAUUCUAUCUUUAAGAAAGUUUAUUCCUUUCAUUUUCGUCUCUACACCCAUUCUUGAAAGCAUCUAAAUUUUAUCGAUAAUUAUGUAAUUGUUGUUAGGUAUUCUCCUUGAUGAUUACUUCUAAGAUCGUUCAAAUCUGAUUGCUAUAUACCUAAAUAUAGAUUGAUCGUAUUAUUAAAUUUUUACCAUGUAUUCUCUAUGUGAUCUAGGUAUAUAAAUUCUGCAUAUUCUACAUAGUUAUUGAAAGUCCGUUACAUGUUCGACAAAAUGCCUAAAAGAAGGCAUAUAUUGUUUUUGUUCCCAUCUUGAUUCUAUCUAAUUAUUGAUUUGCAAAUCAAUGUUUCAACAUCUGAAAACCCUCUUUUCGAGUAUUAGAUCCUUCGUUUAUUAUUUAAAACUUCAUUCAUCUUAUCUUGCUUCUUUGAAUAUUUUAAUCCUUAAAACUCAUCAUCCUCUUGAUUGCUAAUUGAGUUUCGUCGAAUGUAUUAUUCUAAAUCUCUUUCGUGCUCCGUCUUGACCCUUUUGCAUGCAUUUGUAGCCGAUGUUGUCAACCUAUGUGAACCUAUCCGAAUUCAGAUUUUUGUAUAAGCUUGCCUUCUAAAUGUAUAUAUAUCCUUUUUGUAAUUUUAUUUUUGAGUUAGCUUAUAGAGAAUCGCAUAUCUCUAUUUUAGGUUCCGACGAUUGAUUUUCGUGCAAUUUUCGACUAGAUAGCUUCUUAGCUUAGAAGCCGCUUUUGAGGUAAGCGACCGGACACCCGUUAGUUUUUUGUUAAAUAAUUUAGGAAAAUACUUGAUUGCAUGAAAAUCCUUAUUUUGUAGAUUUUAAAAUUAAGGGUUAAGUGUAUAUUAAAUAUUUCUGUAAACUGAGUUUCAACUGUGAUUGAAAGGUUCUUUUAAUAGAAGAAUUUUAAAAUUUGAUUAUCUGUUCUAUAAGUUAGUGAUUGGAUAAUUUUGAAUUAUAAUGUCUCUUGGUAUUCUGCUAUACUAAUGUUGGCCAUAUCGACAUGUAUUUUGUUAUAGAAGCAAGCUCUGUCUUUGUAUUGCGCCUUCGGGUGCCUGCGCCUAUCCGCGCCUCUAUUUUGUUUGCGCAUUCGGGUGCCUCUGUUUUGUACAUGCACCUUCAGUGCCUCUGUUUUGUUUGCGACUUCGAGUGCCUCUGUUCUGUUUGCGUCUUCGGGUGCCUUUGGAUCUCGCCAACGGAUCAUAUGAUAUAGUUAGUUGCCGGAGACUUAAUAUCUAUUUCGUUUAAUUGCUGAAAGAGAAAUGCAUUUGUAAAAUUAUAAUUUCAAUCCGAUCUAAAUUUUAAGUUUUGAUAAAUUCUUGUUUUCUGAAAUUUUACAUAUUGAAAAACCAGUCGCUUGAAUUAAUUUUUGUAUUCAUUUAUUUAUUUGUAUUGUAUACUUAAUCCGACUAAUGGGGUGUAUGGUUGCUUAUCCAGGUACUGAGACUGAUUCGCAAGGCGGGGCCGGGAGCGAGUGAACGUUAGAUAUAGCUAGAUUUGAUUUUAGCCUCUUUCGUCUUAUUUCUAUUGCAUUUAGAUAUGAAUUUUGGACUUCGUAAAUAAUUAUUUGUUUAUCUGCUUCUACUUUGUUAUUUCUUCGUACCUACAUUUGUUAUUUACAGUAUUUGUUAGACCAAAUUCUAGUUGCAUUGCAUAAUAAACUUUAGUUCUGCUUAUAUGAUACUUCAUUUGAUUUUAGUUGCAAUUAAAUUGUUAGUCUCAUCUUUUGAUUAUUUGAAUUUAGUGAAAAAUUGAUAAUUAUCUUUUUGCUAGUUUCCGUCUGAUUCUAUAGCCUUGCAUAUUUGCUAGUUUAGCAGGUAUGCGGCGUCUGUUAUGACUCGGGUUUGGGGCGUGACAGAGAAAUGGUAUCAGAGCAAAGUACUUUGCAUAAAAUGUGAGCUUAAGUAUUUUUGGCCGGUGGUUUGGGUCCAACGAGUUAUUAUUGCUGGCAGGUCGGGUCGUUGCAAUUGGUAUCAACCGAAUACCAAUGUGAGAGCUAAGUGCUAUGCGGGACAAAGUGCUACACCAACGGAUUUGGUGGAAGCCAACUCUUGAACCCGUAGGAGCCACCUCUAGAAUCUCACAUUAUCUGGUAAUUCUGAUCUUUAUCUGUUUGUCUGUGAUCUGAUUUGGACCCGACGAGAACGUCAGGGUCUAAACAGGGGGAGUUUGUAACGCCCCAAUAGUGCAAUCAUCGGAUGGGAUACUGAUAGUUUAUAUGAAGUCUACAUGCUAUUAAUAAUAACUGGGCUUAAGCAUUUUGGGCCGGUGGUUUGACCCAACGUGUUAUUAUUGUUGGCGAGUCGGGUUGUUGCAACUGGUAUCAAAGUUGAAUACCAGCCGGAAGUGUGAGAGCUAAGUGCUAUGCUGGGCAAAGUACUACACCAACAGGUUUGGUGGGAGCCACGUCUUGAACCCGUAGGAGCCACCUCUAGAAUCUCACAUCGCUUGGUAAUUCUGGUGCUGGUCUGUCUGUCUAUGAUCUGGUUUGGACCCGACGAGAACGUCAGGGUCUAAACAGGAGGAGUUUGUAACGCCCCCAAUAAUCCCACAUCAGGUAGGAAACUAAUUCUGAUUAGAAUAUAUGAGACCUACACGCUAGUUAUAAUAACUGGGCUUAAGCAUUUUGGGCCGGUGGUUUGGCCCAACGAGUUAUUGUUGCUAGCGGGUCAGGUCGUUACAUGCUACCAAAGACUUUCCUAUUACUUACUCUCAAAUGACAAGAAUAUCUCCCUAAUUAAAAAAAUUAAGAAAAGUUUGGCAGGUUGGAAGGCGAAUAUGCUUUCUUUGGGUGGUCGUUUAACUCUGAUUAACAUUGUUCUAUCCAGCAUUCCAAGAUAUCUUCUUUUUGUAUUCUAUCUUCCUUCUUUGGUCAUUAAGCACAAAGACUUCAUUAGGAGUGCUUCCUAUGGAGGUGUGGUGUGCUUCAGGACAUACGGUGUGCGUUGCCUCGUGGAGUAUUUGCAGGCCUAAGGCAUAUGGUGGGCUUGGAAUUCUGGAUCUACGGUUACUCAACUUAGCUCUACUAGUGAAGCAGUGGUGGUGGCACCUCUUCACCAAUCACGAGUUCCCAUAAGUCCCCUUUGUCGUGAGAUGGUAUUAUCGAAUGUGGAGCCCAAUGAUUCAAAAUCCUAAGUGCCACAUAAUGCAUUGCCUUUCUGUGGGAGGUUUACAAAGUCUGCUCCCCUCUUCUUUUCUUCUAUUUUCUUUAACAUUAGCAGUAGGGAGAGGACUUCUCGCUCUCCAGAUGGAAGGAUGAAAUGUCCAGAUGGAAGGAUGAAAUGACUAUUAAAGAUUGCAACCCACUUGUAUACAACCAUUCUUCUAACAAGCUGGUAAUAGUGAGUUAUGCUUUUAAUUCAAAACUUGCUAUUUUAUCGCACCUCCUCAACCAUCCUCACUGCGGAAUAGCUGAACUCAACAAUCGCCUCUCAGAAAUGCAAGGAAUCACAAGAGACGAAGUGAUUUGGCGAUGGACUCCUAACAGUAUCUUCUUGGUUGUGUCGGCGUAUCGAUCCUUUCCUUCAAAGGUAUCAUUGAUCGUCUUUAUAAGGUGCUUUGGAAAUGAUCAUACCUAAGGUGAAAGCCUUCAUGUGGUUGGCCUAUCAUAAUCAACUACUCACAGCGGAUAAUCUUAUCAAAAAGAAUUGGCUGGCCCCACCGUGUUAUCCACGUUGAGGAGUUGAUUCGGAAACUAUGAUGCACCUCUUCAUGUAAUGUUGUUUCUUUUCUCUAGUUUGGAAUUCUAUAACGCAGGGGCAGAUAAUGUACAACACCAACGUUGACUCAUUGCAAUCUUAUUGGCUCGAAGGAAGAUCUAUUUUUGGGAAAGAAAACUGCUGAAGUUUGGUGCCUUGUUCGCUGCAGGAUGCUAGAACGUGGAAAGAAAGGAACCGAAGGAUCUUUGAUACAAAAAGUAAUAGGAGGCAGGUGAUUGCUAAAACUUCAAAUUCUGAAGCUAAAAAUUGGAUCGACGUUCUUUAAAGCUGUUGCACUAAUGCGGAUGUAGCCUUUUGUUUGGUCCUGUUCCGGCCGAAAUUAGUUUGUGGCUUUCCUUUUGCUUUGUUUUUAUUCCUUUUACUCUGUUUGUUCUGUUCUCCUUUUCAACCUUCUUUUGUAAUUUAUAGCUCCUUUUUAAAUAUGUACAAUUGAACAGAGCCUUCAUGUUCAUCUUCAAAGAAAAAUUGAAAAAAGAAAGGUACUAGGAAGAAGACGAGAGAAUAAAUGUUCACAUUCAUAAAAAUACAUGAACCAGAUAUAUAUAUCUGGGCUAUCAAAGAUUUCAGUUCACAUUAUUGUAGAAAGUUAUUGUGCAGAGCAUGCAGCUGUAAAUUGAUUGUAUUUCUAUACAUAUGCAUCUACACUCCAGAAAUAUAUUUUGAACAAGCUCGAUUUGAAGGAUUGUGUUAUUACUUCUUAAAACGGAGAUAUUCAUAUAUUAAGACAAAAAAAUCAACCUACCAAUGGAGAUUUUUAUAUAUUAAAAAAAAAAAGAAUCAAUCUGCCAAUUUGAGCCAGUACAACAGUCAGAUGGGCAUAGCAUCUUAUUAUACGAUGCACAGAUACUUCAAUUUAGCUGUUGUGUCCAUAUUGGAUAUACAAUAUCUAUACAUUCAAAAACUUCCAGGAGUGCCUAGUAUUCUAGAAAUUUAUAGAAAUGCACAGAUACUUGACAUGUGCUUGGAGGAUGCGCAAGGAAUAUUUAUGGAAUAUGGAGCGAUGGUUUUUUUUUGUUUAAUUAAUGGAGUUAUUUUUAAACGGCUCAGAUUGACAAUCUUAUCAUAUAAAUGGCUAAAUUAUAGAAAACUUUUUGUAAGUACCCGCUUCUUCACUUUCCCUCCCUGACUUUAAAAAACUUACAUUUUGCCUCCUAAAAUUUUAGAAAUGUUUUCAAAGGGAUACGGCGUUAAUGGAGAGGGUAAAAUGACCAAAUUGUCCUUACUUUUUCUAUAAGGAAAAAAUAUUUUUUUAAUAUAUUUAUGUAAUUUUAAAGGGCAUUUUCGGUAUAAAUUAUAAGAAUUGGAUGAAAUAGUGGAACCCUGACGGAAGGGGACUAAAUGCAACAACUUGAUUUUUUUUUUUUUUUUGAGAGAUAGAUAGCAUGCUACCCGCAUUUGUUUAUUUCAUUUAGAAAUAAACUUAGCUAGAAAUAUGAAUCAACUAGGAUUCGAACUUGGGACCUCGAGUAUCAACCACCAAGCCCUUUGCCAUUUGCACUAGGGACGGUCGGUUAACAACUUGAAAUAUUGAGGGGGUAAAAUGUAGGUUUUGAAAGCUAGGGAGGAAAAAUAAAAAAGCGGAUAUUUAUAAGAAGGUUUCUGUAAUUUAGCCUACAUAAAUUAUCACUUUUGCUUCUGGAUUACACUUGAAUCAUAGAUUCAUGGUUGAGAAACCUCAUGAUUAAAGUUUGGUGACUUUGGUCUAAGCAAUUUUGUUUCUUGAUGAAUGAAGCACUACUUUUUUAUACCUUUGCACAAUUUAGUGACCUUAUUGCUUUAUGUUAUCAAAUUAUCUAAACAGUCAUUAAUAUAUACUAUUAUCAUAUAAUCAUAAUAUAAGCUAAACAUAACUUUAUAUUGUUAUAUAUAAAAAAAUUUUAUUCCCAUACACCCCCCCCCNCAUCUUCAUUGUGUGGCAUCCAUGUUCUAUAUUCAUAUCCAUGCAAGUAUGCAACAUAGACCUAAUUUCUCAAAAUUUUAUUACCACUCAACUUCUAUAAGCUGAAAAAGAAAAUGAUCAAACUGCAAGUCACAUAAGUGGCAACAAACCUUGUAGGCAGUCAAUCUUGGGCUGCUUUUGCAUACACAAUUCUGCACUCUUGAAGUUUUCCAUCAUUAAGAAUCCAGACUCCACAUCCAUGUAGGAAACAGCCCUGAAUCUGAAUGGGAUAAUUCUCAACAUCAAUUUUUGAUGUUCAACUAGUGAUACAAGGCAUUACAAGAAAAAACACAUUAUGCUUAGAACUUACAGAAAAGUUAAAAGGUUACUGAUUGUUCCAUCCACAGCUGAGAUCGAGUUGACAAUUUCUUUGAACUUUUUAUCACUAAUUAUAUUCUGCUAUCAGUUAAGGAACACCGACAUACUUGAUUCCAAAAUACAAAUAGUUUCUAGCCCAAUUUUUAGCACAUUCUAUAUAUAAUGCUGAAAGAGAAUCGUAAAUGCUAGUCUAAAAUGAAGGCAAGGGCUGUGCGACUUAAUAAAAAAGCUAUACCAAUUUACAACAGCCUUGCCUUACACAAAGUAGUUGGGAAACCAGCGAGUGUAGUAAAAAGAAGAACCAAGCAUUUGACAUGACUAACUGCAAUCCGGACACUUAAACUAGUAUUAAUGUUCCAGUCAAAAGAAACUAGAAUAAAUGAUUACCCAAAUUCAGGGUCUCGCUCAGGAACACGCUUUUUCAUUAAUAUUAAAAUAAAUCUAACUGAUUAGAGCUACAAUAUUUACAUAUUAUUACAGUUAAAUAUAUUUGAUUGUUACAGUUAUUUUUAAGUUAUCCCUAUUGCAAAAUAAAUAUUAAAUAUGAUCAUUCUGAAGAUUAUUUUUGUUACAGUUAUUUUUUAGCUACCCCUAUUGCAAAUAUAGAUAUUAAGUAUGAUCAUUUUAAAGGGACAAUCUUAUUGAAGAAAACAACUGAUGUCCUGAGUAAACUUCCAAAAGAAUACAGAAAGCCUUGAGUUGAACUCUGUGACAAAUUUUGUAGGAAGACCCGAAUCUUUUGGUAAAUAGAGCAAGUGCUCGAUCAACCUGCAUCAUAUCUAAAAGUUAGAAAAUGUUAGAAGAUGGUAGAUGAAUAAGAAAAGCUUUCAGCAUAAUACAGCAUGAUAUGGCAGUAGAUAGAAAGGGCCAAAGGAUCCACCUUUGCAUUUCAUCUGCUGAGGGGGGAAUAAAGAGAAGCUUCCUGUUAGAGAACCGAGAUCUAACUCUUUUCUCUAAGAGCUGGUCUGCAUCCUACAAAAUAGAUGGCCAAACUUAGUUACUAGACUAUUAAGGUGGAAAUUAUUAUAUGCCCUACUCAUUCAUUGUUUGUAUCUCAUUUCAGCUAUUCUAUAUUGACUAGCCAAACAAUGACCAAAUGUAGCAGCACGAUGAUUUGUGCCUCCUCACAUAGGCCAGACCGCCAGAGUUGGGCAUUGUAUAUUGUUUGCUUUGGAGUUAGGUAAGAAAUUUCAAAAGUUUCAAGCACUUUAGCAGUCAGGUUGACAAAAAGAAAGCUAACUUAUUAAGAGAAAGCUAAGCUCUACAAUUCUUUUGUUUGGAAUAUGCUGUAGUUAGAGGAAGAGAUGGUCGGAAAGAACCAAUCUACCCCAAAAUUUGGUUGGGGGGAGACUGGGAGGACAAGUAGAUAAGCAUCACCUGCUGGAUGAUUUGAAGGCCAGUAUUACCAAUCGGUUGGUAAGGAAGGCCAACCAGCAGGCAACUUUCAUGUUGAUAUGGUGCAACAGUCAAUGGUCAAGCUAUUGAGGUUAACUAAUUGACUACGGAGCUGAAACCGCUGAAAGCCUUUGAUAUAUCUCUUAGCUCAAUUUAUUGGAUCUUCGACAUUUUAGUAGGAAGGACUCUAGAAAUUAGUGAUCCUUGACGAAGAAAUAAAAAGCAGAAUACUUGCUGCAAAGAAAGGUACAAAGGCAUUGCAGAAGAAAAAGAGGUUACAGCUUCACAGUAGCAAACUAAAAUAGGAUUUAAGCCCUCAUGAACUACAACACUCCAUCUAUAAUCACUAGUUCUUGUAAAACCUCCAAGGCUUGUUCUUCUAUAAAACCUCCAAGGCAUGUUCUUGUAAUUGUGUCCUUUCCAGGUUUGCUAGGACCCAAACAAAACAUGAAUAUAGCUAGGAACGAAUUUGGAUAAUAGCAUGAACUUAAACAUCAUCAAAAGUUUAAAAAUAACUAAAAGGAAAUCCUGGUCAACUCCUGUAGAAACAUUGUCAGCCAGAAUAUAGUGCAUAAAGGUCAUCAACGUGAUAAAAAUCAAACAGAUUAAUCCUUGCUCCAUUUCCUUUUCAGCUUAUUUCCGAGUUUAUGACUUGUACAAAUGGAAAAAAUGAUAACAUGAGACACUUGACUAUAAACCAUCAUAUAACCAAAGGAUAAGCUACUAAUACUCUGUCAUGCACUUCCUCUAAUUAUGUUGCUAACAAGAUUUGAUGAAUCUAAAGUGUAAUGGAAGGUAACAUUAGAUCAUCAGGACUAGAUUAUGUAGCCCAACACCAAUCUGACAAAGUAUCUAAAGUAAAAUCAUCAAAAGGCAUCAAGCGAAGGAAGACCCAUCCUUCCAAGGAACACUAAGACUAAGACCCCACCACUUAUGGCACCUUAACUAAGGGGUCAAUGAAACCAUGGUGAAAAGAGAGCACCUGCUAGGAUUUUUAUUAAUAUUUACAAAUAAUUACAAGAGUAACUCACUAAAUUAAUAACAUAUUAUAAUACAUAAAGUAUAUACAAGUAAUAUCUUCUAACAUUUCUCCGCAACCUAAGGAUCCUGUGGUUGGAUACGAAGAUUGGUUCGCAAAAUUGGAAAACGGGAGGUAGAUAAUGGUUUGGUUAAAAAAUCAGCCAGUUGUUCCUCGGGGGUGAUUGACAGAGCUUGAGGUCUCCAAACUGAACUCUCUCACGAAGAAAAUGAUGGUCAAACUCAAUGUGCCUACUCCGAGCGUGUAAAAUAGGAUUUGCAGCAAGAGAAGUGAUGCUCAGAUUGUCAUAGUAGAUCUGAAUUCUAUGAUCUGAAUGGAACACCAUAUAGGAACGCUAAAAUCACGAAGCUGAAUAUCGGCUGAGUUCUGUGAAUGAUUGUUAAAUGCUCCUAAAGGUACCUUAGCUUUAUCAGAUUAAAUCUUAAAUCAAAUAGAUGAGCUUAAUAUUAUGAACAUCUGUAUAUGGAAAUAGAUAAAGUUAUAGCCGAAAAAAUGAUUAUAGUUUAAAAUUAAAAAUUUCAGACACAAAAAGUUUCCCAAGAGUCAAAUGUUUCACUUGAAUUUUGUUAAAAUAAUAUCUUCUGGAAAACAAAAUCCAAAGUCUCAUUCAAAAUAUUCUUUUAAUCAAGAUUUGACAGCUAUAAAUAGCUUUGAUUGUACUCCAUGAGCAUUCAAUGAACCCUGGUUGAUGAUUCCACUGUAUUUGAUGAUGAUUCAAUGCAUUUCAUUGGUUCUGAUAGUAAUUGCACAAGAUUGGAUAACAACUAGAGCCCUGCUUAAAGCGCAAAUUCUUAACUACUGUCACUCAGUACAACGUACACCUUAAUACUAAACAUUUAGAAUGAGUAUAUUUACCUAAGAAUAGCUUUAUUGCAAUGCAUGAUCACUUAACCUAUUAAUAUCGCGGGUAAAAGUAACAAAGCAACAGAAAAUCAGUCACUCUUAAAACAUAAAGAAUGAUGUCGAUCCUUUUAUAGCCUAAUUAUACUUUGAUGUAUCAGCUAUGAAGUAGAGUGUCUGAUCCUGAAAGUUCGAAGUAUAAGAAAGUCCUAGUUAUGCUCAAGUCUAACUUCUCUGUCGGCCCAAUGAAAUUAGGUCCAAAGUUUUCCUCCAAUGUUCAUUUUCAGCUUACACAUCUAUACCUAUACAUAAAUUCUCAUGGCCAAAUCCAACGUGGAUGCACCACCUUCAUUUGACGGUGGUGGGACACACUAUUUUUUAAAAAUAUUUUUCUAUUCUCUUUUGUCUUAGUAAAACCCUUCCUCUCCCUCAUAGCCACCUCCUUCAACUCUCUUUCUCUCUCUCUUUUCUUUUUCCGCCCAUCUCUUACUUCCCUUUAUCUUCCGAACCGACAACGACGUUUCUCCCUCUCCCAUCACCUCCACAGCAAUUUUGGAUCUCUCCACCUGUAAUUUUAGUUUUUCUUUUUCUAGCACUUUUCCUCUCGCUCGCCGCUCGGAGCCCUUCGGGCCGUAUCCAUUGCUCCUCAUGCAUCCUCAACAAGGACGGUGCGCGGUGCCAUCACUAACUGCCCCAUUCUCAACAAUCAUGGGAUAUCUACAUUCCUAUAUUCUCAUUUCUCCUAUAAAUUUUUAUUUUUUUCAAUUAUCUACCCGUCGCAUCCCACGGAUUACUUCAGUAGUCCAACAUAAUAACUUGUACAUUGUACAUAAUAAUAAUAAUAAGAAUAAUAAGAAUAAUAAUAAUAAUAAUAAUUGUAAAUAGAUUCUUAACAAGCUUCAACCUACAUUACUAGUUCCUGCAUCACAAACGACCUAAGAAGGAAUUAGAACUGAAAAGGGCUAAAUAGAUGCUAUUGUGAAACUCAGAUCCUAGAAGAAUAAGAAAGUUUGCCUACACUAACCUAUGGGGAAAAAAAACAAUCAGAAUACCAAGAUGGUAUAAAGAAAUAUUAAUAGUGUCAUUGUCUGGAAACAACUGCAAGUAGUCACAGAUGGUGUAGAUUUAUGACAAGUGAAAUCCCAAAAAAAAAAAACACUUUCGCGUAGUAUCAAAAACAGUUUUAAUAAAAAGCACAAGGGAAGUUUAAGAUGUCAUACCAAGCGACAACUCAUACCAAUGACUACAGCCUGUGAUGUCAAAGUUUGCAAUGCAUCUAGUAAGCUGUAAAGCAAUCGCUGCUUCCCCUACAAAUUACGAAAUAUCUCAAUAUAUCAGAGAUACUUUUGCAUUAUGUUGGCUACUAAAGGAAGAAAAUCAGUCAGAAAUUCCAUAUAAGCGGUAAAAAACAAAAUAGGCAUCAAUUUUGAAAACAUGAAAGUUAAUUAGUUCCUCAACGCCCAGCAAAAGGGUGCUUAAUUCAACAAGUACUGUAUGAAAUUACACUGCUACCAAAGAAUAAUAAACAACUAGACUGCAGACUCUAAGAUAAUGUGAAUCAAAUAAUGCACUUAGGUAAAAUAUAUUUCUUAGACCAACCUGAGUGAAGAGGUCAAACUCAUCUAAAACAAAAAUUGUUGUCUUGUGGGCCAAACCACACUCCCUACCAAGAAGGCAUAGAAAUGAGGCAACAUAAACAAUCCAGCAAUAAAAUUGAUCUUACACUUUACACUUACCGCAGCAUGUCAAUCAUGAAUUGAGAGUUGUCAUCAGAUGAAGCCUACAGUAAUGAUAAGUGAGUAUGACUUUCUUAUCUCAAAAGUCAAAAUAUUCCAACCAACGAAUAUCAAAAGAAAGGCAGGUAUCUACCAUUUUUGAGAACAAUAAUCUGUGUUCCAAGCAUAAUUGCCGAGCAAUUUCCUAGAAAAGAUUAAAAACAAAAAUAAAUCCUAAAAGUUUUGAAGUUGAAUAUAUUUAACAAUAUUAAAUGCAAAGAAACAAAAAACUGAGUAAUGAGACAGUGGAUGAAGAACGCUCAUUAGGUAAUCUUAGCAAGAUAUGAUGGAAGGAGAAUAUAUGAGCUCAUAAACUAGUUGUCUUCUGGUAGUCAAACUAAUACUCUAAGAGUAAAUUAAAGACUGCUCUCCGGACAGUUGGAUUUCUCAGUAGCAGCCAAAAAACAAAGGAUUGAUAGGAGCAAACUUUAAAGGAAUCUAAUGUCCAAGAUAGAAAGAUGUUGAAAAGAUUGUAAAAAGGUUAAAAUGAAUGAACAUGCUCAGGAAACUCUAGAAUCAUUGGAUUAGAAGAACAAAGUUAAGAAGUGAUAUCUAAAGGAGAAAAAAAAAACUGCACGAUCUGUACUUUACUUUUCCACUAGAACAUUUGUUCCAACAUGAUUACAAGAAAGAAAAUUCAUAGCUACCACAAGCAUACAUAAAAGAGGAAAAAAAAAGAAAAAAAAUCCAUGAGCCUUCUGAUGACCUGGGAACUUCAAAUAAAAAAAUGGCUUAAGUAUGUAACCCUAGCAAUACUAGAGGGUAAAAACAAGUGUCCUAAAAAUGUAUUAACUCCUUGAAACAUGAGAUGUCAAGACAUGCAAAUCAAUAGGAACAAGAUUGUUCUGCAAGAUUCCUCCUGUAACUUGUUAAGAGAAAAACCCCUCUAGAAACUAAAAACCCUCGAUAAGAUUGGGAGCUAUCAUAUUUACUAGAUACACUACAAAAGCAGCUUCUCAAAAAUAUGUGCCUCUAUGAAGUACUAUGAAGUGCCUACAUUAUCUGAAUGUUGCUUCUGCACAUGCUCCAAAAUCAGAGUGGGUUUUACAAACACCUUAUGCAGACAUAUAUCAGGGCAUUUGGCAAAGGGAAAAGCGGGGUUUCGCCGACAAAGUGCUAAAACAAAUUGGUUAGCGCAAAAGAGUCACUCGAAUUCCUAGAAUGAGAAAAGGAAGCCUAGUACCAAUUUAAUUUACCACAAGAAAGGACUUCAUAACAAACUACGACUAAAGUUUCAUCAAGUGUCGACUAAAGAGAUAUUACUAACUAUGAUUCCACUUUAAAUGGAAACCUGCAAUCAAAGUCCCUCUUUGCAAUCAAGUUUUGCUUCUGCCAUUACAUCGAAAAAUUGGUUGUUCACAUUUUUUUCUUUAGCUUCUAGAAUCUUGGAAUAUGUUAUCAUGCCCAUGAAUCCACAAAGAACAGUAAAACGGAGACCAAAUUGAAUUUCAAAGGCACAGUUGUAAAGUUUCUGAAGAUAGUAAUUUGAAGGGCUUGAUUGGCCAAGCUUGUAAGGUCUAGUGCCAUUUGACUACCAUUAUCUAGAGAAGCACAAAAAGCUUUGUCAUUAAAAUCCCUUGUAAUAGCAUCUCUUUGAAGAAAAAGCAGAAGUUUCGAAUUCAAGCUUCUAAUUUAGGGGUUAAAAGCUCAUUUCAAAUUCUUAUUAUAGUAGAAGAUCGCGACUUCUCAAUUGCCCAAGCAUCUUAUGUAUCACGGACACUUCUAUAAGCCUCGCGUGUCCGUGUCGGACACACACGUGUCCGAUGUGGACACUUUUUGGAUGAGCGUUUAAUGCCGAUCCAUAGCACAUACAACUAAAAAAUAUAUAUACCUAUUUUUAGUUUAUUUUUUCUAUACAUGUAUAAUGUAAGAUAAUAAAUAUUUUAGCUUUUUGAUGAAUGCAUAUAUUUUUUUGACAAUAUAAAUAAAUUAUGUAUGGUGGAGAAUUUUUUUCUUAAAAUAUAUGAACUAUCAAUGAAAAUUUUACUAACUUUUACUUGUAUGAGAAAUAUAAAAAUAUUUUACCAAAAUUGAUAUUUUAUAAUAAUAAAAAUAUAUUAUUAUAUUAAUAAUAUUAUAUUUUAUUAGCGGUGUCUAUGCCGUGUCGGUGUCCUAAUUUUUUGAAAGUUGCCGAGUUGUGGUGUCCAAGUCGUGUCGUGUCUCGUGUCCCAUAUCAGUGUCCGUGACACCUAGCCAAGCAUACUAUUAGAUGCAGUUGCAACUGAAAGCAAAAGAAGGUUCUAUGCCAAACUGACACCACGUAAAUAAACAUUAGAAUUUUCUUUGUUAAAUUCCUUAUCAGUGAAGGCUCUCCAUUUUGUCUAGGUCAUAGAUUAGGCUGUGAUCCUCAGAAUCCUAAGAAGCCAUAUAGUUGAUUUACAGUUUCAUUGUAAAUCAUCUAUAUGGCAUAUUCAACCUAGAAAUCACCAGCUCAGGAUAUGUUCCUACGAAUUAGGGAAGGAGGUGAAAAAUUUAAACAUUGAUCACAAAAAAAACUUCUUAAUGGGAGUCAAAUCCAGUCUAAGCGGUUCAAUUAAGGCAGAGUAAUGUCAAGUCUUAUUAGGUCUAAUUCCAAUUUAGUCUGCACUUUCUAACUUUAACAACUUAUUCUGUAUCAUUCUCACACUUCUCAUUUGCUAUUUAAAAGUCAAAUAUAAAAAAGGAGCUGCGGUGGCUAUGACUCUACCAAGUUUUGAUGCAUUAUUAAAUGAUUAACUUAUUCUUCAGUGGCUAUGCUUCUCAUUCUUUCCCUUAUUCUCUUCAUAUCAUCAAUUAUAUCCCAUAUCAAAAGAGCAUCAUCCUGGCAUUGGAGACACGCGGUAGGCUGAAAUAAUGAUAAUAUCUAGUCUAUAAUCAAAAGUGCUUCAUUGACCAAUUGACGGGCAUUGGUUAGGGCAGACUCUCUCCCUCACAAGUCAUAACAAUUUCUGUAGUUCUAUCAACUUACAUGAUCAACAUAGCCCUCAAUCACAAUCACAUCAACUUGCCACUCUAUCAUAAGUUAGUGUCGUUUUCUAACACCAAACCAAUCCACAAAUGUGAGCACAACUAAAAGUCAGGGACGCAAGGUAAAGACAGAAAGCAUAAAAUUAUAUGCACAAGUAUUGCCACAACUAUAGUAAUAAUAACCUAAUCACUAAGUUGAAGGUGAGAGAUGCGGUGCCAAAAAGAUCUAACCUUGAGAGCACAGUUGUCAUCACUAUGCAGCAGCCCAUUCAAUCUGAUCUGUAGCAUCGAAAUGCAUUCACCCCGCAGCACAAAGUAAGAAAAGAGGCAAACAUAUAUAUAACAUCUCAAUCAGUCAGCAAGAACCGAGUAUUCCGACUAUACCACGGAGAUCUCAUCGGCGUGUUCCGCCUUCAAAUCCUCGAGAACCAACUCCGCUACCUAAAUUUAAAAUCAAUCAAAAUCCCUAGCUUUCUGCAUAGUUUUAUAGAAACUGGAGUGAUCUUAUAGAGAGAAGAGAAAUUACCGCAACUUUUCCAGAUCCGCGGGGGCCGAGGAGGAGGACGGAGUUGUUGCAGGCUUCGGCGAUGGAACUGGAGACGAUGAACUUCAACUUGCUGUCAAAUGGAGAAAGAUGGAGUGAUCAAAGAUCAUCUAAAAUCAAAAUAUUGUUUUAAACAAACACACACACAAAAAAAAACGAGAAAUGGACCUGUAGUUGCUUUCUGAAGAGGAUUUGAGGUGGGAAUGAGCAAAGGUAGGGUUAGACAGCCGGGUGCGGAGGAUCGCUAGGGCCGUCUCUGCCGCCACCAUGGCCCCAAAAAUUGCGCGGGAAAUCGCCUGCCGCUAGGGUGAUGCAAGAUUUUAUAGGAAAAAUUUUAGAUGACCCCUCCAUUCCCAAACUAUCCCCUGCGUUUAGCAGAGCUUUAAAUUAAACGUGCUAGUAACUAGGGCUGUAAACAAGCCGAACUCGAGCGAGCUGGAGCCAGCUCGAGCUCGGCUCGUCGUCUUCAAGGUCGGCUCGUGUUCGGCUCGAGCUCGUGACAAGCUCGAAAACUCUGGCUCGUGAUCAGCUCGAAACUUAAUCACGCCGGCUCGUGUUCGGCUCGUUAGCUCUACCAAAGUUCGCUGCCGCCGAAGUUCGCUGCCGGGGGUUUGCGAACGGCGAAGAAUCGCUGCCGGGGGUUUGCGAACGGCGAAGAAUCGCUGCCGAGAGUGCGUGUGAAGAAUAAAUGGUAGAAGUAGUAGUUAACAGAGGGAGUUAGCAAAAAAAUGGCAACUUUACUAGUUAAAAUGGAGAAUAAAAGUGGCAGCAGCAGGUUGGUGAAGGAGCGAGCUCGGCGGGGUGAACCGGCGGGAAGGGCGCUCAGGCGAAACUCCGGCGGGCGACGAGGAAGGGCGGCGCUGCGGGCGCGAGCGCGAGAAGCCGAGCCAGACCCACAGCGUCUUCUGGGAGACUUGGCGGCCGGCUCACGCCGCCAUCAGCAUGCCCCGCUUGAGGUCGACGCCGGCGUCGCAGGUGGGGGCGGCGGCGGUGGAGAAGAUGGGAGGAACGCAAAAGGAGAAGGAGGUCCGACAGGAUCUAAGGAUUUGGGAAAGAUGGAAGCCUUGCGGGUCGGAUUGGGAGAUCUCCGGAGCGGAGGCUAAAGGCGAACCCACUAUCCGCAGGAUGAUGGAUAGUGCGGAGAAGGCGGACCCGCGACCCGUUCGUCCGCUUACUCGCUUAUCAUGCAUUUUCGGACCGCGCAAGCCAGCGGAGGCCCAGUCCGCGAGUGAAUUUCAGCCCAGCCAGCCGAAUUCCCAUUCUUGCCAAUUUGCAGUCUAGCCCUCAUAGAAUAGUUUUCUUUAAUUUCAGUACUAAGUAGUAGCAAGUAUAUAUACAAGAAUGUAAUUGCAACCGGAUAUAAAAGAAAUUAACUAGUAUUUAUAAUAAUUUAAAGUUGGGCUAAAAAUUUAAAAUUAAUAAUAUGUAUUAUAUAUUUAUAAUACAAAUAUAAUUAUAUAAUCGAGCUGUUAUCGAGCCGAACAUGAGCGAGCUGACCCUAGCUCGUGUUCGNAAAAACUUGAAAUUCAUUUCAAGCCGAGCUUGAGCAUUGGUCGGCUCGCUCGAAUUAGACUCGAAAAGCACGAAAAGCUCGAAUAUAUAUAUAUAUUAAUUAAUUAAAAAUAUUUAUAAAUAUAAUAUAUUUUAAUUAUAUAUAGCCAUAUAGACUGAGUAAUAUGUGUUUAAUUUAAUUUGGGCCAUUGUUGUUGGGCCAUUACAUACACACUCUCUUUUUCAAACUUUCACAUAACCCUAACAAGAUAACAUUCAAAUUUCUAAAUCCCUAAUUUUUUUCCCUUCUCUCUCUCUCGUUCUCCCUCAGACCCUCACCCAGUCACCCUAAGUCCCCAACUACUUACACCGCGACCACGCAGCCGCCACCCGCCAGCCCGCCACUCAGCACCUCGUCAGCCGUUGUCGUCGAACUCGUUCGCCGCCGUCACCCCAACCUUGUCCGCUGAACUCAUCGACCUAUCAGAUCGACCACUCACCACUAAGCCUUUUUGGUUUAGUGACGACGAUGAAUUCCAUCUCAUAAACCUCUUAGAUCUCCAAUUCCACCUCCUUUGCCUAGUUAGGUACGUAAUCUCCUUCUCCUCCCCUCGUUUUAUUCGAUUUAAUCAAAAUUUGGUUUCCCAAAUCUGAUUAAAUCCACUUUAUUGUUGUUGAUGAUGAUGAUGAUGAUGAUGAUGAUGAUGAUUGUUGUUGUUGUUGUUUGCUGGAUUUUUUGAUCGGGUUUAUUGACUGUUGUUAGGAGUGUUGUUAUUUUUAUUGUUGAUGAUGAUGAUGAUGAUGAUGUUAUUAUUAUUCCCAUAUCAUGUUCUAAAAAAAAAUCAAAUCUUAUUAUUAUUUUAAUAUUUUUAUUAUUGUAAAAAUAAGGUGUCUAAGGUUAGAGGUACUUUGUUUAUAUUGUUGCAACACAAAAAUAAGUAUUUUGUGCUAUUUGUGUUACCAUAGCAUGCAUGAUUUUUUUUUUUCCAAAAAGAUAAUGAUGAUGAUGAUAAUUUAUUUUUAUAUUUAGAUGUCUUCUUCACGGAUUCCUUCUUCUCAAAAUUCUAUAUCUUCUCCUGCCAUUGAUAAUGUUAUUAUUGAUGACUCACCGAUCAAUGUCGAUAAGGAGUGCGGAGAUGAUAGAGAUAAUAACCAAUUGAUGAAGGAUAAGGCGAUCGCCACCGAUAGCCCAUCAAAAAAAAGGGGGAGAAAAAAAACAUCAGAUGUAUGGAAGAGCUUUAAAAAAAAUUCAAGUAAAAGAGAAAGAAAAAUCUAUUGAGAAAUAUAAAUGCUGCAAGUGUCUAGCAACUUUUCACAUACCUAAGUACGGUACCACUUCUCAAUUUAAAAGGCAUUUACUUGAUUGCCUACAAACAAAGCUAGGUAAAAAAUAAAGUAUUAUAUCUUUUGCUUCCACUAGCACAACAGCUCUUGAUACUAUUGGAGAAAAGUACUUUUCUAAGGUUUCAAAAGGAGAAUAUGACCACAAAGUGAUAAGAGAAAUAAUUGCAAAAAUGAUUAUGUGCAUGAGUAUCCGUUUAGUAUAGUUGAGCAUUCAUGGUUUAAUAUGUUACUGAAAGUUUUGAAUCCUAAUUAUGAAAAUAUUUCUAGAAAGACUAUAAAGAAUGAUUGUAUGAAAAUGUAUGAAAAUGAAAAAGAUAAGCUAAAGAAGAUGCUUAAAGGUGUUGGUAGGAUAAAUUUAACAUCGGAUACAUGGACAUCCAACCAAACAAUUGGUUAUAUGUGCUUGACUGUUCAUUUUAUUGAUUCUGAAUGGAAAUUACAAAAACAUGUCAUAAAUUUUUGUAAGUUGGAGCCUCCACAUACAGGGGUCGUCAUUGCUGAUGGUAUUGUUGAAUGCCUACUUAAUUGGGGCAUUGAGAACAAGAUAUCCACUAUAACCUUGGAUAAUGCCUCCUCUAACGAUGUGGCAGUUCGAUUUUUAAUGGAUAACUUUGUUGCUAGAGGAAGACUUUUUUUUAAGGGAAUUAUCUUUCAAGUAAGAUGUUGUGCUCAUAUCUUAAAUUUAGUUGUUCAAGAUGGGCUCAAUGCAAUUGGAGAAGUUAUUGUAAACAUUAGGAAUAGUGUUNUCGGCACAUCUCAAGUUUUAGCUCGCUUACGAGCAUAGUCUCCAACAUCACGUGGCUUUCAACUCGUUUGAUGCCUCACAAUGAAUACUUCAUCAUCUGAUACCACAUGCCACGAUUAACAUCAAACUAUUUUCACAACGAGCUCACACGAGCGCUUCGUUCGUGAAUUCGAGUCAAACUCCUUGAUAAGGCUAUCUGCCAAAUCGCUCUCUUCGGUCUCCACAGGUGGACCAAAGGCCACCAAUCCUAUAUAGGCCUACAGCUUAAACCUGUCUCAAUACGUAGCGUCUCUCGCUCGCAAAUGCAGACCCAAUUAUCAUCGGGCGAAAUUCUCAUUUGGGAAUUCGCUCACACUCCAACCAGGAGCAACUAAGACCCUAAACCACGUCAAGUCCUCGGGUUGGGUCACAACCAUACUCGGUGUACCAUCGGUCACACAAUCUAUCGCGUGGCAUUCCACGCUCCAGAGUCUAAGCUCGGACUACUGUCCUGACCAGAACUCUGCCCUACCCGUAGGUACCGGGCCGCUGUCACUGACAGCUGACUGUGCCUGCCCAAAAGGGCCAAGGCUCCAUAGUCCACUAAUGGUCCAGGCACGGGUCAUCCCCAAGCACUACCCGCCGUCGUCGUCUUAAACGACAUACUCUACCGAGUCACACGUACCAAUAUCGGCUCCUAUACACCUAGUGCGAGUCACCAGUCCCACGAGUGAUCCAUGGCACGCUUCACACCUAGCAAUGCUCAAGUGCUACUGCCAAUACACUCUCUCUGCUGAAUACACAUCUGCACUCUAUGGAUCUCUACACUCGAGCGCUCUACGCCCCUACAGCGUUUCACACGAAGUCCAGUAUUAGACAACUCUUGCCUAUGCACACCGGCCGCACGAGCACAACCGUCUACCUCACCUUGAGGUACUAUUAGGCCCACGUGCUCAAACCUGGCCACUAAUCGAUCGUUCUCUCAAUAGUGAUGCUACUUUCACUGUUCAAUCUACCGGAAUGACAUCCGAAAUUUUCGGGCCACUCGGGCAUUCUCAUAAGCAUCAUGGCUCAACGCUCGCAAUUUACAACUCAUAUUGCUUUGAGAGUCAUUUCGCCACUUCUAUCUCUACCGCGAGUCUCACUUCUCGCCAUAAAUUACUUCUAGCACUUCCCUAGUGCCAUCUGGCUCUAUACCUGUAAUGACAGGUACUACGCCCUUACAACACGAGCAUGCCCGGGUAUCUAUACUUACCCGUCCUCUCGAUCUCUACUAUGCUCAUGCAUGACAAUAGUAAUUAACCACAUAACCAUUGCAUGCAAUGCAUCAACUUCAAAUCAUGCAAAACAUAUGCUUGCAUCAAUAACUCAUACCUGCAACGACGUCGUCAGCAGCAAGUUCCUCAACCAGGGUCGCGUAUCUACGACCACCCAGCGUUCGCCGCGAACCCUUAGGUUGCAUUGUCCUCAACGCCCUCUCGUAGCUCACACCGCUGUGGGGGAGAGGGAUAGGGCAUAUAACAUGUUGCAAUAUUUGCAAAUAGGCCCUCCCACUUUCUAUCCAGUGCACUGCCCAAACUGGACAAUUUUUGUGCUGAGGGACCGGUCUCUCCCUGCCUGGGACCGGUCCCUGAGAGCUUCUCCCGUGGUCUGCGCAGCCUACGCACGAGGCAACCGGUCUCCCCUGAUGGGACCGAUCUCUUGGGGACCGGUCUCUCCCCGCAGGGACCGGUUCCCGAGAGCUGUCCACCAGGGACUUAACCGAUUUUCCUCUCCUCUUGCUGCCUGCGCGUUCGGGGACCGGUCUCUCCCCGCGGGGACCGGUCUCCGAGAACAGAAAACCUGCAGUCUUGCAGAUUUUAAUUUCCAAAGCUCUCGAAGAUCCCCAGUAAUGCACUUUUGCAUUAUUUGACGCCUUCGGCCUUUCCAAAGCGUACCAACCUCGCUCUUUGGUCAAUUUGACCAAGGUUCGAUACUUGGUUACCGAAGUUUCGGUAUAUUACAUACCCACUCAACAACUAGCCUAUCCUGGACGAAGUCCAACUCUCGGCUCUCGAGAAUUCACUUCAUUACAACCAUGCUGUACCGGCACACCCUUGGUGAUAAAUCGGUAACACAUGUUCCAGAAUUUCGAUUUUGCACCGCUUCGACUCCAAUUCACGCCGAGCAACGCUAAAACCUUUCUAACUCUUUUAGAACUCAACUUUAACCCUUCCAACAUUGUUGGAGUGUCAAUUGGACUUUGUCCAACUGCCUCUCUCAACGCACUUGGGUCAAUUUGACCAAAAAUGAUCUAACACGACGAGGAUUCCGUUAAUUUCUCAAAGAUCAUGAGAGACGCCAAAGCUCGCGAAGUUCCCAAUCUCCGCUCUCCUCAAAUUGCCCAGGGACACCACUUGGCCCAUCCCACGCCGAUCUAAAAGAAAAUCGCCUACGCGGUACUAUCGCUUCCUAAAACACGACAACUUUAUUAAUCCUCGACCCUCCAGGUCGAACACGAGACACUUAAUACUGACUCAAAUCGGGCGAAAGUCACGCAAGGGUGUCUAUUCUCAUCACUCGGUUUGAUGUUGUGUAUACCCAACAUGAACACCCUCGGUUGAGAAUAAACCACACCUCGAGCCGACCUCUAACAUCCGUUUUAGAGGUUUACUAACCUGACCCAAUCGAUCAAUCUUUUGCCAUAAGUCACAAGUCCUCGUCUCUCACGAGCCUUAAUCUCCUAUGGUUUGCUAUCCUAGGGUCUCCUAGGUCGAACUAAACCAUUUUCUAUUAUUCUUUUUAUGUUUCUUUUAUGCUCUGAUACCAUCUUAUCUGUCACGCCCCGCGACCACCCGCCUUUUUGGCCGGGUCGCGGCGCCGCCGACAGACCGCCGAACGGACAGGGUUUUCCCUGUACCGCGGACAGAGUCUCCCCUGUACAUUCAAGGCGUCGCAAUCAAUACAAUGUACGAAGUUCCAACCAGGAACACAUUUCAAACAAAGAUUGCAUAAGGAAGUAUCAAAAACAUAGUCUACUUGCUAUUACAAGCAUUCACAUUAUUUAGAUACAUUUUACAUCACAAUUACAUAAUACAUUCUUUUUAGCUUCCAAAUACAAUCCAGCUUUAACAAUGUUAUUACAAUUUGAUUCUUUUCAUUCUCUUGCAUCCCUAAGUAAGGCCAACUCAGGGUACCGCUAUCUCUGGUCUCGGUGGUAGGGCGCUAACUAUGGAACUACGCCCUCGCCUCGCGCCGCCGCGCCGCUCACGUGUGAACCUGUAACACCCCAAAACCACGUGGGGUGAGAACGAACUCCAUGGUUCCCAGUGGGUACGGCCACCCAAGGGAAAAGCUCGACCAAUAGGUCCAAGGGAGGCAACUGCAAGUUAAUUCAAUAAACAGAUAGAUAUAGAUCUUUAAUAUGCAACUAAUAAAACCAUGCUUUGCCUCACGAAUACAAUAAUGCCAUACUAUAUGCGAAUCAUGCAACUACACAAGUAGAAUAAAUGAUUUAACUUUCUAUCAUGCUAUCCAUAGUUUUUUCAUAAUUUAUACAUCUUGUCACCUUACAUCGUUGGUUAUUUGCUUUUAAGAUUUUCCUCUACCCUAGCCAAGCUAACCACCCGACUCGGUCUCGAGUCAAUCAUCUGCGGAAUACCGCAUACAUCCAGGCUCGAGAUGAUGGACGUCUCACAUACACCUCAGCCUUAAAUCCACUCGAUAGGGAUACCAAAUCUAUAGCUCAUAAUGCUUAAAGUACAUUCACUUGGCUUUUACCCAAUCUUGCCGUUUAAUAUUGUUAACCCCAAUAACUCAUACCCCAAAUCCCGUCAUAACAGGGGGCCUCGAACCACCCCUAGGGACCGUCUACGGGAACUCGCUCCCGAGGUGACUAUUUCCGAAAACUCACCGCUUGAGGGGGAGCUACCUCCCUCAAGCCAAGACGUAUCAUGAGUACAGAUCUAAUCCUCAUCUUGAGGAUUUAUAGCCACUUGUCACAAUGCCAUUGUCAUGAUAGGUUUUCUACCUAUUUAUUCAUGCCACUCUCUAUGUCAACUUGGUCCAAUGCCACUCUUGGUUAAACUAUGUUUAACAACUAUAUCCUCUAUGCAAAUCAAUGUCUCUAUUGUCGAUGCCGCCUUUGUUUACUAAUGUCUAAGUCCAACUUUCACAUUCACACAAUAAUAGGGUCCUAACAUACAUGUCCAUUAUGGUUCUACAUUUCUCUAUGUUCAACUUCGUUAGAAACAUGUCAUUGAAAACAAACAAGGUUCACAUGUACUUAGCCCAAUCAUGCAUGAAUGAUACAAAAUAUAUAUACACAAAUGCGACAAGUGUUUGCUAGGUUCAUGACAUUAGGUUCACACUAUACUUGUUCAACCUACGUUCAAGACACUAGGUUCAUAUCAUCCAUGUUUAACCUAUGUCCAUGACUCUAGGUUUAAUGCCACUCGAUCUAAUGUAUAUAGAUUGUCCAUAUGCACAUUUCCAUUUCUUAAUAUUAACCACAUGCUUGCAUUUAUUAUUUCUAUAUCAUGCUUAUCUUAUCAUUACUUAGCAUUAUCCACAUGCAUGCUUAUCAUGUAUACUUUAGCAUUAAUCAAUGCAUUCAUCUUGCACUAUUUACACUAAGUCAUCAUGCAUUCCUCUUAUCAUGUUCUUAUAAUGUUAACAUUCAUAUGCCCUUUAUCUUAUGCAUUCGAAGCAUUAAUCACAUGCAUUUAUCUAGCAUUUCUAUAAUAUGUUAACAUGCAUUCUUUUCACAUUCUUACAUUAUGUCAAAUGCAUUCCUCUAGNNNNNNNNNNNNNNNNNNNNNNNNNNNNNNNNNNNNNNNNNNNNNNNNNNNNNNNNNNNNNNNNNNNNNNNNNNNNNNNNNNNNNNNNNNNNNNNNNNNNNNNNNNNNNNNNNNNNNNNNNNNNNNNNNNNNNNNNNNNNNNNNNNNNNNNNNNNNNNNNNNNNNNNNNNNNNNNNNNNNNNNNNNNNNNNNNNNNNNNNNNNNNNNNNNNNNNNNNNNNNNNNNNNNNNNNNNNNNNNNNNNNNNNNNNNNNNNNNNNNNNNNNNNNNNNNNNNNNNNNNNNNNNNNNNNNNNNNNNNNNNNNNNNNNNNNNNNNNNNNNNNNNNNNNNNNNNNNNNNNNNNNNNNNNNNNNNNNNNNNNNNNNNNNNNNNNNNNNNNNNNNNNNNNNNNNNNNNNNNNNNNNNNNNNNNNNNNNNNNNNNNNNNNNNNNNNNNNNNNNNNNNNNNNNNNNNNNNNNNNNNNNNNNNNNNNNNNNNNNNNNNNNNNNNNNNNNNNNNNNNNNNNNNNNNNNNNNNNNNNNNNNNNNNNNNNNNNNNNNNNNNNNNNNNNNNNNNNNNNNNNNNNNNNNNNNNNNNNNNNNNNNNNNNNNNNNNNNNNNNNNNNNNNNNNNNNNNNNNNNNNNNNNNNNNNNNNNNNNNNNNNNNNNNNNNNNNNNNNNNNNNNNNNNNNNNNNNNNNNNNNNNNNNNNNNNNNNNNNNNNNNNNNNNNNNNNNNNNNNNNNNNNNNNNNNNNNNNNNNNNNNNNNNNNNNNNNNNNNNNNNNNNNNNNNNNNNNNNNNNNNNNNNNNNNNNNNNNNNNNNNNNNNNNNNNNNNNNNNNNNNNNNNNNNNNNNNNNNNNNNNNNNNNNNNNNNNNNNNNNNNNNNNNNNNNNNNNNNNNNNNNNNNNNNNNNNNNNNNNNNNNNNNNNNNNNNNNNNNNNNNNNNNNNNNNNNNNNNNNNNNNNNNNNNNNNNNNNNNNNNNNNNNNNNNNNNNNNNNNNNNNNNNNNNNNNNNNNNNNNNNNNNNNNNNNNNNNNNNNNNNNNNNNNNNNNNNNNNNNNNNNNNNNNNNNNNNNNNNNNNNNNNNNNNNNNNNNNNNNNNNNNNNNNNNNNNNNACGUACUGAGUAAGAAUAUAUUUUAAGUUUUCAGUUUCGACCCCAUUUGGUCACCGAAAACUGUGCCGAAAUGUAACUUUAUCAGAUAACUCUCGGAUUUUAUUUCUCACUCUACGGGUGUGAGAAAAAUAUGAAACUUUAAAUCUACCCUCAUAAAAAUAUUUCUGAAUUAUCCUCCAAUUUUCAUAAUUUUCUGAGACUGUGCAUUUUCUACUAAUUUAUCUGUCCCGUUUUCAACAGAAAAUUCUAGAUCUUCUGUUUUCAUUCCGAUUUCAGCACAAGUCACUUCUGACUUAUGUUUUACUUCUAUAAAUCCAAUAAAAAUAGUUUCUCACACUAUUUUUAUUUAUUUUUAUUUUUAUACCAAAAUCUAGUAUGUUGCACUAGUGGUGCAUUGAGUUGAGGUCAGUAAUUGCCCACUGGGAACUAUAAAUUAUAGUUCUCACGCCCUCUGUUUUAUGUUUUCUUUCAGAGCCUUUCACGCCGGGAGAGGCUAGGGACCGUGGGAAGGGCGUUGCUUCGAGCUAACUCUUCAGUGCGUGACGAGUCGCUAGGUGGUCUACCUCUCGAUGUAUUUAAUUUGGAGAGGUUGAGAGCUGUACCAGUAUAUUACAGACCACCCCUUUUGUGUACUAUUUUGGAGAUGAUAUUGUAUAACUUUAUGUUUCACUCUUGUUGUUUUAGUAUUUUCCUUUUGUGUACUAUUUUGUAAAUGAUAGAUCUAUCUGUGCUCUGAUAUCUCUAGAUGUAGACUAUCUUUGGUUUUAUUUUCCGCUGUUGUUUUAGACGCCUUAUAUGUGUUGACAUAUGGCGGGUCUGGGCAUGCUACCGGGAGGGCCUCUGCCGAUCCCGGGGCGUGACAACACCUCCCCACCGUUUCUCGUUGUAGAGGCUCUAGAAAUGCCUCUCGCCGAACGUUACGACGAGGUCUCGGCUUCCUUGGUCCAAAAUAAUGUUCAAUCGGCCUUAUCUUGCCGAUAGCUUUUCUCCCGCUCGACGAAUCGAAAUUCCGACUUCGCCCCCGCAUUUUGACACCUAGUAAUUAGGUUAACAAGGCUACAAAUGAGAUCAAUCUCAUACUUUACCAAAAACCCCAUUUUGGAGCCCUAGGGUUCACAUCUUGCCAUUUGCAAUUUGGAACCCUAGCCUCUAGCUCUAAUCCACCAACAUUGGUGCAAGAGGUCCAUUUGACCCUAUUUCAAAAGCUCAAAACCCAAAACCCUAAGUUUCCAAAAGCUAGGGUUAGGGCUUACCUCUUGUGCUAGCUCCCAAGAGAAGAGGAGAAGGAGAGGGAGAUGUCCAAAGCUCCUCUUUGAUCUCCUUCUUCUUCUCCUUCCUUUUCUUCUUCUUCUUCUUCCCCUUCUUCUUCUCUUUUUCAUUCUCCUUCUUUUCCUUCUAGAGAGAGAAAGAGAGAUGAGUGAAAGAGAGAGAGAGAGAGGGAAAUGAGAGGCUGAGGGAGAGAGACAUGGGGCCUACAUACCCCUCUAAUGUAACAAAAUCCAUUUUAGUCCUCAACUUUCCAUCCAUUGCACUGCCCUCACUGGGCAUUUUUCACCCAGAGGGACCGGUCUCCCCGACCUGGGACCGGUCCUUGAGAGCCUCCCCAGACAUCACGCGUUCGGGAACCGAUCUCUCCCCGGGAGACCGGUCCUCGGGAGACCGGUCCUCGCCUGAGAGACCGGUCCUCGAGAGCUCGAUUUUUAGGACAUAGUUGAUUUUGGCCUUCUCUCGCUGGCGUCGCACACGGGGACCGGUCCCCUCAACCUGGGACUGGUUGCAUCAAAGAUCCCCAGCAACCACCAGCCUCGGGGACCGGUCUCUCCCUGCCAGGGACCGGUCCCCGAGAGCAACUUCAGCCCAGUGCAAGUUUUGCACUAUAUGCUCUCGCGGACACGUUUUCAAUGCACUUUUUGUGUUUUGGACAUCUUUAACUUUUUCGAAUGAUACUCACUCGACAAAUAGUUGAUCCUUGACGAAGUACAACUCUCGGAUUUUGAGAAUUCACUUUCUUACAUCCUCCCCUCCUUAAAAGGAGUUUCGUCCUCGAAAUGAACUAAAUUUUUAACUUUAAUUUAAAUCCUUACCUUACUCUUCUAGAUGGGGAUGGUGCUUUCUCAUCAGAUCCUCGAGUUCCCAGGUGGCCUCACGAUCAUCAUGAUUGCUCCACCUAACUUUCACAUAGGGAAUUUCUCGAUUUCUCAACUUUCGCACCUCUCGGGCGAUAAUCCCUACCGAAAACUCUUCAUAGCUCAAGUCCUCUUGAAGUUUCGGUGGUUCAUAUAACAUUGCGUGCUCGGCGUCGUGAAUAUACUUGCGGAGAUUGGAGACAUGGAACACAUUGUGUACAUCCGUGAGCUUCGGUGGUAAAGCGAGUCGAUAAGCCACCGUGCCAACUCGCUCCAAUAUCUCGUAGGGUCCAAUGUACCGGGGUCUUAGCUUUCUUCGCACUCCAAACCGCUUCACACCCCACAUCGGUGAAACCUUCAAGAAUACGCAGUCGCCCACAGCAAACUCGAUAUCUCGACGGCACCUAUCUGCAUAGCUUUGCUGUCUAGACUGCGCCGUGAGCAAUCUCUUGCGAGCAUGGCGGACUUUCUCCUCUGCUUCUCGCAACACAUCCGGGCUGAACUCGGCACACUCACCUACAUCGCUCCAGUGUAUAGGAGACCGACACGUCCGCCCAUAGAGGGCUUCAAAUGGUGCCAUCUCCACACUAGCGUGGUAACUGUUGUUGUAGGCGAACUCGGCCAUCGGCAAAUGAUCACACCAACUCUCUUUAUAGUCGAUGACACACGCUCGCAACAUAUCCUCCAGAGUUUGAAUGGUUCUCUCUGUUUGCCCAUCGGUCUGAGGAUGAAAUGCGGUGCUAAAAUCGAGCCGUGUGCGAAGGGCUUCCUGCAGGCUCUUCCAGAAGUGUGAAGUGAACCGGGGGUCACGAUCCGACACGAUCGAUUUUGGCACCCCAUGCAGUCUCACUAUCUCAUCGAGAUAUACCUGCGCUAACUUGUCACCCGACCACGUGGUGUGGAUCGGCAAGAAGUGAGCCGAUUUCGUCAAUCAGUCCACGAUUACCCAAAUCGCAUCAUGGCCGCCUGUUGAGCGAGGCAAGCAGACCACGAAGUCCAUCGAUUUAUCCUUCCAUUUCCAAACGAGGAUUGGUAGGCUUUGAAGCUUUCCCGCUGGAAAUCGACGCUCGGCCUUCACUUGUUAGCAUGUUAAGCAUUUUGCCACAAAGCGUCCAAUAUCACCCUUCAUACCCGGCCACCAAUAGUGCAUUUUUAAUCCUUGAUAAUCUUGGUGCCGCCCGGGUGAUCAGCAUACGAAGAUCGAUGUGCUUCCUGUAGAAUUAGCUCGUGAAGCUCUCCGUUCUUCGGCACACACCAUCGGUUUUGAAACCGAAGUGCACCAUCGGCGUCUAUAAUGAAAUUGCCACUUCGUCCUUCCUCGAUGUUUCGCAACACCAUUUGGAGUUCUGGGUCCGCGAGUUGCAGAUUUUUAAUCCUCUCCAACAAGGUCGGUUGGACAACAAGUGCCAUCAACUGAGCCGGAGUCUCAGGAGCAACCACCUCUAGAUCCAUCCGUUCCAUGUCUAGCCAUAACGGUGUCUAGUUUGUAACCCACAUCGAGAGGUUCUCCGCCGACUUUCUGCUCAAUGCAUCAGCGACCACAUUAGCUUUUCCGGGGUGGUAAAGAAUAUCGACAUCAUAGUUCUUUAACAAUUCCGACCACUGCCGUUGUCUCAUGUUGAGCUCUUUCUGUGUGAACAGGUAAUUUCAAACUCUUGUGGUCGGUAUAGAUUUCACAAUGGGCACCGUACAAGUAGUGCCGCCACAGCUUCAGGGCGAAAAUUACCGCCGCUAGCUCCAAGUCAUGGAUGGGGUAGUUCUUUUCAUAGCUCUUCAGCUGAUGGGAUGCAUAAGCAAUCACCUUUCCAUUUUGCAUCAAAACACACCCCAAUCCUAGAUAGGAAGCAUCGCUGUAGACUACGAAGUCCUCGCCUUGAACCCGUAGAGCGAGCACCGGAGUCGAAGUUAACCUUUGUUUCAGCUCUUUGAAACUCCGGUCGCACUCCUCGCUCCAUACAAACUUGGUGCCUUUCUGAGUCAGGCGGGUGAGUGGAAUCACUAUCUUGGAAAAGCCUUCCACAAACCGCCUAUAAUAGCCCGCCAAGCCCACGAAGCUUCGGACCUCCGUGACAUUAGUCGGGGGCGGCCAAUCCUUGAUUGCCUCAACUUUCCUCAGGUCUAUAGAAACUCCACCCGCGGAAAUUACAUGCCCUAGAAAUGCUAUUUCUCGGAGCCAGAAGUCACACUUCUUCAACUUAGCAUACAGCUUCUCCUCCCGAAGGGUUUGAAGCACUAUCCUCAAAUGCUCGGCAUGUUCCUCGUCACUACGAGAAUAGACCAAUAUGUCGUCUGUAAAGACCACGACAAAUCGAUCCAAAAACUUCCUGAAGACACGGUUCAUCAAGUCCAUGAAUGCCGCUGGAGCAUUCGUGAGUUCAAAUAGCAUAACCGUGAAUUCGUAGUGCCCGUACCGCGUACGAAAUACAAUUUUCUACACAUCCUCCGGCUUAAUUUUCAACUGGUGAUAGCCGGACUGCAAAUCUAUUUUCGAGUACACACACGACUCCUGCAACUGGUCGAACAGGUCGUCGAUUCGGGGAAGUGGGUACUUGUUCUUGAUCGUGACUCUGUUCAACUCUCGAUAAUCCACGCAGAGUCGAAACGAUCUGUCCUUCUUCUUUACAAAAAGCACUGGGGCUCCCCACUGGGUAAUUACACUUGGCCUGCGAUAAUUUGCUUGUCGAGCGUCUUCAAUUGACUCCUCAACUCCUUCGUUCCGCCGGCGCCCAUUCGGUACGGAGCCUCGAGAUCGUGUGCGGGGUACGGGAACCAAGCUAUACGAACUCAAUCUCCGAUCCGAUGGAUCCCCGGCCAACUCGCGGGAAUACAUCGAACUCCCCGGACCACGCCGGUAACUCCUCCAAUGGUUGGAGCUUUACUUGGUUCCACUUCCACAACAGUUCGCUAAGAUGAAUGUCGUGCGCAACCACUUUUUGACCAACUUCCCUUGCUCUCGUCGCCGACAUCGUGCGCCCGAGCGAAGCACGAGCUCUGACAAGCCCGGAUAGGUUAAACUCCCUGCUGUCCUUUGUCACGCCCCGGGACGACGCCCAAUUUGGCCCGACCCUGAGCACGUUCAAACAGACGCCGAGGACAGAUUUUCCCUAUCCGCCAAGGCUCAUUCACAUGCUACAUUUAUAUCAUUAGAGGAACCACUAGCGGAAACAUACACAAACGGCUUACGACGAGGGUAAGCAAUUUAGCCAUUAGUGUAAUAGAAAAGGAAACGUAAACCUUCACUUGUACUAUGAUUCAUUUUGAUCAUCAACAUUGCAUUCAUCUUAUCUCAUUUUCGAAUUGCUUACAUUUCGAUUUCAUCAUUUCUUCUCUUACAUCCCAUUUAACCUCAAAAUACAUUUUACAUUCUUUCUUUACAAUUACUAAUCAUCAAGUACAAAGAUGAUAAACAAAGGGUGUCUACUUAACAAAGUACCCAACUUGUGGCCUCUACCUAAGGCGCGGGGGAUACCUUUACUCGGUCGCUCGCCGGCUUUCGGGCUUCGGCUGCCCGUGCUCUGAUGGAAAUAUUGGCGGUGAGAACUAGAACAACAGUGUGUCCCAGUGGCCGUUCGGGUCUCAACAAUCACCGACUUUCCCACUAGGACUAACUCAGGCAUAAUAGAAAGAAUAAGCUGCAUAUAGUAACCAAUCUAUACAGGAUGCUAAUAUGCCUGAACAAUAAGCAAGGAGUAUGCUCAACAUUAAAUGAAUGCAGAUUAUGCUAAUUCUUUCGUUCUUUAUCUUUACACUUUGUUCUUUGUUCUUUACUCUUUGUUCUUUAUUUUUUACUCUUUGUUAUUUAUUCUUUAAUCUCAAGGCUAACGCGGGGGUAUCGCCACGUUAACUUGCUUCACAUUAAGUCCAUCAUCGCAGGAACUCACCCGCUAGGACCGUCCUUCGGGUUUACUCCAACCCGUGAUGCAUAACUCCGGAGCGCAUCGCCCGAGGGGGAGCGACCGCCCUCGAGCACGGAACUCAUAGCAAGUAUGAUCAUAUCCUUAACUCAAAGGAUUUAUAAUGUAACAUACCGAACUUCUAAAAUCAUGAAGUUACGGUGUACAUUUAAAUGUUUCCGGCGAGGUUGCGGUGGAAUGUAACAUACCGGAUUUUAAAUAUAAAAAUAAAAAAAAAUAAAAAUAGUAUGAGAUACUACUUUUAUUGGGUUUAGAGAAGUGAAAUAUAGAUUGGAAAUGACCUGUGCUGAAAUCGGAGUGAAAACAGAAAACUUAGAAUUUUCUGUUGGAAUCGGGGCAGAUAAAUUAGCAGAAAAUGCACAGUGUCAGAAAAUAAUGAAAAUUGGAGGAUAUGUCAGAAAUAUUUUUAUGAGGCUAGAUUUAAAGUUUCAUAUUUUUCUGACACCCGGAAGGUGAAAAAUAAAAUUUAACAAGUUAUCUGCUAAGGAUUACAGUUCGGUCAGUUUUCAGUGACCAAACGGGGUCGAAACUGAAAUAUUAAAAUUUCUUUGGACUUAUUAAGUAAAAUCGAGUAUGCCUGUCAAAUUUGAACGAAAACGGACAUCCAGAAGGGC